rnacentral:lncRNA from 1 species
CCUUCUUUGGUAUCUUCCCCAGAGGACGAAGAAGCUCUGCUUUCAAUUGCAGCUCUAUAUCUUCCAUUUUGCAAUUCAAUUCAUCUCUCAUCCUCUUGAAGUUUCUCACAUAAUCGUUCAGCUUUCUGUGAUAUUGCAAAUAUUUACACACAGCGGUGCCGAGACAAUUUGCAAUGCCAACAACAGGCUCUACGUGCUCCAUUGCUAUGUCCCUGCAAUGCAAUCAUAUAAACCAGUAGCAGAGAAUGAAAAUCUGUGAAUGAAUUGAAUAUUUUAUGAAGUAUUGAUAUGUCAGUGUAAGCAUGAAUGCAAGUUUCAAGCAACGGCGUUCAUUAGAUGGAGCUAUGGAUGGGUGGCAGACAGAAACAUGAUGAAAUUCUGGUCACCAGAAUUAAGCUCUCGAUGUACAUAAAAUGCUAGAUUCAAGUGUGCAACAGUUCAUUACAGAGUAUUAAGAGUUAAAAUGUUGUUUCUGUGUUAAUUUCAAUCUAGAGUAGAUUAUGUCUGCUGAUAAACUUGUCCUAAAAUCUAAAACUGUUGAUAAUGAGUAGAGGAAAUCAUAGCUUCAGAUCUUAUUACCUGACUUAGUGGCUGAAAAGUGUUGAGAGAAUAGAACUGAAAAUGAAGCAGUGUCUUACAAAGCUAGCUGCUAAGAGUAGCAGACAAUCAGAAAGAAUCAUCGUAAAGUCAUGAAUCAAGCAAAGAAAAGCAUGUGAUGAAUAAAGCAAAUGAAAGAAAAUUACCUGGAAAUUUGGUGAUAGACCUUGGAGAUCAAAACAAAAUCAUUGAAGUUGGCAAUAAAUAAUAGUUAAUAAAAAUAAGAGUUGGGACAGCAGGGUAUAAUUAUAUGUUACAACUUGAAAUUAAAUAUACAAGUAAAUGAGUUGUCAGUAUUCAAUUUUGGAUCCUAACUGCAGACAAUUUCUUACAUAUGGACAGUGAAUAAAUCUAUAUUAUUUAUAUUAAAAUAUUCAAUAAAAGAAUAUAUAUAAAAAAAAUAUUAAGGAAAAUGAUAUGUCUCUGUUUUUACUUCUUCUAUUUCUUGACGUAGCUUUUACAUUAUAAGAAACUAUAAAAUUUCGAAUAUAAUUUAUUUUUAUAAUUUUGAUUUUGAAAAAUAAUUUAAAUGUAAUGAAAUUUUGAAUUGAGUUUGAAAAAUAAAUUUUUUGUGGUAUAUUUUGUAAUCUUUUGAUUUAAAAAAAUGGAAUCAAGGUCAAUUUCAUAAGCCUUUGUAUUAUUUAAAUUAAUAUCAGUUUUAGAUACUCUUCUAGGGCAUGUAAUUCAACUUUAAAAUAUUACUAAUUUGGUUUUAAGAAACAUUGAUUUGUUAUUAGAUUCUAUUAAAUGUUAAUUUUAUUUAUUUCUCAAUACAAUUCAGUUAUUCAACAACAUUUUCAAGAUUUUAUUUUUUAGAGUUUUUAUAUACAUUUUCCUAUUUUAUAAAUACUUUUUAGUUUUUUUAUAAUUUUAUACAAAAUCAAGGUCGAAUUGACAGAAAAUAUAAAAUUUGAGGACUAAAACUAUUAUUAUACCAACUAAAACAAGUGCCACUUAAUAGUCAGGUGACAAAAAACAAACAAUUUGAAAAACACUAGUGACUAAAUUGUAACUCUUUUUUAGUUAAGUGACCGAAACUAAAACUUGCCCGUACUUGAACCACUAAUGGUUUAGUUUACCCUAAAUUCUUUUAAAAAAUUAGUUUAAAACCUUUUCAUCUAUACUAUGUAUUAAGUCUUUUACUGAGUUGGUUUAACCCAUCAAUCGGUCCCAACUCAAUAAGAAAAUUACGAAAAAUAAUUUUAUUUGUAAAGUAAGAUAUAUGAUUAUGGUGUUUUCUACUUUUCAUAUCUUUAUAAAUCAAUAAAAAAUUAUCCAUAACGAAAUUUGAACCAAGGACACCAUACAUAUAAAACUUUUCUGAAGUCUAUUGAGUCAUUCACAUUUGCUUCAGCUCCCAAGGCUCAUAUUCAACUGUUACACAUAACCAUUUACAUAAUUCUUCAUUUUGAUUUACAUCAGUACACAAGUGGUUCCAUAUCAUCAUACCAUUGCAUGUUGAUAUCAUUUACCAAGUUUACCAUUUAUAAUCCCUAUUAAUAGGACUCAAACGAAUAUACAGAUCAUCCAAGCAAUACACCAAACUAGCACCGAUGUGUAUAAUCAAAUAAACUGAAGUAACGAAAGUUGGCACAGGAAGCACAUUCCUAGCGCACAAAACAUAUACUGGCACAAGAGGUGCAUCUUGAUGCACAAAGUGCAUACUGAAACAUAAAAUGCAUCCUGGCACAUGAGGUGCAUCCUGGCGCAUAAGUGCACAAACUCAUAGACAAUCUAAUCGUAUGACAUGUUAACUAUCUGACUCAACUAGCAGACUAGUUAAUAAGGUACCAAUGUUCAAUUUCAUUUUAUAAUUCAAUACAUAUAUCAUUUCACAAUCACAACCUUAAUCACAAUCCAAUUCAUUAUCAAUACACAUUAUCCAUAACAAGGUUCUCAAUACAAAGCUAGCUGCUAAGAGUAGCAGAUAAUCAGCAACAAUCAUUGCAAAGUCAUGAAUUAAGCAAAGAAAAGCAUGUGAUGGAUUAAGCAAAUGAAAGAAAAUUACCUUGAGAGAUGCUUGAAAUUUGGUGAUAGACCUUGGACAUCAAAAGAAAUUAAAAACAGUGAAGAAGAAAGAAUGUUGUGGGCACAAUAGCCAAAAAGAAGAAGAAAAUUAAGAUAGAAACAGGAAAAAUUCCGUGGUAGGUUCCACAAAGGCAGAAUGUUGUUCACCCUUUUUAGGAAUAGUCAAAAUUGGAAUUAUCAUUGUACCAAAAAAAUAUUAGUCACUAAACUAUUGCUAAUUUUUGUUUCAGUCCAAUUUCACCACUAAUAUUUUUGAAAUUAUUUCUUUUUGUCACUCAUGGAACUUUUUAAUUGAUUUAAUAAUAAUUUUAGUCCUUAAUUUGUAUACUUUCAGUCAAUUUGAUUUUAUAAUAUAUAAAAUGGUAAAAAGUUAAAAUUAUGUUUAAAAUUUUAGAACAUUAUAAAAUUAAAAAAAUAAAAAAAAGUGAGAAAAUUAGGGAUAAUCAUUUUUAAACCCUACAAAAUUUCUCUAUAUUAUCUAUAUUCAAUAAUCAUUCUUUAAAAACAAACAUAGAAAAAAUAUUAAGCAAAAAUAUUUGUUUUUUACGUCUUCAGUUACUUGACAUAGCUUUUACAUUAUAAGAAAAGAUAAAAUUCUGAAUAUAAUUUCUUUUUACAAUUUGGGUUUUGAAAAAAAAUUAAAAUGUAAUGGAAUUUUGAAUUGAGUUUGGAAAAGAAAAAUUAUGGUAUAUUUUGUAUUCUUUUGACUAAAAAUAUGGCAUCAAGGUCAAUUUCAUAAGUAUUUGUAAUAUCAGUUCUAGAUGUUCUUCAAGGGCAUGAAACUCAACUUGAUAAUACUAUUAAUUUGGUUUCGAGAAAUAUUCAGGAAACAUAUAUAUAAUAAUCUAACUUUUUUUUCUUUUGAUUUUAAUUUGUUAUUGGAUGUUAUUGAAUGAUGAUUUUCUUUAUUUCUCAUACAAUUUAGUUAUGAAACAACAUAUUCAAGAUUUUAUUUUUCUAGAAUUCUUUUAAAAAUUUUAGUUUAAAACUUUUUUUAUCUAUACUGUGUUAAAGCCUUUUACUGAGUUGGUGUCAACCAUCAAUCGAGUCUCAAGAAAGAAAAUUACCAAAAACAAGACAAAAAGAAGCAAAAUUGGGAGUCAAUUGUUAUGGUCUUUGCUGCAAUAUUGAAUUAUUAAUGGUGGAUGCCAACACCUAAUAGCAAUCUGGCAAAAGGUUCCAUCCUUUUUAGUUGUGGUUUAGGGGUAUCAAUUAAACUUUUAAUCACUCCAAAAACUAUUUGUAGUGUUCCAAUAACUAUAAAUGAAUGCAUGUAAUUAAUCAAAAGUUAAAUCUUUUGGUCAUUGGUCAAUAAUUAUAUCACUUAAUUUUUGAAAAAGAAUUAUAUUGUUUGAAUAGUUAUAAUAUUAGAUGAAUAAUUAUAUGUAUUUUUAAAGACGUUAUUAUUCAGAAAAUACACCUAUUGAAAGACAUAAAAAUUCUUAUAAAUAGGAAUUGUAUUUCAUUUGGAAAUCACACCAACAAGUUCUAAAAUUCUUCCUAUCCUCCCUCAUUUUCUAGUAUUAUUAGAUUGUUUUAUAAAGAGCUACUGCAAAAAUUCUUUGUAAAAAUUAAGUUUCUUGUUACAUAUUGCUCAGUGCUUAGUGAACUAUUCACGUUAGUGCAAAAUGUAAAUAGUCAUCGGCUUCAUUGUAUUCUCAAGGUUAAUUUGCUUGAAAUUCCUUUGAACACCGAAUAUAGGUGAGAGCGGAUAUAACUUUAAAGAUAGUGGUUUGAUACACGUCUUGAAGCCUUGUCAUAUUUCUUCAUUUUCUGUGCGAGUUUCAUUUGUGUUCAAAAUUUUCCUCACCGGAGAUUUGUUCUAAUAUAUAUAUAUUUUAAUAGAAAAUGAUCUAAGAAGACAUGUAGAUAUAUAUACAUGAUAGGUUCUAACAGUAACAUGUUUUAAUCUCAUUCUUAAUGCGUUUUUGGGUGAUUAUUCGAUGUUAAUGGUGAAUUUUAUGCUUCCAAUCCUUUAAAUUCAUGUUUCUAUACUUAGGAGAGCAUUUGGGAGAAAAAAGAGCGAAAAUCAGAAAAUUAGAACAAGUUUCAGGAGCCACACGAGCUGGGUCAUUCCACACGGCCGAGUGAGUCAUACGAGUUGCCACACAACAAUGUGCCAAACCGUGUGGAAAGCACAAAUUGCACUCUAAACACGCAGAAAAUCGUAAUUUUUAAGUUUUUCGAUCAUUCUAAGACAUAUAUGAAAAAGAUAAGAAGAGGGGAGUGAGUCGUCAUAUAAUAUUGAAGAAAACAACUCGAAAAAUACCAUUGAAGCCGACUUUGAAGCAUAUUUCCAUCAAAAUUGAAGUUCUCCUUUUGAUUUCUUUGAAGAUUAUUAUGAGUUUCUUUAUUUCUUAUAGUUAUACUAUCUUUGAGAUGUUUUUAUUUACUAUAUGGACUAAUUUUUUUUCCAAAUACCUAGGGAGAUGAACCUUAGGAUGAAUUCUAUUAUUUGAUUUCUAUUUUUAUGCAAUAUAUACUUAAAUCUUGUUCUCAAUUAUGUGUGCUUAAUUCAUGUUUUAAUAUUUCUAAACUAUUGAUCCAUGUUUUAUGUGCUUAAAUCAGAGGAGGAAUAGACAUUGUUUAAGAGUAGAUCUAGCAUAAUUGAGUGGAGUUGCAUGCAAUCCUAGAAAUAAUAUGACAUAAAUCUACCGGAUUAGAGUCAAAUUUAACAGAAGGAUCUAUAGAUCAAGUUAAUGCGAUAAUAGGGGUUUUAAUUAGAAAGAAAUUCCAAUUAAUCAAUCUAGAAUCAGUUGCUCUUAGUCUUGAAGAGAGAUAUUAAAAUAAUUUAGGGAUUUCUCCGUAUUAAGAUAUAAAGUGAAGAAAUUGUGUGAUUUAGAUUGAUAAUGACAGAUGAAGUUUAGGUGGAUUCUUUCCUAAAUAUUGUCUCGCUUAUUGGUUGUUAAUAGUUUAUUGUUCUGAUAUGUUCUUUGUAGUGUUCUUUAGUUAAUUAAUUUAGUUAAUUUUAGCUUUAAUCAAUCACUCCAAUUUGCCGGUUAAAUAAUAGAAAGACAGUAAUUACUAGUACUUUUAGUCUUUGUGGGAAUGAUAUCUUUGCUCACCGUAACUAUACCAUUAAUUAAUAAAUGCACUUACCGUAAUUAAAAUUUUAAUUGGUUUACGACUGCAAUCGCUACACAUAACUUUAAAAGAUUAAUUGAUGAAGUUGAAAGACUAAAACUGUUACUAUAAGUGUUCUAAAACAGUGUCAGUCUUAACGUCAAAUAAAAAACUUGUUAUUUUAUGCAAAUUUAAAUGUUGUAAAACUAUUGCUUAGGGUGCAAAUCUAAUGUAUACAAUCAACUAAAUGUUGAGCAAAUAAAUAUUAGAAUAUGGCAACUCAAGUUCAGGAUAUAUAUUACAGUUUUUACUAAUAAAAUGAUCAAUCAUCUCACAAUUACCUCUUUCACCAUUACUAUAACAGUUGGAUGUCAAAUAUUAUAAUUCAAAGAUGAACAUCAAUGAUUACUAAUAAUGAAUACAGCAUUCCAAACAAUAAUUUGAGAAAAUAGGAAUGUUUGUAUAAACCAAUACAACAAAAUAAGGUGUAGCCACAUUGCUUUAUAAACAAAGAAAUUCUAACAACACUCUCCCCGUAUGAAAACAAAGCAAUAAUUGACUCUACUAACACCUUACCAUUUAUCCAAAACCCAAACGUACUCUCUAAUCCUAAAACAAGCUCAAUUUUCAAUAAUUUGGUCCAAUUGCCCUCUGUAUUCAAUACCCACACCUCAUCAUUACUUUCAACACGCCACAAAGAGUAAUAUGGCCAUUAAAACCGGCUACCCUCCCUACUCCUUUUCCAAUGGCUGAUACUAGCAAUUGAAAAACUCCUCUACCCAUAUAGUAUGCAAUUAUUAAAUUUCCAAUUAUAAACACCAUUUAGACAUGCUUUACCUCCAUCGGAAUUUUCGUAUAGCUCGAACAAUAACUAAAUCAAGGGUGAGCGUUUGAUCGAAUCCAGUGAAAACAUUUUGAGUUAAUCGAGUUUACAGGUUUUAUUUUAUCAUACUAACUCGAUUUGGAAUUUUUUCAAAUCAAAUCGAAUGAAAUGAAAUUCAAAUAGAGUGAAAUUGUUCAAGUUAACUUAAAAAAUUAAACAUGUCAAAUUAAAAUCUUUUAUGUAGAUUUAAAACCAUAUAUAUUUAAAAACUUAAAUAAAUGCCUCUUCUUCUGAAAGGAGCUUCACUUUUAUCACCUUACAACCCAUAUACUUACACACAUGCUCCGAACGGGUUGUCAACACCAACUUGCAGCCAUUGCUGCCACUCGGCUCAGGGAUCCCAACUUCCUCUAGAGAGACUUCAUCCCACACAUCAUCUAGGAUUAGAACAUGCUUUCCUGCGUUCUUCAGCAUUUCUGACAAGAUUGCAGCUCGUACGAGCUUGUCCUCUUCUUUGUCUAAAUAUUCCUUCGACUCCAACGCACUUGCAAUAUUAUCUUGUACCUUCAUUACAUUGAACUCCUUUGAUAUGGUAACCCAGAUGACCCUUUCGAAUCUUUGUUGUUGUUGAAGUCAGCUCCCAUAUAGCAGCAAAGGUGGCCAUGCAAGGAACGUGCUUUAGCAGCAAAUUGUUGCAGCAAGCUGAAGCUAUUCAUUUGGUUUCCUUAAUUGAAUGUUUUGUAUUUAGUUAGGAUCAAACUUAGUUGGUAGCUGCAUUUUGAUGUAAUUAGGUGCUGAAUGACAAGCUUAGGUAGAAGCUUUUUUGUUUUUCAAUCAAGUUUACCAAGUUACUAGGCAUUUUAGUGGUGUUAGGUAUGUUAGUAGGUGAUUACUUGUUUGUUUUACUUAUUGACUGAUAUAUGUAAUGGCUUAAUGCCUUGUUCAUGUGUUAAUGAAAAAUAUCAGCUCAUUUUCAUUCAAUCUCUUUCUCUCUUUUCUGUUUUCACUUGCUAGCUUCAUCUUUCUGUUUUUUCUGCUUCCGAGUUUGCUUCUUCACCAAGCCUCGAGCCUUACUACUCAAGCAAGGCAAGAAACAGCUUGCUGCUGCCUCUUGCACCAACAAUUGGUAUCAGAGCUCUUGUCUUAGUGGACCUGUUGCCUCAAAACAAAGAACUUGAUGGCUUCUUCAGGAUUUUCACCAGCAGCCCCACCAGUCUUCAAUGGAGAAGGCUUUCACAUAUGGCUGGUCAAGAUGAAGACUUACCUACAGGCUUUUGAUCUGUGGGAAGUUGUCAACACAGAUACUGAGCCAGCACCACUGAGGGCUAAUCCCACAGUAGCUCAGAUUAGGCAACAUGCUGAUGAGAGGACCAAAAGGCACAAAGCCAUGUCCUGCAUCCAGAACUGUGUGUCAGAUGUCAUCUUCACCAGAAUCAUGGCCUGUGAGACUCCAAAACAGGCCUGGGAUAAGCUUAAGGAGGAGUUUCAAGGCACUGAGAGAACAAGGCAACAGCAGCUGCUAAACUUGAGAAGGGAUUUCGAGAAUUUGAAGAUGAAGGAAGAAGAAACAGUGAAGCAGUACUCAGAUAGAAUUAUGGCAGUGGUUAACAGCAUAAGGCUCCUAGGUGAGCACUUUGAUGAGGCAAGAAUUGUGGAGAAAGUCCUCUCCACUUUGCCUGAGAGAUAUGAGGCCAAGAUAUCCUCUCUAGAGGACUCAAGAGAUCUUGCUAGCAUCUCUUUGACUGAGCUAAUCAACACCUUUUAUGCUCAGGAACAAAGAAGAGCUAGCAGAGCUGAAGAUCACCAAGAAGGUGCAUUUCAAGCCAAGGCCAGAGAAACCUCGAGCACUAAUGCUCAAAGAGGCAAAAGGCCUUGGAAAAACAGGCCUAAGCCUGAUGCUGCAAGGAGCAAUGACCAGCCCUGCAGAUAUUGCAAGAAGCCUGGCCAUCCAGAAGACAGAUGCUGGUUUAGGCCAGAUGCAGUAUGCCAACACUGCAAGAAGAAGGGCCAUGUUGAAAGGGUCUGCAAAAACAGAAGUAAGCCAAGGCAGAAUCAAUUUCAGCAGUCAAAGGUUGAAGCUCGAGUAGCUGAGGACAGUAGUGACCAAGAAGAACAGGUCUUUGCUGUUUCCUGUGUAGCUUCUGAGAAGAAAUGCUCUAAAGGCUGGCUGCUGGACAGUGGUUGCACUAACCACAUGUCACCAGAUGCCUCCUUGUUUAAAACCUUGGACAGAAGUUAUAAAACCAAGGUCAAGGUUGGAAAUGGUCAGUUUAUAAGGGCUGAAGGAAGAGGAGAAGUGCUGAUAUCUACUCCCACAGGCAACAAGAUCAUUCCAAAUGUGCUGUUGGUACCACAGAUUGACAGAAACCUUCUCAGCAUAGCUCAACUGCUCGAGAAAGGUUAUUCUGUUGUGUUCAAGGAUAAACAAUGCCAUAUUACUGAUCCAAGUGGAUCAAGCCUUAUGACAGUCACAAUGACUGAUAAAUGCUUUGAGGUUCACUGGGCAAAUGACUCAAACUCAGCAUACACAGCCUCUGUUGAAGACUCCAAGCUUUGGCAUCAAAGGCUUGGACAUGCCAACUUCAGAUCAAUGGCUCGAUUGGCCAAAGAGGGCAUGGCAGAGAACUUCACCAGCUCAGUGGAGCAUGAUGAUGUGUGUGAAGUCUGCCAAAUGGGGAAACAGGCAAGACUGCCAUUUCCUACAAAUUCAGCUUGGAGAGCUACUGAAAGACUACAGCUGGUGCACUCUGAUGUAUGUGGCCCGAUGAGGACUGAAUCACUCAGCAAAAACAGGUAUUUCAUCCUCUUUAUUGAUGAUCUUACAAGGUUUUGCUGGAUUUUCUUUUUAAAACACAAGUCUGAGGUAGCUCAAGUGUUUGUGAAGUUUAAAAAUGCUGUAGAAACAGAAACAGGUUGCAAGCUGAAAUCGAUAAGGACAGACAAUGGCACUGAGUACACUUCAGCUCAGUUUCAAGCCAUUUGCAAUGAUGCUGGUAUCAAACAUCAGCUCACAAAUGUCUACACACCUCAGCAGAAUGGGGUAGCUGAAAGAAAGAAUAGAAGUCUGAUGGAUAUGGCCAGAUGUCUGCUGUUUGAGAAGAAACUGCCCAAGACCAUGUGGGCUGAGGCAGUAAACACUGCUGUUUACCUUCAGAACAGGCUUCCCAUUAAAGCUCUUGCAUCCGAGACACCUUUCGAGGCUUGGUUUGGUUUCAAGCCUUCCUUGGCACACCUGAAGGUGUUUGGUUGCCUGUGUUAUGCACAAAUACCAGCAGCAAAGAGAGACAAGCUCUCUAAAAGGGCUCAACCAGGUGUUCUAGUAGGCUACAGCUCAGUCAAAAAGGGCUACAGGGUUCUGGAUCCCUUGACAAACAAAGUCCAAGUGAGCAGAGAUGUCAUCUUUGAUGAAAAAGCCUGCUGGAAUUGGGAGAAAAAUGAGCCAGAAGCAAUUUCAGAAGACCUAGUGCCUAAUCAAGCUGAACUUGAGCAGCUAGAACCUGAAAUGGAUGUUGAUGAUGUGCCUGUGAGAGGCACAAGGCCCCUAGAAGAUAUUUAUGAAAGGGCACAGGUUGCAUUAGCAGAACCUAGCAGUUUUGAAGAGGCUGAGGCAGAUGAAGGUUGGAAACAAGCUAUGGUUGAUGAAAUCAACAUGAUUGUAAAGAAUCAGACAUGGGAGUUGGUUGAAAAGCCUGCCAACAGAAAGACUAUCGGUGUAAAAUGGGUCUAUCGAGUGAAGCACAAUGCAGAUGGAAGCUUAAACAAGCUAAAGGCCAGGCUAGUUGUAAAGGGCUUCAGUCAAAGGUAUGGUCUGGACUACAUGGAAACAUUUGCUCCAGUAGCCAGACUCGAUACAAUCAGAUUGCUGAUUGCAGUUGCUGCUCAGAACCAGUGGACAAUCCACCAAAUGGAUGUCAAGUCUGCAUUCCUCAAUGGAUUUCUAGAAGAAGAGAUAUACAUCGAGCAACCCCCAGGUUUUAUAGUGCCUGGUAAGGAACAAUUGGUGUAUAGGCUAAGAAAGGCCUUGUAUGGCCUAAAACAGGCCCCUCGAGCCUGGUAUGCUCGAAUUGACUCAUAUUUGGUCAGUUUGGGAUUUGAAAGGAGUGCUAGUGAGCCAACACUCUAUGUUAAGAAGAAUGGAGCUGAAACACAGCUUAUUGUGUCACUAUAUGUUGAUGAUCUUCUCGUGACUGGAGGAGACAAGCUUAUGAUGGUUGAUUUCAAAGCAAGAAUGAAGAAAAUGUUUGAGAUGUCAGACCUGGGAUUGAUGACAUAUUUCCUAGGAAUGGAAGUCAAUCAAAUAGAAGGAGGAAUCUUCUUGAAACAAAAGACAUUUGCCUUGAAAGUGCUGGCUAAAUUCUCAAUGGAGAAUUGUAAACCAGUGAGCACACCAAUGGCUAUUGGCAUAAAGCUAUCGAGCCAGGAGGAACAUGAAUCUGUCUGUGAAACAGAUUACAGAAGCCUUGUUGGGUGUUUAUUGUAUUUGACAGCAACAAGACCUGACAUUUUGUUUGCUGUAAGCAUGCUAUCAAGGUUCAUGCACUGCUGUAACCAGCAACAUUACAAGGCUGGGAAAAGGGUGCUAAGAUACAUUAAAGGUACCUUAAACCAUGGAAUACAGUUUAGAAAGGCUGAAGAUUUGAAACUGAUUGGCUACACUGAUAGCGAUUGGGCUGGUUCAAAGGAUGACAUGAAAAGCACUUCUGGCUAUGCUUUUACACUUGGCUCAGCUAUGAUUUGUUGGAGCUCAAGAAAACAAACAAUGGUGGCUCAAUCGAUAGCAGAAGCAGAGUAUGUAGCAGCUGCCAAUGCUGUUAAUCAAGCCAUAUGGCUGAGAAAAAUUUUGAGUGACUUGAAUCUACAGCAGAAUGAAGCAACUGUGAUACAUUGUGACAACAAGUCAGCAGUUGCUAUUGCUAAAAAUCCUGUCUUUCAUGGCAGGACAAAACAUUUCAACAUCAAACUCCAUGUGAUAAGAGAAAUGGAACAAGCUCGAGAAAUUGAGCUAAUCCAUUGCAGUUCUGAAAAUCAGAUUGCCGAUAUCUUCACAAAACCUCUUGGUGUAUCAAGAUAUCUAAGCCUGAAGAGGAAGCUAGGAGUCUGCUGCAUAGAAGCUGAGGAGGAGUGUUGAAGUCAGCUCCCAUAUAGCAGCAAAGGUGGCCAUGCAAGGAACGUGCUUUAGCAGCAAAUUGUUGCAGCAAGCUGAAGCUAUUCAUUUGGUUUCCUUAAUUGAAUGUUUUGUAUUUAGUUAGGAUCAAACUUAGUUGGUAGCUGCAUUUUGAUGUAAUUAGGUGCUGAAUGACAAGCUUAGGUAGAAGCUUUUUUGUUUUUCAAUCAAGUUUACCAAGUUACUAGGCAUUUUAGUGGUGUUAGGUAUGUUAGUAGGUGAUUACUUGUUUGUUUUACUUAUUGACUGAUAUAUGUAAUGGCUUAAUGCCUUGUUCAUGUGUUAAUGAAAAAUAUCAGCUCAUUUUCAUUCAAUCUCUUUCUCUCUUUUCUGUUUUCACUUGCUAGCUUCAUCUUUCUAUUUUUUCUGCUUCCGAGUUUGCUUCUUCACCAAGCCUCGAGCCUUACUACUCAAGCAAGGCAAGAAACAGCUUGCUGCUGCCUCUUGCACCAACAGUUGUUUCAAAAGAUCAUUGUGGAUGUGCUUCAUGAUAGUGGUUUUACCCACACCGCCCAUCCCCCAAACCCCAAUCUUGCUCACCUCCUCCUGCAUCAAACAUGCCCAAAUCUCAUUUCUGACAGCUUCCUUUCCAACUAGUUCUGAUGUUGGCAGCGGCAACCCAGCACUUGGACGAUCAAUGGCAAGACCUUCAGAGGCAUUAGGAGCUUUAUCAAGAAAUUCCUUCAUUUCUUGAGUCUUUUCAUCAACCAGCUUCCCGUUGCAAGCAUGACAGAGAUAUCUCCCGUUACUGACUUUGUUUUCAACAACUUGUGCUUCCCUAAUCAUCUUUUUCACAGCUUUCAACCAAUUUUCAACUUCCUUCUUCGGUAUCGUCCCCAGAGGACGAAGAAGCUCUGCUUCCAAUUGCAGCUCUAUAUCUUCCAUUUUGCAAUUCAAUUCAUCUCUGAUCCUCUUGAAGUUUCUCACAUAAUCGUUCAGCUUUCUGUGAUAUUGCAAAUAUUUACAAACAGGAGUGCCGAGACAAUUUGCAAUGCCAACAACAGGCUCUACGCACUCCAUUGCUAUGUCCCUGCAAUGCAAUCAUAUAAAACAGUAGCAGAGAAUGAAAAUCUGUGAAUGAAUUGGAUAUUUUAUGAAGUAUUGAUAUGUCAGUGUAAGCAUGAAUGCAAGUUUCAAGCAAUGGCGUUUAUUAGAUGGGGCUAUGGAUGGGUGGCAGACAGAAACAUGAUGAAAUUCUGGUCACCAGAAUUAAGCUCUCGAUGUACAUAAAAUGCUAGAUUCAAGUGUGCAACAGUUCAUUACAGAGUAUUAAGAGUUAAAGUGUUGUUUCUGUAUUAAUUUCAAUCUAGAGUAGAUUAUGUCUGCUGAUCAACUUGUCUUAAAAUCUAAAACAGUUGAUAAUGAGUAGAGGAAAUCAUAGCUUCAGAUCUUAUUACCUGACUUAGUGGCUGAAAAGUGUUGAGAGAAUAGAACUGAAAAUGAAGCAGUGUCUUACAAAGCUAGCUGCUAAGAGUAGCAGAUAAUCAGAAAGAAUCAUCGUAAAGUCAUGAAUCAAGCAAAGAAAAGCAUGUGAUGGAUUAAGCAAAUGAAAGAAAAUUACCUGGAAAUUUGGUGAUAGACCUUGAAGAUCAAAACAAAAUCAUUGAAGUUGGCAAUGAAUAAUAUUUAAUAAAAAUAAGAGUUGGGACAGCAGGUUAUAAGAAUGUAUAAUUAUAUAUGUUACAACUUGAAAUUAAAUAUACAAGUAAAUGAGUUGUAUUAGUAAAUGAUUUGCAUUGUUGAAGUUGUCAGUAUUAAAUUUUGGAUCCUAACUGCAGACAAUUUCUUACAUAUGGACAGUGAAUAAAUCUAUAUUAUUUAUAUUAAAAUAUUCAAUACCCAUUCUUUAAAAAGAAUAUAUAAGAAAAAAAAUAUUAAGGAAAAUGAUAUGUCUCUGUUUUUACUUAUUCUAUUUCUUGACGUAGCUUUUACAUUAUAAAAUUUCGAAUAUAAUUUAUUUUUAUAAUUUUGAUUUUGAAAAAUAAUUUAAAUGUAAUGAAAAUUUGAAUUGAGUUUGAAAAAUAAAAUUUUUGUGGUAUAUUUUGUAAUCUUUUGAUUAAAAAAAUGGAAUCAAGGUCAAUUUCAUAAGCCUUUGUAUUAUUUAAAUUAAUAUCAGUUUUAGAUACUCUUCUAGGGCAUGUAAUUCAACUUGAAAAUAUUACUAAUUUGGUUUUAAGAAACAUUCAUUUGUUCUAUUUUUAAUUUGUUAUUAGAUUCUAUUAAAUGAUAAUUUUAUUUACAAGUUUUGAUAUCAUUUACCAAGUUUACCAUUUAUAAUCCCUAUUAAUAGGACUCAAACGAAUAUACAGAUCAUCCAAGCAACACACCAAACUAGCACCGAUGUGUAUAAUCAAAUAAAUUGAAGUAACGAAAGUUGGCACAUAUAGUGCAUAUUGGCACAGGAAGCACAUUUCUGGCGCACAAAACAUAUACUGGCACAUGAGGUGCAUCUUGGCGCAUAAGUGCACAAACUCGUAGACAAUCUAAUCCUAUGACAUGUUAACUAUCUGACUCAACUAGACUAGUUAAUAAGGUACCAAUGUUCAAUUUCAUUUUAUAAUUCAAUACAUAUAUCAUUUCACAAUCACAACCUUAAUCACAAUCCAAUUCAUUAUCAAUACACAUUAUGUCUCAUUCCAUAUAACAUAUUUCUACUCAAUUUUCCAUAUCACAUAUCACAUUUCAAAGUAAUUCAUGUCAUUUUCCAUUUUAUUAAUUUUAGUCUUCUAUCUCAAUAUUUCAUAUCAAGCCUAACACAACAAUUCACAUUUUCGUUAUAUACUCACCUUGACAUUUCCUCAUUCAAUAAACAAUGUAUAUGCAAACAAAUAAUACGAUCCCGAAUCAUAAAAGUACAAAUUGUAGGCUUGCGUCACUCGUCGACAACUCUCGCUUUUCCUUUUCCUUUCGAAGGCUCAGUGCCGACGUUAGCUACGCACAAUCACAAAACUGUUCACCAGAGUUAACCUCUCAAUGUAUAUAAAAUGCUAGAUUCAAGUGUGCAAGAGUUCAUUACAGCAUAUUAAGAGCUAAAAUGGUCAACAGUUUGAGAUUUCUAUCUAUGAUAGAUUAUGUCUGCUUAACAUCCUAUACUGUCUUAAAAUGUAAAACUAUUGAUAAUCAGUAGAGGAAAUCAUUGCCAUAUUACCUGAACUAGUGGCUGAAAAGUGUUUGAGAGAUUAGAACUGAAAAUGAAGCAGUGAAGUUGAGUUCCUUGACUGGAUGCUUGAAAAUUAGCGAUAGGCCUUGGAGAUCAAAAGAAAUUAAAAACAGUGAAGAAGAAAGAAUGUUGUGGGUACAAUAGCCAAAAAGAGUUGCAAUAACGUUACUGCGUAUGUCUUACUUGAUAGUUACUGAAUGGCAGAUGAUAACCAGUUAAUUUAAAUUGUAGUAAUAUUCAUCGUUGGGGAAGCCAGAAAAAGGCAUAACUUCAAUAAAACAAUUUUUCUAUACAAACAAUCAUAUUUAUAGCACACACAACAAAAACAACUACGAAUUCAAACUCAAAACAUUCUAACAUUUCACAUCAUGCGCAUGUUGACAAUUAUUUUUUAUAAUUAAACUAUAAAAAUGUUUAUCUAUUCUUUUCAUUUUAUUUUGGUCAUCCAACUAUUAAUUUUUUUCGAUUUAGUCAUUAAACUUUUCGAAAUUAAAUAUUUUAAUCACUCCAAGCUGAUUGGGCUUUUUUUUUAUUGGUCUAGUAACUAAAUUAGUCCUCUAAUAGUUACACGUUCUAUUAAUUUUAUCUUAAAUAUAAAAAAUUCAAUAAAUCUAGCCUCAAUGUUCACAAAAUUUGUCAUUUUAGUUCUAAUUCUAAAAAGUUCAAUAAAAUUGGCCCUCAAUAUUUACAAAAUGUUAAUUAAUUUAGUUAAUUUUAGUUUUAAUCAAUCACUCCAAUUUCUCGGUUAAAUAAUAGAAAGACAAUAAUUACUAAUACUUUUAGCCCUCAUGUGAACAAUAUCUUUACUCAUCAUAACUAUACUAUUAAUUGAUAAGUACAUUUACCUUAAUCAGAUUUUUAGUUGGUUUACAACCGCAAUCGAUACACAUAAUUAACUUUGAAAGAUUAGUUGAUGAAGUUGAAAGACUAAAACUAUUACUGUAAGUGUUCUAAAACUAAUGCUUCGGGUAAUCUAAUGUAUACAAUCAAGUAAAUAUUGAGCAAAGAAAUAUUAGAAUAUGACAACUCAAGUUCAGGAUAUAUAUUACAGUUUUUACUAAUAAUGUAGAAACAAAAUGAUCAAUCAUCUCACAAUUACCUCUUUCACAAAAUGAGCAAAGAAACAUUUUGUACAUUGGACCCAGAAGAGAAUUUUGCCAAAGUGAAGAAAUAUGGGCUUCCCCAAGAUGAAGGUGUAAAAUCCUUCAUUUCCAACCCGACAACCCAGCUUUCUGGUAAAAUGUUUUUGGAUAUUUUCUUAUAAUAAAAGUGUACAUUCUGGAAAUGUAUUGAAAAAAGAAAGGGUUGUGUUGGUUAUGAUGAGUAGGGCUACCAAUGAGGUGCUGGAGAGGAGAGGUGGAAUUUUAGCACUUAAUCACCACACCAAAUCAAAUUACUUAUGUACUUAACAACUAGAAUUCAUAAAGUUUGGGGCAUUACGCCAAUGUAAAAUAAAAAAGUUGAAGUUUUUUUAAUCCAGAACCUCUGUAUCUAUGCCUCUCUCGACAACAAGAACAUCCUGUUUUGACUUUUUCUUUUUAAAAAUGUAAACUUUCUGGCGUUACAAACUACAUAAUUAUUGAGAACCUAUGAUAUUUUCAGUAUUUAAAACUGAAAAAAUUUAAACCUUUAGCUUCGAAAUAAAAGUCGGACAACAAAAUGAAGCAAGAAAAAAAAGAAGGAAACUAAGUUUUUUUUAUUUUUAUUUUCCAACUUAUCCAUCACAAAUAAAAGAAAUAGGAAAAUGUGUUUUAUAUAUGGGAAACGUGGAGGGGUUAUUUGCAACAUAAUCCCCUUAAUGUUUUUUAUUUAUUUUAAAAGGGAUUUCACCUUUUUAAUUUUCUCAUUUAGUCCUCAUAACUUAAAAUAUUAUUUAAUCUUAGAAAUAUGUUAAUAUUAUUAACUAUGUUAAUCCCUACAGUUUUUAUAUUACUUAAAGAUAAGGAAUUUAUCUUAUUUAAUUUCCACUUUUAAUUUCUAAUAUCAUACUUUUAUGAAAGUACAUUAUUGUUUUAAUCUUUAUGAUUACGUUUACAUAUGAAUGAAUCCAAUUAUAUUUUUAAUAAAUAUUAUCUUUUAUGAAACAUGAUGAAAUUCUGGUAUAUAAAAUGCUAGAUUCAAGUGUGCAACAGUUCAUUACAGAAAAUUAAGAGUUAAAAUGUUAACAGUAUGAGUUAAAUUUUUUGUGUUUCGUCUUUUUACACCAAGUGUAGUUGGAUAAUUUAUAGUGGGAAUGUCCUACAGUCAUUAAUUGGGUUUGAACUGUCUAGCCAGCCCUAGCAUGGCGAGGUUUAAAUAGCCUCAAUACUAGUUUUCUGUUUAUCUAAAUCUUAAAAUCCAUUAAUUAUUUUCUUCCAUUAAUUUUGUAAAUUCAAUAUAUUUAUAGUAUUCCAAUAACUAUAAAUGAAUGGAUGUAAUUAAUCAAAAGUUAAAUCUUUUGGUCAUUGGUCAAUAAUUAUAUCACUUAAUUUUUGAAAAAGAUUUAUAUUGUCUGAAUAGUUAUAAUAUUAGAUGAAUAAUUAUGUCUUUUUAAAGAUGUCAGAAAAAACACCUAUUGAAAGAUGUCUCUACGAAAGACAUAAAAAUUUCUAUAAAUAGGAAUUGUAUUUCAUUUGGAAAUCACACCAACAAGUUCCAAAAUUCUUCCUAUCCUCCCUCAUUUUCUAGUAUUAUUAGAUUGUUUUAUGAAGAGCUAUUGCAAAAAUUCUUUGUAAAAAUUGAGUUUCUUGUUAUACAUUGCUCAAUGCUUAGUGAACUAUUCACAUUAGUGCAAAACGCAAAUAGUCAUCAGCUUCAUUGUAUUCUCAAGGUUAAUUUGCUUGAAAUUCUUUUGAACACCAAAUAUAGGUGAGAGCAGAUAUAACUUUAAAGAUAGUAGUUUGAUACACGCCUUGAAGCCUUGUCAUAUUUCUUCAUUUUCUGUGCGAGUUUCAUUCGUGUGUUCAAAAUUUCCUCACUGGAGAUUUGUUCUAAUAUAUAUUUUAAUAGCAAAUGAUCUAAGAAGACAUGUAUAUAUAUACAUGAUAGGUUCUAAAAGUAACAUGUUUUAAUCUCAUUCUUAAUUCAUUUUUGGGUGAUUAUUUGAUGUUAAUGGUGAAUUUUAUGCUUCCAAUCCUUUAAAUUCAUGUUUCUAUACUUAGGAGAGCAUUUGGGAGCAAAAAGAGCGAAAAUCAGACAAUUAGCACAACUUUCAGGAGCCACACGGCUGGGCCAUUCCACACAGCCGAGUGAGCCAUAUGAGUUGACACACAACAAUGUGCCAAACCGUGUGGAAAGCACAAAUUGCACUCUGAACACACAGAAAAUCGUAAUUUUUAAAUUUUUCGAGCAUUCUAAGACAUAUAUGAAAAAGAUAAGAAGAGGGGAGCGAGUCGUCAUAUAAUAUUGAAGAAAACAACUCGAAAAAUACCAUUGAAGCCGACUUUGAAGCAUAUUUCCAUCAAAAUUGAAGUUCUCCUUUUGAUUUCUUUGAAGUUUAUUAUGAGUUUCUUUAUUUCUUAUAGUUAUACUAUCUUUGAGAUGCUUUUAUUUACUAUAUGAACUAAUUUUUUCCAAAUACCUAGGUAGAUGAACCUUAGGAUGAAUUCUAUUAUUUGAUUUCUAUUUUUAUGCAAUAAAUACUUAAAUCUUGUUCUCAAUUAUGUGUUCUUAAUUCAUUAUUUAAUAUUUCUAGACUAUUGAUCCAUGUUUUAUGUGCUUAAAUUAGAGGAGGAAUAGACAUUGUUUAAGAGUAGAUCUAGCAUAAUUGAGUGGAGUUGCAUGCAAUCCUCGAAAUAAGAUGACAUAAAUCUACCGGAUUAGAGUCAAAUCUAAUAGAAGGAUCUAUAGAUUGAGUUAAUGCGAUAAUAAGGAUUUUUAUUAGAAAGAAAUUUCAAUUAAUCAAUCUAGAAUCAGUUGCUCUUAAUCUUGAAGAGAGAUAUUAGCAUAAUUUAGGGAUUUCACUGUAUUAAGAUACAAAGUGAAGAAAUUGUGUGAUUUGGAUUUAUUUUUCUGAUAUGUUCUUUAUUGUGUUCUUUAGUUAAUUAAUUUAGUUAAUUUUAGCUUUAAUCAAUCACUCCAAUUUGCCGGUUAAAUAACAGACAGACGGUAAUUACUAGCACUUUUAGUCUUCGGGGCUUUAGCGGCGUUUUUGAAAAAGCGCCGCGAAUGCUCUAUUUUUAGCGGCGUUUUCCAAAAAGCGCCGCUAAUGCUCCGACUGCAAUCGUAAUUAAAAUUUUAGCUGGUUUAUGACUGCAAUCGCUACACAUAACUUUAAAAGAUUAAUUGAUGAAGUUGAAAGACAAACUAUUACUAUAAGUGUUCUAAAACAGUGUCAAUGAAUAAUAACUCAGUCUUAACGUCAAAUAAAAAAACUUGUUAUUUUAUGCAAAUUUAAUUGUUGAGCAAAUAAAUAUUUGAAUAUGACAACUCAAGUUCAAGCACCCUUACUUUGUUCAGGAUAUAUAUUACAGUUUUUACUAAUAAAAUGAUCAAUCAUCUCACAAUUACCUCUUUCACAAAAUGAGCAAAGAAACAUUUUGUAGAAUCGACCCAGAAGAGAGUUUUGCCAAAGUGAUGAAAUAUGGGCUUCCCCAAGAUGAAGGUGUACAAUCCUUCAUUUCCAACCCCUUCUGGUAAAAUGUUUCUGGAUAUUUUCUUAUAAUAAAAGUGUACAUUCUGGAAAUGUAUUGGAAAAAGAAAGGGUUGUGUUGGUUAUGAUGAGUAAGGCUACCAAUGAGGUGUUGGAGAGGAGAGGUGGAAUUUUAGCAUUGAAACAGAUAGUGAGGGUAAUAGUUUAUUCUCUUCUGCUUUAAUAUUUUACUUGACAUCAAUUAAUUUGAAAUGUAAGAGACUUUGCAGUGUGUCACGGGUACAGAGUUGCCAUGCCUUGAUGAACCAUGUAGAGCAAUAUAAUUUGAGUUCAUUUUUUUAAAAGCUUUCCCAUGCCCCAAUAUGUAUUAAUGAUGUAUGAUUUGUUAUGGAUGAAACAUUAGUUUUUAAAUAAUAUUUAAAGUAACAAUAUUGUGAGGUUCUUUAGUUCAGAGAUGGAAUUUGGUAAACUCUCGAUCUUUGUAAAAGACAAAUUGAGACCACAAAGACAAGGCAUGUUUGUGAAGUAAGAAAUUGAUUCUUUAUAGGGUUGUUCCGCAAUAACAAGGUUGUGAGCAGUUGGCACUUUGUAGGCAGCACAUCUAUGGAAACUUCUGAUAUGGAGUUAUACAUAAGUGACACUUUCUCAAUAGUCGGACUCCAUUGCUCCUUUUUUGGUAACUCUUCUAAUUGCAAACCUGCUUGUAUCAUAUAUCGAGGAUCAUUCUUGUGAUCGACAAUGCCAUGUCUCUCACUGCAUUAUGCAUCUUCAUUUUCCAACUCGAGACUUUUUCAAACAAGCAAUUAUCUUCCAACUUCUUCAAAAUAACAUGGCCCUUGCCUUUCAUUUCUUGUCUUGUACCCAUAUCAUCUAUGAAUCCCUCUUCAAUCCAGCACUCAAUUAACACAUCCUUCCAAAUUUCGAAAUCUUCAGGAAAUAAUGCGCAAUGUAAGAAACAAUAUUUCACUUUUUCGUCCUUUAAGUGAUCGAAGCUAAAUUUCAAACGCUCUAUCACUUUAGCUUCCACUCCUUCCACUUUUUCUAUUCUCUCUUUCAAUUCCCUGAGUGCGUUUUUCCAAAUAAGAAGGUCCUCUUCUCCUUUCAAUGUACUAGCUACGACGACAAUUGUAAGAGGCAGACCCGCACAUUCUUUGACAACGAGCCUCAAAAUUGGCAUUGAAGUUUGAUUUUGCACUAUGUUAGGCCCAACUUUACUCAAGAACAGUGUCAAUGCCUAUUGUGCUGAAAAGGGCUUCACUUUUAUCACCGUGCAACCCAUAUACUUACAGACAUGCUCCGAACGGGUUGUCAACACCAACUUGCAGCCAUUGCUGUCACUCGGCUCAGGGAUCCCAACUUCUUCUAGAGAGACUUCAUCCCACACAUCAUCUAGGAUUAGAACAUGCUUUCCUACGUUCUUCAGCAUUUCUGACAAGAUUGCAGCUCGUCUGAGCUUGUCUCCUUCUAUGGCCAAAUCUUCCUUCAACUUCAAAGCACUUGAAAUACCAUCUUGUACCUUCAUUACAUUGAACUCCUUUAUAUGGUAACUGUUGGAACAUUGGUAGCAUCGAGCAAGCAAUUUUCCAAGUAGAAGCAAAAAAUUGAUCGAAGCAGAAAAGAAUAUAUUGCCAAAACAACAAAUGAAACUUGAAUGUACAGCAAGAAAUUGUAACUGAACAUUACUACUUUUCAUUCAAAAUUUGAAAUAUAAAAGUGUUACAAUUUGGUUUAAUUUGACAGUUACCUAAUAAUCUAACUGCCUCCACUAAAGCUUAACUAAUACAAGCUUAAGUCACAUACAAAAUAAACUGACAUAUCAGCUUUUACAUCAUCAAUCUAAUCACUAGCUUAAUCCUACUUGCUUUGUAAGCUAGUUACAAGAGAAUUAAACUAAAUAACAUUAAAACAAAACAAAAAAAACUGGUUGCUUCAUUCUGUCCAAAAACCAAUCUUGCACACCAAGCAAAAUGAGUUGAGCUCGAUAGCUACUGCUGGUCUCGACAGUAACUUGCUGCUGGCUUCAUGUUGCACUGCAGUCCAGCUUUCAACACUCCUCCUUGGACUGUAUGCAACACAAUCCAAUUGCACUUCUCAAUAAUUCAAAUCGAGCAGCUCCCAAUGGCUUGGUCAGUAUGUCAGCCAAUUGUGCCCCUGAGCCACAAUGCACAAGGCUGACUUCCUUUGCUGAUCACCACUGCUGGUCAACUUUUCUCCAUGAGCCAUAGGUGUACUGACUGCUUUACAGUUGUGCAUGCAAAAUUUGCCUAGAAUCUUCAAAGCAAAUGUGUGUUGGCUGAUGAAGAUAGCUCGAUCAGACUGGUGAACUUCCAUGCCAAGGAAGUAAGUCAUGAUCCCCAAAUCUAUCAUCUCAAACACUUGCUGCAUUUGAACCUUGAACUCAUCAAUGAGCUCAACUUUGCUCCCUGUCACUAACAAGUCAUCCACAUACAAGGAGACAAUCAGCAAUGUUUUAUGUUCUGACCUUUUAACAUACAAGGUAGGCUCACUAAGACUCUUCACAAAUCCAAGCUUGGUCAGGUAAGCAUCAACUCUGUCAUACCAGGCCCUUGGUGCCUGUUUCAGGCCAUAAAGAGCCUUUCUCAGCUUGUACACUUUGUCUUCAUGUCCAGCAACUUCAAAACCUUCUGGUUGCUCGAUGAAGAUCUCCUCCUUAAGAAAACCAUUCAAGAAUGCUGACUUUACAUCCAAUUGGUGAACUCUCCACUGCUUUUGAGCUGCUAAAGCAAACAGUAGUUUAAUUGUGUCCAGUCUUGCUACUGGAGCAAAUGUCUCCAAGAAGUCUACACCAUAUUACUGACUGUAGCCCUUCACCACAAGUCUGGCCUUGUGUUUGUUCAGUGAGCCAUCAGCAUUGUACUUAGCCCUGUACACCCAUUUGACCCCUAUGACCUUCUUGUGUUCUGGUCUGCUCACUAACUCCCAUGUCUGAUUCUUGUUAAUCAUUUCUAACUCAACCUCCAUGGCUUUCAGCCAGUUCCUGUCUCUGGCAGCUUCUUCAAAUUUUGUAGGCUCAAUCACAGCAACAUUACACCUCUGAUAAACAUCAGUCAAAGUUCUGGUGCCCCUCACAGAUGUGUCAUCCACAGCAUCUUCUCCUGGUUCCUCUUCUAUAGGUUCAGGAACCAAGUCCAACUGGUCCAUUUCAGACAUGUCAGCUUCAACAUCAUUCCAAUUCCAUACUUUUUCCUCAUCAAACUUUACAUCUCUGAUGACUAAGACCUUCUUUGCUGUAGGAUCAUACACUCUAUAGCCCUUCUUGUUGCUGCUGUAGCUAACAAAGAUUCCUGGAGUAGCCCUGCUCUCGAGCUUGGUCCUCUUUUCUACUGGAAAAAGAGCAUAACAUACACAGCCAAACACUUUUAAGUGUGUUACCAUAGGUUUGACUCCAUGCCAAGCCUCAAAAGGAGUCUUAUCCUUGACUGCUCGAGUUGGCAGUUUGUUGAGCAGAUACACUGAGGUGUUGACUGCCUCAGCCCAAAACUGGCUUGGAAGCCUGCCUUGAAACAAGAGGCACCUGGCCAUGUUUAGCACAGUCCUAUUCUUUCUCUCACAGACUCCAUUCUAUUGAAGAGUAUAGACUGUUGUAAGCUGGUGGUGAAUCCCAGCAUUAUCACAAAGCUUCUGAAAUCUCUCAGACACAUAUUCAGAGCCAUUAUCAGUCCUCAAGGCUCUAAUUUUGUAGCCUGACUGAUUUUCAGCAUAUGCCUUGAAUUUACAGAAGGCCUCAAACACUUCUGACUUCUGCUUCAAGAAGUAGACCCAGCAUAAUCUUGUUAAAUCAUCUAUAAACAGGACAAAAUACCUGUUGCCAUUGAUUGAAGAUGUUCUCAUAGGGCCACAAACAUCAGAGUGCACCAAUUCAAGCUUAUAUUGAGCUCUCCAAGUACUGUCAGCAGGAAAAGGCAGUCUAGCCUGCUUACCAAGCUGACAAACCUCACAAACAUUCCCACUAACCUCAAUUUUUGAAAUGUCAUCAACCAAAUUCAGCCUAUGCAACAGAUCAAUAGAUCUGAAAUUUGCAUGGCCUAGUCUCCUAUGCCACAAGUCAGUGCUGUCAGUAAGACUGGUGUAUGCCUUUCUUUCUACUUGGCUAACAUCCAACAUGAAGCACCUAUCAGUCAUAGAAACUAUGACUAACUCCAGACCAUUUAUGUCUUGAACAAUACAACAACCAUCCUUAAAAACCAAUGUAUAGCCCUUUUCAACUAAUUGGCCUACACUAAGUAGGUUCUGGUCUAAGUCAGGUACAAAAAGCACAUCUGAGAUCAGCUUGUUACCUGAACCAGUGCUAACCAGCACACUACCCUUACCCUUAGCCUCAAUCAGCUUGCCAUCUCCAAUUCUGAUCCUCGAGUGGAAACUUCUAUCUAAGCCCUUGAACAGCUUCUCAUCUACUGCCAUAUGGUGUGAGCAGCCACUGUCUAGUAACCAAUCAUUGCUGGCCUUUGUUGUGCCAAAUAUAUAUUGUGUAUAUAUAUUUUUAUAUAAAAUUUAAAAUUUAUUAAAAUUUACAAAAUAAUAGACUAGUGCUGAAUGUGGUAAAAGACCAUAAUAAUGUUUUUAUUAUAAACAUGAACAUAUAGAAGGUUAUUUUGAGAAGUACAUAUAUAGAUAUAUAUAUUAGAGAAGAAUAAGAGAAUAGAAGGAAUGGUAAGAGAGGGACAAAGUGGAGGCAGUUUGAUCUCUUAUUUAUGCUCUUUAACCUCUUCCUUUAAUCAUUCCUUUUCUCCUCUCUUUUGCACUAUCCUCCCCCCUACUUCUUUCCCACCAACCCUUUUAUCUUUCUCUCAUCAACAUCAAAAAUAUACCUGAAAUUGUAUUAAAAUGGAGAAAUUAGGUUUAUAAAAUAAGAAAUAUAAACUAAACUAUCAAUGGUUCAUACCUUAAAAGCUUUCUAAGGGUUUGAAGCGAAGAACAUUUUUAAAGUUUUGAUGGUCAUCCCACUCCAACGAUUCCCACCAUACUUUCCAUGACGUGAUGGUAAGAGAAGGUGGAGCAUAUGCAAAUGGCUGCCCAUUGCCAACAGGGGGAACAAAUGGAGGAAUUCUCUUCAGUUUAUCACAAUCUCCAAAAACAUGGAUAAGUUGGAGAGAAUCACAAACCAUCACUCCACUUUUGCUGCAAAUGCUCUUCAAAUUUGGUAAUCUCCACAAUUCCAACUCUCUCAAUUUGGGAAGAUGGAAUUUGAUUAAUGCAUCACUCCCUUUUUCUUCAACUUCUGAUGUUGCUGCUCCCAAUAUUUCUACUAGCUGACUACAAGCCUCCACGUGUAUUUUUUCCAGGUUUUGGAGGUUUGGAAGCAACCAAUGUGGAAGCAACGUCUUCAUACUUGAGCAGCUGUAUAUCGUAAUUUCCUUAAGAUGGGAAAAGGUGGUAGACGGAGCCAAUGUUAAUGUUGUUGCUGAACCAAUUCCUGCAUCAUUCAUAAUAAGGGCACUCAACUUUGGCAGAUAUUGAAGAUCCAACAUCUCGAGGCUCUGAAAUGGAUGAGCGGAAGAAGAGGCAAAACAUGAUAAGGAAACAACACACACUAUCCCUUUACAAUCAUAAAUCCUCAAGUCAAUCGCAUUUUUGAAGGAAGAAUUAUCAUCGACUAAGCUUCUCACAUAGUGGCACUUUACAAUAUUCAACUCUUGAAUUUCAAUUGGGUGCAUAAUUAAAUCACCUUCCCAAUUCUGGACUCCUCCAAUUGUUACUGUUUUAUCUCUUGUAUCAUGCAUAUAAGAUGAGCCCACCUGUAAAUAGUAAUUGAUGAGAUUUUUCUUACUUCGUUGCAUUGAGGAGAUGAACUUAUUGAAUUCAUUGAUGUCUUCGAAAUGUCCGGUUAAGCACUCCAACUUCAUCAAUCGUUCCAUCUCCUCUGCUUUUAGACUUGUUUUUUCAUUGUUCCCAGAAAAACUCAAGUGCUGAAGGUGAACGAGUUUUGGUAAAAGUCCAGCGGGUAUCUCUUUCAGAGUGAACACUUCAAGAUAAAGAUAUCUUAACUUUAUCAGCAUAUCCAUGCCUUCAGGGACUUCCUCAAUUUUUGUCCAACAAAGAUCUAAUUUCUUCAAUUCUUGAAGCAUCGAAAGACAUGGCAGAUCUCUUAAUUGAUAACAGCCACGAAGCAACAAUGUUGUAAGGUUCUUUAAUUCAGAGAUGGAAUUUGGUAAACUCUCGAUCUUUGUAAAAGACAAAUUGAGAACACUAAGACAAGGCAUGUUUGUGAAGAAAGAAAUUGAGAUCUUCUUUAUAGGGUUGUUCUGCAAUAACAAGGUUGUGAGCAGUUGGCAUUUUGUAGGCAGCACAUCUAUAGUAGAUUAUGUCAGCUGGUCAUCCACUCUUAAAAUCUAAAACUGUUGAUAAUCAGUAGAGGAAAUCAUUGCUUCAGAUCUUAUUACCUGACUUAGUGGCUGAAAAGUGUUGAGAGAUUAGAAGUGAAAAGGAAGCAGUGAAGUUGAGUUCCUUGACAAUCUUACAAAGCUAGCUGCUAUAACAGUAGCAGAUAAUCAAAAGCAAAGAAAAGCAUGUGAUGAAUUAAGCAAAUGAAAGAAAAUUACCUUGACUGGAUGCUUCAAAAUUUGUGACAUCGAAACAAAUUAAAAGCAGUGAAGAAGAAAUAAGAAGAAAGUGAAGAUAAAAAGAGGGAAAUUAUGAAGUCAGUGGUAGGUUCCACAAAGUUUUAUUACUUUUUCUUUUAGCUUUUCUCCUUGCUGUCUGCCAUUACAGAUGGCAUUAUAAUUAUUCUUAUUAUCAAUUUAAUUUACGGUACCGUAUAAAAUUAUAAUUAUAGAAAUUUUAAAAAAAUUUAUAUAUAUAUAUAUAUAUGAGCCAAAGAAAACUACUAUCAAUAAUGUUAAUUGUUAUGACUGACAUAAUUUAAGCUGGACUAAUGAGUAAGAGAACUUUUUAGUUUUGGUUUUGAAGGGGGAAUAAAAACACUAUAAUAAACAAUAAGGGUUUACAAAGAAAUUAACCCUAUUUAAGAUUUUGUGCUACCACACUGCACACAACACCAUUAGAGUGAGAAAUUUACAUAUCAAGUCUUUGAAUUUUUUAGUUAUCACAUUUUAGUCUAGUGUUGCCAAUAUGCCAGACGACACCAGCAGAACAUGUAUCAAAUGUCUUAUUUUUGUAAUUAAUUUAUUUUCCUUAUCAUUUUCGUAAUUAAUUAAUUUUUUGUAUGAUUUGGAUAAUAUACAUGUUUCUAUUUUAUAAAUAAUUUUGAGUUUUUUUUAUACAAAAUAAGGGAAAUUUUUUUAUUUUACCAUACACUAUUAAUUGUUAGUUACUAAACUAUGAGUAUUUUGGUUGUUUUUUUUUUGUUCUUAAAUUGGUAAGGAAUAAAAUAUUUGAUGGAGACAGUUACGUGGGUUGAAACAUAUGUAAAGACUUGAAUAUGGGAAAUGGAAUGUCCCCAUGAAUUUUGUGUUUUAAAUUAUUUUUAAUUUUUAGUAUUUCUUUUAAAAUAUUUUAAAUCUAUUGCUAAACAACUACCCACAUUUUAACACUAAUUUUAAUUGUUUUUAAGCCGUACAAAUUAAAUAAAAGUAGAUAAAAUUUUUAAAAAUAAAUAAAGUGAGAGAAAAUGAGAGAUAAUUGUUUUUAAGCUGUACAAAAUUUCUCUAUAUUAUUUGUAUCCAAAUAUCCAAUACACAUUCUUUAGUAAUAAACUUAAGAAGAACAUUAAGCAAAAUUAUUUGUUGUCUGUUUCUUGACAUAGCUUUUACGUUAUAAAUUUUUUUUUUCUAAAUAUAAUUUAUUUUUAUAAUUUGAGAUUUAAAAAAUAAUUUAAAUGUAAUGAAAAAUUGAAUUAAGUUUGAAAAAGGAAAUUUUGUUAUAUAUCUUGACUAAAAAAAUGGCAUUAGGGUCAAUUUCAAAAGCCUUGGUAAUAAGAGUUCUAAAUGUUCUUCAAGGGCAUGAUACUCAACUCGAUAAUAUUACUAAUUUGGUUUCAAGAAACAUUGAGGAAGCUUUUUUUGAUUUUAUUCUGUUUUUAAUUUGUUAUCGGAUUUUCCUGAAUGAUAAUUUACUUUAUUUCUCAUACAAUUUAGUUAUUAAUGACCUGUUUAUUCUUUUUAAGAACAAGAGAUACCUUAGUGUGGUACAGUGACCUGUUUGAAACCAUGAUAUGGGUGAAAAAAACAAUUGGAUUCCAGGUAAUGGGUGCCUGAUCUUUUGGGGAUGGCGCUCAAGGUUACACCAUCUUUUCCUGAUAUUGUUUUUUUUUUCAGGGGAUGUCGCGCGUGUUGAUGGUCAGCUGGCGGUGGCCAGAGCAUUUGGUGACAAGAGUUUAAAGAAACAUCUUACUUCGGAGCCAGAUGUGAGCAUUGAAACAACCGAUCGACGAUGAUACCGACCUUAUAAUAUUGGCUAGUGAUGGUUUAUGGAAGGUAAGCCCUAUCUAAUCACAUUUUUCUUUUAUUGAACCUACAUGUUGAACCUGAGAUUUAAUGUCGAUGCUAUCAAAGGCAUUAAGGAUGCUCGAUCUGCUGCAAAGAACCUAACUGAGGAAGCUGUUAAGAGGAACAACAAGGAUGACAUUUCCAUCAAUAUUGUUGUGAAAUUUUAGUGAUCUGUAAGUGUGGCAACUUCACCUGGUUCCGUUCGAUAACGAACUUUUUUUUUUGUACCGCUCUAAUGUUGGAUAGAAUGUUAUGCAUAUUUUGUGUCGUAUCCUAAGCUUUCUACACUAGGCAAACUAUAAUGAAACCGUCUAAUGAAGUAAGGAAACCAAAGUUGAAUUUGUAGCAUUGGAACAUAAUAAUCUACCAAGCUUUCAAUCGCUUUAGCGGUUCAGCUGAUCAGAUACCUAAUCUGCCAUGAAUUUCAAAUUUUGUGUUUAAUAAUCUGAAUUUCCUUCAAAUGUUAUCCCUUAGAUUCCCUCUGACGUUGUUAUAAAAUCCUUCAUCAUAGUAUAGUAAGUUGAUGUUUUGGUUCUUAAGAUUUGUACCAUAAGCUGAUUAUGUCUGCAAUGACUCCCUUUCGAUUGCGGUUAAAUGCAUCCGAUAAACCGAGCUUGGAUUUCUUUACUUGAGAAGAAGACUGUGACAACCCAUCAGUGAACCCUAUCUUCCCAUAGCAACCCCUUCUUCUUCCUGGUCAUCUUCCCUGUCAUUGUCAAGUUCACAAAUAUUUAGAAUUGUGCUGGCACUGUAGGCACUGCAAUCGUUUAUGAGUAUUUAAAAUUAUGUUAACCUUGAAGGUAAAGCAAUUAUUUGAAAUUAAGCUCACCUUAGAGGCGAUAGAAACUAUUCAGGAUUAUGCUAAUGUAAUAAGGCGAGCUACCGUUUGAUCAAUGAACCUUUAGUGGAAUGAAAAUGAACCCUUGGUGAAAGCAAGGGCGAACCUUGGGGGGGUGACAGGCCCUGCCCCCUUAAAAUAGAAAAUUUUCCAUUUAGCCCUUUUAAAAUUUUUAAAAUUUUAAAUUAAUGAAGAUAAAAUUACACUUUGCCCCCUAAAAAUAUAAAAAUUUGAUUUAAUCUUUUAAAAAUUAUAAAGAUAUAGAUUACUAAAAUGAUAAAAUUGUAUUUUUUAUGUAAAAAUUACAAUUUAAUUUCGCCCCUAAAAAGGUUUUCUAAUUUCACCCCUACGUGAAAGGGUGCCUUUACGGUGGAUGGAUACCUUUAGGUGUCAUACCGUGGAUGGUAUGAUUAAACUAAAUCUAAGUCUUGACUUAAGUUUUUUUACUUGGUAUAUUGAUGAACCGUGCUUUCGUUUGUCUUAUAUGAACUUCACUUUUGUAGUUUGAUGGAUGGUAUAGACAUUGACUCAAGAAUAUAAAAUACCUUGUGAGGCUAUUGAAAUUCAUGCCUCAUCUUUUGUGGAGAGCCACUGAAUGGUUCACGGACGGGCUCAACUAUCAAUUUUUGGAGAUAUGUCUCAUCUUCGUGGAAAGUGAUUAAACGGUUCAUGGCGAGCUUGAUUGUCGAUUUUUGGUAUUAUGCCUCACCUCUACGGAGGGCUGCUGAACAAUUUAUAGAGGGUCCCAACUAUCAAUUUUUGGAGAUAUGUCUCACAUCUGUGGAGAGCCAUUAAAUGGUUCAUGGAGGGGCCUGACUAUCAAUUUUUGGAGAUAUGUCUCAUCUCCAUGAAUAGCCACCGAAUGGUUCAUAGAAUGGCCCAAAGGUGACACAGUUGACCUUACGACCAGGAUUACACAUGAAUGAAAGAAGUUGAGAAACAUAAAAAGUUGCUAACUAAAUUUAUAAUUUUUAAUAAUUGGGUAACCAAAUUCAAACAUCUAAAAUAGUUCAAUGAUAAAUAAUUUUAACUGUAAAUUAACUGACAACUUUAUGUAAUGACUGAUUGCAUAAAAAUAAAUUAUUGAUUACAUACCCUAUUUUAUAAACUAAAAUAUAAUUAUAUUACAAGUUCUAUAAUAUGAUAUCUAAUGGGUUAAUUUUUUAAGUUGCAUAUUUUUAAAAUUAAAAAUUUUAAUAUGUUAAUUUAUCAUUAUUUCAAUUUAUAUUUGUCCUAAAUAUGUGAUUUCUACACAUAUAUGUGUGUGAUAAAAUUUUUAGCAUAAUUUGAAUCUUUCAAACAGUAAAAUUUUUAAUUAUUACACUCUUGAUAUACUCUAAAGUUUUUUCAAGUCUAGGUCUGCUUUUGGCCUAGCUCGAUCAAUCCAAAAACCCAUUUUACUGUUAAAAAAUAAUAAAACUUUUAAAAUGCAUCAAAAGGCCCUCAAAUGCAAUUAAACCCUUGCUUUUAUUUUGCAUUCAUUUGGUUACUUAAACUUUUAAAAUGCAUCAAAAAAGCCCUCAAAUAUUUUCAAAAAAAAUUAAUUAAGCCCCUGAUUUUAUUUUUCACUCAAUUGAGUACUUAAAUUUUCAAAAUACAUCAAAAAGGCCCUCAAACUUUUUAAAAAAAAGUAAUUAAGCCCCUGAUUUUUUUUACACUCAAUUGGGUACUUGAACUGUCAAAUACAUCAAAAAGACCCUUUGACCGUUAACUUUAACAGUUGACUAUUAAACUUUAAUAGUUGACCAUUCAAGUACCCAAUUGAGUGCAAAAAAAAUCGAGGGCUUAAUUGCUUUUUUUGAAAAAGUUUGAGGGCCUUUUUUUAUACAAUUUGAAAGUUCAAGUACCCAAUUGAGUGCAAAGUGAAAGCUAGGGCUUAAUUGUAUUUUUGAAAAAUUUUGAGGACCCUUUUGAUGCAUUUUGAAAGUUCAAGUACCAAAGUGAGUGCAAAAUAAAAGCAAGGGCUUAAUUAUUUUUUUUUUUGAAAAAAUUUUAAGACUUUUUACACCUUUAAACCUAUUUAAAUUAAAUUCGCUUUGGACCGAAUUGAGAGUCUAUAUCAACUUCUAUCCCAUAUUUUUCACUCUAAAAUAUGAGGCGUAUGCUUUUUAUUUAUUUAUUUAUAAAAUUCAAAAUUUAUUUAAUAUAAAAUUUACGAAAUAAUAGACUAGUGUCGAAUGUGAUAAAAGACCAUAAUAAUAUUUGAUUCGAUAUCAUAAUAUCAAAAUAAGUUUAUAACUUAAAUGUUUUAAUUAUAAAUAUGAAAAUUUAGAAGGUUAUUUUGGGAAUUACAUAUAUUUAUAUGUAUAUAUUAGAGAAGAAAAAGAGAAUAGAAGGAAUGGAUGGUAAGGGAAAAUGUUUAAAAAGUGGAGGCAGUUUGAUUUCUUAUUUAUGCUCUUAACCUCUUCCUUCCAUCAUUCCUUUUCUCCUCUCUUUUGCACUAUCCUCCCCCCUACUUCUUUCCCACCCCCACUUUUAUCUUUCUCUUCAACAUCAUCACAAAUAUACAUCAAAUUUUAUUAAUAUGGAGAAACUAGAUUUAUCAAAAUAAAAAAAUAAACUAAACCAUAAAUGGUUCAUACCUCUUAUCCUCCUCAGGGGUUAAAGCGAAGAACAUUUUUAAAGUUUGGAUGGUCAUCCCACUCCAACGAUUCCCACCAUUCUGUGCUUGACCUGAUGGUAAGAGAAGGUGGAGCAUAUGCAAAUGGCUGCCCAUUGCCAACAAGGGCAACAAAUGGAGGAAUUCUCUUCAGUUUAUAACAGUCUCCAGCAACUUGGAUAAGUUGGAGAGAAUCGCAAACCAUCACUCCACUUUUGCUGCAAAUGCUCUUCAAAUUUGGUAAUCUCCACAAUUUCAACUUUCUCAAUUUGGGAAGAUGGAAUUUGAUUAAUGCAUCACUCCCUUUUUCUUCAACUUGUGAUGUUGGUGCUCCCAAUAUUUCUACUAACUCAUAACAAAUAUCCACUAAUAUUUCUUCCAGGUUUUGGGGGUUUGGAAGCAACCAAUGUGGAAGCAACGUCUUCAUACUUGAGCAUUCGAUUAUAACAAUUUCCUUAAGAUGGGAAAAGGUGGCAGACGUAGCCAAUGUUGAUGUAGUUGCUGAACCAAUUCCUGCAUCAUUCAUAAUAAGGGCACUCAACUUUGGCAGAUCUCGAAGAUCUAACACCUCGAGGCUCUGAAAUGGAUGAGCGGAAGAAGAGGCAAAAGAGGACAAGGAAACAACACACUCUAUCCCUUUACAAUCAUAAAUCCUCAAGUCAAUCGCAUUUUUUAAGGAAGAAUUAUCAUCGACUAGGUUUCUCAAAUAGUCGCACUUUAAAAUAUUCAACUCUUGAAUUUCAAUUGGGUGCAUAAUUAGCUCACCUUCCCAAUUCUGGACUCCUCCAAUUGUUACUGUUUUAUCUCUUGCAGCGGGUAUAAAAGAUGAGCCCACCUGUAAAUAGUACUUGAUGAGAUUUUUCUUACUUUGUUGCAUUGAGGAGAUGUACUUAUUGAAUUCAUUGAUGUCUUCGAAACGUCCGGUAAAGCACUCCAACUUCUUCAAUGGUUCCAUCUCCUCUGCUUUUAGACUUGUUUUUUCAUUGCCCUCAUGAAAACCCAAGUGCUGAAGGUGAACGAGUUUUGGUAAAAGUCCAGCGGGUAUCUCUUUCAGAGUGAACACUUGAAGAUCAAGAUAUCUUAGCUUUAUCAGCAUAUCCAUUCCUUCAGGGACUUCCUCAAUUUUAGUCCCAGAAAGAUCCAACUUCUUCAAUUCUUGAAGCACCGAAAGACAUGGCAGAUCUCUUAAUUGAUAACAACCACGAAGCAACAAUGUUGUGAGGUUCUUUAGUUCAGAGAUGGAAUUUGGUAAACUCUCGAUCUUUGUAAAAGACAAAUUGAGAACACUAAGACAAGGCAUGUUUGUGAAGAAAGAAAUUGAGAUCUUCUUUAUAGGGUUGUGCUGCAAUAACAAGGUUGUGAGCAGUUGACAUUUUGUGGGCAGCACAUCUAUGGAAAUUUCUGAUAUCGAGUUAAACAUAAGCGACACUUUCUCAAUAUCCGGACUCCAUUGCUCCUCUUUUGGUAACUCCUCUAAUUGCAAACCUGCUUGUAUCAUAUAUCGAGGAUUCAUUCUUGUGAUCGACAAUACCAUGUCUCUCACUGCAUCAUGCAUUUUCAUUUCUGACAGCUUCCUCUCCAACUAGUUCUGAUGUUGGCAGCGGCAACCCAGAACUUGGACCAUCCAUGGCAAGGCCUUCAGAGGGAUUAGGAGCUUUAUCAAGAAAUCCCUUCAUUUCUCGAGUCUUUUCAUCAACCAGCUUCCCGUUGCAAGCACGACAGAGAUAUCUCCCGUUACUGACUUUGUUUUCAACAACUUGUGCUUCCCUAAUCAUCUCUUUCACUGCUUUCAACCAAUUUUCAACUCCCUGCUUCGGUAUCUUCCCCAGAGGACGAAGAAGCUCUGCUUUCAAUUGCAGCUCUAUAUCUUCCAUUUUGCAAUUCAAUUCAUCUCUGAUCCUCUUGAAGUUUCUCACAUAAUCGUUCAGCUUUCUGUGAUAUUGCAAACAUUUACAAACAGGAGUUCCGAGACAAUUUGCAAUGCCGACAACAGGCUCUACGCACUCCAUUGCUAUGUCCCUGCAAUGCAAUCAUAUAUAACAGUAGCAGAGAAUUAAAAUCUGUGAAUGAAUUGUAUAUUUUAUGAAGUAUUGAUAUGUCAGUGUAAGCAUGAGUGCAAGUUUCAAGGAAUGGCGUCUAUAUUAGAUGGAGCUGUGGAUGGGUGGCAGACAGAAACAUGAUGAAAUUCUGGUCACCAUUGUAUAUCCAGAAUCAACCUCUCAAACUAUAUAACAUGCUAGAUUCAAGUGUGCAAGAGUUCAUUACAGAAUAAUAAGAGGUAAAAUGUUCAACUGCAUGAGAUUUCCACAUUAUAUUGCUUCUGGGUAGCUCUUUUCGUAUUAAUUUGUAUCUAUAGUAGACCAUGUCUUCUGAACAUACUGUCUUAAAAUCUAUAAUCAGUAGAGGAAAUCAUUGCUUCAGAUCUUAUUACCUUGACUAUCUUACAAAGCAUAGCUCUUUUCGUAUUAAUUUGUAUCUAUAGUAGAUUAUGUCUGCUGAUCAUCCUGUCUUAAAAUCUAAAACUGUUGAUAAUCACUAGAGGAAACCAUUGCUUCAGAUCUUAUUACCUUCACUAUCUUACAAAGCUAGCUGCUAUAACUGUAGCUGAUAAUAAAAAACAAUCAUUGUAUAGUCAUGCAUUAAGCAAAUGACAGAAAAUUACCUUGACUGGAUGCUUGAAAUUAGUGAUAGACCUUGGAGAUCAAAAGAAAUUAAAAAGAGUGAAGAAGAAGUGAAAACAGAAAUAAGCAAAGUUGUGAUAGGAAUUAAUGGGAAAGUAUGUGAAGAAGAAGAAGAAAGAGAAAAUAAUUAAUAAUUAAUGGGAAAGCAUAAUUGGCAUUAAAAAUUAUUAGAAAAACUCAAAAUAGAAAUCCAUCUCUUUUGCCUUUUUCUUUUUGAUUUUUUUUUCUUUGCUGUCAGCCAUUAUAAUUGGCAUUAAAUAAUAAUAAUAAUUAGGUUUAAUGAUAAAUUUGGUCACUAACUUUUGCUUGUUUUGUCAAAAUGGUCCUAAUUCUAUUUUUGAGCUUUUCUUUACCAUCAUCUUUUGUUUCAAUAUUUCUUUUCUUUCAAAAGUUUUCAAUCUUUCAUAUGUUUGUUUACUGAGAAGUUUUUCUACUGAGUUAACUUUUUUUCAUUUGGAACUUUAAUAAGUAUAUUUGUGUUCUAAAUUUUUAUAUAUUUGUAUAUGUAAAUAAUGACAUUGAUUUAGCGUCACAAAUAAACAUGACACCAACUCAGUAUUAAAGACAAAACAAUGAUAAACAUUUGUAUUCAUUUAAUAUUCAUGUGUUUUUGUAUUUAAAUUUUGUUUCACUCCCAAUUUAUUUUUAUUUUAAUAUUAUACAUAUUUCAUGUGUUAUUAUUAAUUAGUUUCGAAUCAUACUCUUCAUUAUUUAUUGUAUGUUCUUUUUAAACACAAAUAUGUGUUCUAAAUACGUGAUUGUCACACUCAUAUGCGUGUGAUAAGAUUUCUAGUGUUAUUAAAACCUUUUAAAAAAAUUGUAAUUUUUAGACUCAUUAAUAUACUCUUAAAAAUAAUCUAAAAUUUUUUCAUGCCUACCCAUUUUUAUCCCAGCUCAGUCAACCCAGAAAUAUUCAUUUGAGAGAUCAAAAAAUAAUAAAAUAAUAAAAAUUAUUUUUAUAUUCUUAAUUAAAUUUAAAAUUUAAAAAUAUUUUUUAUUAUUUAAAUUGAAUUCGAGUUGGAACAGCUCGUGACAUAAAAAACCUUGUCCAAGCCCAACUUAACCAUGGAAGAAGAAACACAUUUGGUUUUUACAAUUUGGGUUUUGAAAAAUAAUUUAAAUGUAAUUAAAAUUUGAACUGAGUUUGAAAAAAAAGUUGUGGUAUAUUUUGUAAUCUUUUGACAAAAAAAUGACAUCCGGGUCGAUUUUAUAAGUCUCUGUAAUAUCAGUCCUAGAUGUUCUUCAAGAGCAUGAAACUGAACUUUUUUAUUUUGUUUUGUUUCUAAUUUGUUAUUGGAUUCUAUUGAAUGAUACUUUUCUUUAUUUCUAAUACAUUUUAGUUCUUCAACAACAUAUUCAAGAUUUUAUUUUUCUAGAAUUUAAUAUGUAUUUUUCUAUUUUAUAAAUGAUUUUAAUUUUUUUAUAUAAAAUUAGGGUCAAAUUGAUAGAAAUAUAUAUAUAUAAAUUGAGGACAAAAAUUGUAACGCCACAAACCUGGUUUAUACGUUAUGGUCGAAUCUGGAGGAAUUACAUUAACUUGUUUAAAAACCCAGAAAAUAAAUUUGAAAUUGUGUGUUUUGACAAUAUUAAUUAUGGCGAAUCACUUUUUAGUUUUUAAGAAAACAAUCGUUAAAACUAUUUAUUUUGUUAUAGAAAAAUACUUAAGCGAUUAUUUUAUUUUGCAGUGAAAAAUUUUAGAGUACUAAAAUUUGAAAACCAUGACUUAAUUUGUAAAACACAAAAUCUUGUAGUUUUAAGUAAUAAUUACUAAAUCCAACUAAGCAAAGCAAAAUUCAGAAAAAGAUUUACAACCCCCCAUCAUACUUAAAUAAUUGAGAACUCAAUCUGAUCUUUUGCUCGUCGUCUGGUCCUAAAUAUGUUGAUUAAUUGAGAAAUUAGAAACAUUGGGUGAGCUUAUAGGCUUUGUAACACCCCAAACCCGGCCUAGACGUUAUGGCCAAAUCUGGAGAUGUUACUACAAUUUAUUUGAAAAUCCAGAAUUUGUUCGACUUAUAAAACAAUGAUAGCUCUUAUUAAGUAAAAUCCGAGUUUAUUUGGGGAAAAUAUCCUUGUUAACCAUUUCGAUAAAUUUGUCGAUUAUUUACUCAUAAAACACUUACGUUUGCAGCAAAAAUUCUUAGUUGAGUUUGAUUUUGGAAACAUGGUUUGUUGCUAUAUAAUUUAACAUUUUGUAGAUCGAGUUUAAACCAACCAAAAAUGUUUAAAUAAAUAAAUAAAACGAAAAUAAACCUAAACUUAUAAACAUUCCAAACAUUAAAAUCCUACUCUGAUAUAAUUUUCAAACAUGCUUUCGUAAGUCAAUCAGACAUAUAUCAUAUAUCAUAUACAGAAAUAGAAUUAGAAGAUAUCAGAUGUAGAUUACAAUCCUACUCUGAUCUGUUACACACCAUCUCCGAUCAUCUCUACGCACUAUAUAGGGCAUUAAAUACCCAUCAAACCCUACACACUGCUUAGUGUCGGUAUGAAACUUUUCAAAAUAUUAGCAGCUUAACUGCCAGAUCAUUAGGUGAUUCAUUGCCAAAUGCAAAAUAUGUGUGGCUGAGCCACCAAAUAUGAUAAAUGAAUUAAACUCCCACACUUCCUCCGUAAACACAAAUCUCAUCCUAAUGCACAUGCAGAAUUAACAAAUGUCAGAAAUGUACAUGUCAUACAUGCUUUUAUAGUAGAUAAACAUUUGUGUUCUAAAUUUUUAUAUAUUUGUGUAUGUAAAUAAUGUUAUUGAUUUAGCAUCAUCAACUCGGGAUUGAAGACAAAACAAUGAUAAACAUUUGUAUUCAUUUAGUAUUCUUAAUAUGAUGUGUUUUUGUGUUUAGAUUUUGUUUUACUCUAAAUUUAAUCUAAUUUUUAUUUUAAUAUCAUACAUAUUUCAUGUGUUAUUAUUAAUUAGUUCCAAAUCAUACUUUUCAGUAUUCAUUGUAUGUUAUUUUUAAACACAAGUCUGUGUUAUAAAUAUUUGAUUUCCACAUGCAUAAUCGUGUGAUAAGUUUAUAGUGUUAUUAAGACCUUUCAAAAAAAAAUUGUAAUUAUUAGACUCCUUGAUGUACUCUUAUAAAUAAUCUAAAAAAUUUUCAAGCCUAACCCAUUUUUAGCCUAGCUUGGUCAAUCCAAAAAGUCCAUUUGAGAGUUCAAUAAAUAAUAAAAUAUCAAUUUUUUAUAUUUUUAAUCAAAUUUAGAUUUUAAAAAUAUCUUUUAUUAUUUAAAUUGAAUUCGAGUUGUAACGGCUCAAGACAUAAAAACCUUGUCCAAGCCCAACUCGACCAUGGAAGAAGAAACAUAAUUUGUUUUUACAAUUUGGGUUAUGAAAAAUAAUUUAAUAUAAUUAAAUUUUGAAUUGAGUUUGAAAAACAUUUUGUGGUAUAUUUUGUACUCUUUUGACUAAAAAAAUGACAUCCGGGUCGAUUUCAUAAGCCUCUGUAAUAUCAGUUCUAAAUUUUCUUCAACAGCAUGAAACUCAACUAUAUAAUAUUACUAAUUUGGUUUUGAAAAACGUUGAGGAAGUAUGUAAUGAUCUAACUUUUUUUAUUUUGUUAUGUGCCUAGUUUGUUAUUGGAUUCUAUUGAAUGAUACUUUUUUUUUAAUUCUCAUACAAUUUAGUUCUUCAACAAAAUAUUCAAGAUUUUAUUUUUCUAGAAUUUAUAUACAUUUUUCUAUUUUAUAAAUGAUUUUGAGUUUUUUUUAUAAUUUUUAUAUAAAAUCAGGGUCAAGUUGAUAAAAAUAUAAAAAUUAAGGACUAAAAUUGUAACAUCCCAAACCCGGCCUAGACGUUAUGGCCAAAUUUGGAGGAAUUACAUGAGCUUAUUUAAAAACCUAGAAAUUGAAUUUGAAAUCGUGUGUUUUGGCCAUACUAAUUCUGGCAAAUCACUUUCCAAUUUUUAAGAAAACACUCAUUAAAACUAUUUAUUUUAUUAUAGAAAAACACUUAAAUGAUAACUUUAUUUUACAGAGGAAAUUUCAGAAUAUUAAAUUUUGAAAAUCGUGACUUAAUUUGCAAAACACAAAACUUUGUAGUUUUAAGCAAUAGUUACUAAAUUCAACUAAGCAAACCAAAACGUAAAGCAAAAUAUAGAAACAGAUUUACAACCCCCCAAAAAAUCUAGAAAAUCCUGAAUAAUUUUAAAACAUGAACCAUCAUACUUAAAUAACUGAGAACCCAAUCUGAGCUUCUACACGUCGUUUGGUCCUAAGUAUGCCGAUUACCUAAGAAGUCAAAGAACUUGGGUGAGCUUAUAGGCUUAGUGUGUAAGUCAACCCAAACAGGCAGAAUAGACUCAAAUACAGUAACGGUUAUAGAAAUAGAUACAAUUCAAUUACAUAUAUAAUUUCAAUUGCAGAUACAGAUGCAAUCUCAUAUAUAGAAUUAGAUGCAGAUACAAAUACAGAUGUAAAUACAGACACAGAAAUAAAUCCUACACCCAUCCACUACACACCAUCUCCGUCUCACCAAUACACAUCAAAUAGGACUAUAAGAGCCCAUCCAUCCGUCACACCAAUAAGUGAGCGUAUAUCACUUUUUAGAAUAGCGCAGUCAAGCUGCCAGAAAUAAUGCGGUAUUCUGUCAAAAUCAAUAAGUGUGGUUAAGCCACCAUAUUAGAUAUGUGGUUAAACCACAAAUUAAGUCAUCCUGAGUUGCCCGACAACGAUGCACAUGCCAAAACAUUUUACAUACUCAGAUGCACAUAAAUGAAUCAUGCUUAAAUAGAUUUUCAAAUUACAGAUCAGAAGCAUAAAUUAUACCACAGACAUGCUCUCGAAUAUUACACGUACAAUGUCAAUAUUGAAUAAUAUGCUUUCAAAAAUCACAUUAACAGAAACAAAAUAUCAAAUUUCGUAUCCAAAUGCAUACAUAACACAUUUCGGAACCUACGAAGUGACUAAUUUCAAAUCGCACUUCAAGUACGACCCUGACAGAAUUUUAUGGAAAAUGGGCCCACAUGGCCUAACUGACCCAACCUGUGUGGCCUGCACGGCCUGACACACAUCCUAACACACACCCAUGUAGCCCACACGGCCCAAAUAACCCAGCCCAUAUGACCCACAUAACCUGGCACAUGGUUGUGUGACGUCGAUAGUGGGUUUUUUGAGAUCAUGUCAUUCGCUAUUUUUUGAUGUUUUCGUUACACACCUAGUCGGUUUUCGAUGCUAACACCACUAUGAGGAUUUCAAUACCUAAACCAACAUUUUAGAACGUAAUAAUUAUUAGUAAUUUGCUAAAUCCAAGUCACUAAUUCGAUCGCAUAUGCUAAACACUUAGCCUAAGCAACUGAAUUACCUCCAAUUGAAAACUUUAAUCACUUACCCUUGCAAGAACAACAACCCUUUCCCCCACACAAACCGCUGGAGACAAGUCACGAGUCUGUCAAUCUUGUCCUAACAACACAUUGCAAAGAUCAAACUUGAAACCAUCAAUCACUUGAAAGAUUAACCCAACAUCACAUUUAUAUAAAACAAAUAACCAACACUUCCCUAAAGGAAUAACAGAGAUUCAACAGUGUACCAAUAGAAUAACACAAAAGAAAAUAGUAGAGCAAAGAUGAGAAAGGAAGGCAGCAAAACUACUAGAGCAAAAAGAAAAUAGAAAUCGAUAGAUGGAAAAAGAAAAGGGAAAAGAAAACGUGAACAAUGUGGCAAGAAGUGGACGAUAGAAUGAGGUAAAUUUUGGGGAAAUUUUGUAGGAAAAUGGAAAACUUCCCCAUUCAAUUUGAUUAGUUAUCCUUAUAAAAAAUAUUUCUCAGAGUUUGAAAACAAAAAUAAUUCCACUUUACACAGAUAAGAUUCAAACACAAACCUCUAAGUAAACUAAAGCCUUACCACUAAACUAGCAAACUCAUUCUUAUCAUCAAUUGAGCAAAAAUAAUAUAUAAGCUAGAUGUUCAGAAGUGGAAGUUAGGACAAAAAUAAUGAAAAUUUAAGGGAAAAGAUUUGAACACGGAAAAGAUUUGAACACAAGACCUUAGACACAUCUAAAGCACUUAACCACUAAACCAAAUCAAUUUACUUAACAUAAUUUCCCAAUCUUAAAUCAAAAAUAGGACAUGACCACUCUUGGUUUCACUAACCCAAUUUCUACUAACCUGGUUUUUGGGAUGUGACAAAAAUUGUUAUCAUACUAGCUAAAGUAAGCGCCACUUAACAGUCGGGUGACCAAAAUUUUUUUCUAGAAACAUUAGUGACCAAAUUGUAUCUUAUUUUAGUUAAGUGACCAAAAUGAAAAUUGACCCUUUUUUGAGUGACUAAUGGUGUAGUUUACCCUAAAUUCUUUUAAAAACUUUAGUUUAAUUUUUUUUAAUGUUAUUAGAAGAUUUCAAACAAUAAAAUUUUAAUUUAAAAUUUUUAAUUAUUAGACUCCUUGACAUUAUUAUUCUCUUAAAAAUAAUCUAAAAAUUUUCAAGUCCAAGCCCGUUUUGACCCAACUCAACCUACCUAAAAAGCUCGUUUCAAUGUUCAAAAAAAAAGUACAUUUUUAUAAUUAAAUUUAAAUUUUAAAAAUAAUUUUUUUAUUAUUUAAAUUAAAUUUGAGUUGGACCGACCCGAAUUAUAAAAAACUUUAUCUAUAUAGACCCGACUCUCGUUGAAGGCCCAUGGAUGGGUCUAUAGUCAACUAUUAUCCCAUAUUUUAAACUUAAAAUUUGAAGCCUAUGUAUGCUUUUUAUUAUAAAAUUUUGAAGUUUAUUUUUAAAAAAAUAAUAAAAUAAAAGUUAGUGUUGAAUGUGGUAAAGGACCAUUAUAAUAUUUAAUUUUGGCAUCAUAUCAAAAUAAGUUUAUAAUUAAUUGUUAUUGUAUUAUAUAAAUUAUUUUUUAAAAUAAAUAUUUUAGAAGGCUAUUUUGAGAUGUGUAUAUAUAUACAUGCAUAUUAAGAUAAAAUCAUGUUAAUUUUUAAGGAAGAAUAAGAAAAUGUUUAUUUAUAAAGGAAAUAAAUCUUUAUAGUCCUUUUAGUAUGAUUUUGAUAUUUCAUGAUUGAUUCUUUCACCGAUGCUACCUUUCAAGGUAGAUUGACAAUAUUUUGAAAAGUUGUCAUUUCCAAAGAGGAAUCUGAUUAGCAUUACUUUGGUAGACUUGAAUUUCAUAUGGUCCAUGUGUCCUUCACUCCAACUAUUCAAAACAGCUAAAUAUCCAAUCCCGUAUUUAUUUAAGCAACUUUUCUUUCAUUCCUUUCACUUGAAACUCAAAACGAAAGUACUUUCUUGAGAUUCUCCUUAUAGCAAUGCCUUCCAAUUCCUCCUUAAAAUUAUCUCUCAAACUAUUAACUUUAAAGAAAUUCUUGUAAUGGCAAUCAAACAUUUUUUACAGUUUAUGCACAAUUUUACAAUUAACAAAAAUAGCGAUAAAUUUCUUUGAUUCUAACACUGAAUUAUCUUCAAUGCACCUAAUACAUUCCAUGACUAUAAAUUUGUUCAGCAUAUUUUCUCAAUCAUUCAAAAGUAGGGGUUUAGUGUGUUUUGAAUUUUGGAAUCACCAUGUUGAUAUUGGUUUAUGUCUUGUUUGCAACAUAUCUUGCCUCUUUGAUGCUAGAGAAUUUAGCAAAGUCAAAUUUGCACCCUUUAGCUGUCAACUUGCCUGAUAGGAAUAUAUAUAUUUAUCAUAUCUUUGGAAAACAUAUGUGAGUCAUCUUUGAUCACAAAUUAUUUUUAAAAGACAAAAUAGUAGGAUUGAUUAGUUGUCUCUCAAAUCACCAUUUCAAAAUAUAUAAUCCUUUUAUUAUAGUUCAUUUAGACCAUAUCAAAUGUUUUCAAUUUAUUUUGCUACUCUUUCUAUAUUAUUUAAAUUUUAAUCAUAUCAAUUUAUAAUAUCUUAUUUAUCGUUUACAGUAUGAGCCAUAUCUUCUCGUGAAUUAAUCCUCUUCUAAUUUUGAAGUUGGUGUUUAUAAAUAUAUAUAUAUAUAUAUAUAUUAUAAGAACAUUAAUGAAAUAAUACAACCAAUAAAAAUGAUAUUUUAAUAUAAAUUGAUUACCAUUUAACUGAAUUCUUAAAUAAUUUAAAAAAGAAAAAAGAAAACAAUCAAGGGUAUAAUUAAGAUGGAGAACAUUUUUAAACAUUAGUUAAUAUUUUAAUUUAAUAAAAUUAAUUACAAAUUGAAUAGUUAAUUUUAAAAAUUAAUUUUAUAGUGCAAAAUUUAAAUUUCUAACAAAUUGGUUUGUUUUUAACAUAGAGGCUGAUGUGGCUAUUAGUUGUCUAACGGUCAACAUUAACCUCUGACAUGAUGGUCUAAAUGAAUUUAAAUACGAACAUAACAUUAUUUUCUCUUAUAUACCACGUCAGCAAAUAAUUUUAAGAUUAUUAAAAAAAACCCUAAACAUACACGAACACAAAUUUCAUAUUCAAAUUGAUACAAUUGCAAAAAUCAAGAACCACAAACAUAGAGUUGAGAACACAAUCUAUAGUACCUUAAAAACUUAUGUCCUGUUCGAAAACUAGAGGUGCUCAUGGGCCGGGCCGGGAUAAAACAGGUGAAUUUCAUAUCAACUUUCAAAUCUCACCGAUGACUAAUUUCAAAUCUCACUUCAAAUACGACCUUGACGGAAUUUUAUGAAAAAUGGGCCCACACGGCCUAACUGACCCAACCCGUAUGGCCUACACGGCCUGGCACACAGCCUAACACACACCCGUGUAGCCCACGACCCAAAUAACCCAGCCCGUAUGACCCACAUAACCUGGCACAUGGCUGUGUGACGUCAAUAGUGGGUUUUUCGACAUCGUGUCAUUCACUAUUUUUUGAUAUUUCCAUUACACACCUAGUCGAUUUUUUAUGCUAACAUACUACGAGGAUUCCAGUACCUAAACCUACAUUUUAGAAUGUAAGAAUUAUUAGUAAUGUGCUAAAUCCAAGUCACUAAUUUGAUUGCAAAUGCUAAACACUUAGCCUAAGCAACCGAAUUACCUCCAAUUGAAAACUUCAAUCACUUGCCCUUGAAAAAAACAACAACCCUUUCCCGCACAUAAACUGCUGGAGACAAGUCACGAGUCUGUCGAUCUUCUCCUAACAACACAUUGCAAAGAUCAAAGUUGAAACCAUCAAUCACUUGAAAGAUUAACCCAACACCACAUUUAUAUAAAACAAAUAACCAACACUUACUCGAAGGAAUAACAGAGAUUCAACAGCGUACCAAUAGAAUAACACAAAAGAAAAUAGUUGAGCAAAGAUGAGAAAGGAAGGCAGCAAAACUACUAAAGCAAAAAGAAAAUUAAUAGAAAUCAUUAGAUGGCAAAAGAAAAGGGAAAAGAAAACAUGAACAAUGUGGCAAGAAGUGGACGACAGAAUGAGGAGAAUUUUGGGGAAAUUCUCCUCACUCAAUUUGAUUAGUUAUCCUUAUAAAAGAAAUUUCUAGAGUUUAAAACAAAAAUAAUUCCACUUUGCACACAUAAAAUUCAAACACAAGACCUCUAAGUAAACUAAAGCCUUACAACUAAACUAGCAAACUCAUUCUUAUCAUCAAUUGAGCAAAAAUAAUGUAUAAGCUAGAUGUUUAAAGAUGGAAGUUAGGACAAAAAUAAUGAAAAUUUAAGGGAAAAGAUUUAAACACAAGACCUUAGACACAUCCUAAGCACUUAACCACUAAACCAAAUCAAUUUGCUUAACAUAAUUUUCACAAUCUUAACUCAAAAAUAGGACGUGACCACUAUUGGUUUCACUAACCCAAUUUCUACUAUCCUGGUUUUUGGGAUGUGACAAAAAUUGUUAUCAUACCAACUAAAGUAAGUGCCAUUUAACAGUCGGGUGACCAAAAUAUUUUUUUCUAGAAACCUUAGUGACCAAAUUGUAUCUUAUUUUAGUUAAAUGACAAAUGAAAAUUGACCCUUUUUUGAGUGACUAAUGGUGUAGUUUACCCUAAAUUCUUUUAAAAACUUUAGUUUAAAUUUUUUUAUGUUAUUAGAAGAUUUCAAACAAUAAAAUUUUAAUUUAAAAUUUUUAAUUAUUAGACUCCUUGAUAUUAUUAUUCUCUUAAAAAUAAUCUAAACUUUUUCAAGUCCAAGCCCGUUUUCGACCCAACUCGACCUACCUAAAAAGCUCAUUUCAAUGUUUAAAAAAAAUAAAAGUAUAUUUUUAUAAUUAAAUUUAAAUUUUAAAAAUAAUUUUUUUAUUAUUUAAAUUAAAUUUGAGUUGGACCGACCCGAAUUAUAAAAAACUUUAUCUAUAUAGACCUGACUCUGGUUGAGGGCCAUGGAUGGGUCUAUAAUAAACUAUUAUCCCAUAUUUUUAACUUAAAAUUUGAAGCCUAUGUAUGCUUUUUAUUAUAAAAUUUAAAGUUUAUUUUUUAAAAGAAUAAUAAAAUAAAAGUUAGUGUUGACUGUGGUAAAUGACCAUUAUAAUAUUUAAUUUUGACAUCACAUCAAAAUAAGUUUAUAGUUAAUUGUUAUAUGUAUUAUAUAAAUUAAUUUUUAAACUAAAUAUUUUAUAAGGCUAUUUUGAGACGUAAAUAUAUAUAUAUAUAUAUACAUGUAUAUUAAGAUAAAAUAAUGUUAAUUUUUAAGGAAGAAUAGGAAAAUGUUUAUUUAUAGGGGGAAAUAAAUCUUUAUAGUCAUUUUAGUAUAAUUUUAAUAUUUCAUGAUUGAUUCUUUCAUCGAUGCCACCUUUUAAGGUAGAUUGGCAAUGUUUUGAAAAGUUGUCAUUUCCAAAGAGGAAUCUGAUUAGCAUUACUUUGGUAGACUUGAAUUUCAUAUGGUCCAUGUGUCCUUCGCUCCAACUAUUCAAAACAGCUCAAUAUCCAAUCAUGUAUUUAUUUAAGCAACAUUUCUUUCAUUCCUUUCGGUUGAAACUCAAAACGAAAUUACUUUCUUGAGAUUCUCCUUAAGCAAUGCCUUCCAAUUCCUCCUUAAAAUUAUCUCUCAAACUAUUAACUUUAAAGAAAUUUUUGUAAUGGCAAUGAAACAUUUUUUUCAGUUUAUGCACAAUUUUACAAUUAACAAAAAUAACAAUUUUACCAUUUUACAAUUUUACAAUUAUCUUUGGAAACAAUAUGUGAGUCAUCUUUGAGUGAUCUUUGAUCACAACUUAUUUAUAAAAGACAAGAUAGUAGGAUUGAUUAGUUGUCUCUCAAACCACCAUUUCAAAAUAUAUAAUCCUUAUAUUAUAGUUCAUUUAGAUCAUAUCAAAUGUUUUCAAUUUAUUUUGCUACUCUUUCUAUAUUAUUUAAAUUUUAAUCAUAUCAAUUUAUAAUAUCUUAUUUAUCGUGUAUGAGUUAUAUCUUCUCGUGAAUUAAUCCUCUUCUGAUUUUGAAGUUGGUGUUUAUAAAUAAAAAUAAAAUAAUAUUAUAAGAACAUUAAUGAAAUAAUACAACCAAUAAAACUUAUAUUUUAAUAUAAAUUGAUUACCAUUUAACUGAAUUCUUAAAUAAUUUAAAAAAGAAAAAAGAAAACAAUCAAGGGUAUAAUUAAGAUGGAGAACAUUUUUAAACAUUAGUGAAUAUUUUAAUUUAAUAAAAUCAAUUACAAAUUAAAUAGUUAAUUUUAAAAAUUAAUUUUAUAGUGCAAAAUUUAAAUUUCUAACAAAUUGGUUUUUUUUAACAUAGAGGUUGAUGUGGCCGUUAGUUGUCUAACAGUCAACAUUAACCUCUGACAUGACAGCUCAAAUAAAUUUAAAUACUAACAUAACAUUAUUUUCUCUUAUAUGCCACGACAACAAAUACUUUUAAAAUUAUUAAAAAACAAUAAAAAAAAACACCUAAACAUACACGAACACAAAUUUCAUAUUCAAAUUGAUACAAUUGCAAAAAUCAAGAACCACAACCAUAGAGUUGAGAACACAAUCUACAGUACCUUAAAAACUUAUGCCCUGUUGGAAAACCAUAAAAUCCCAUAUUGAACAUAAAUCUAUGAAACACAAUGCUUUCCUUGUCAUCAAAAUUUUCUCAAGAAAAUCAAUGAAGGACCUGAGAUGAAGCAUAGUUAUUGAUGAGAGCCAAAACAUUGCUCGUCAAACGUGUGAUCUUAAUAAUUCCUUUCCUCACCAUCAUCUUUGCAUACCCAUUCAUAGCCCUGCUUGAGAAUCUAUCCAUUCAAGUAUCUUCAUCCGUCAGAGCAGCAUCAACCUAGGUUUGAAGAUCACUCAUAAGCACAAAGUUGGAGCCUCUGAUAUGAAAAAAAUUUACAUAUAGAUUUUUGGAGCUCUUAGAUAGAGUCGUAGAUCAGUUCGAUGCAAUCCACGUGGCGGAAGUGACCCGAGGUUUCAAACAUGGGUUCCGGCGACUCUUCGCAUGAGCUUAGAUGUGGAUUUGUUGGUUUUGAAGGUGACGAGGAGGGUGGUGUGAGAAAUCCCCAAAAUCUCCAAAAUUGAAAACCUAAACAAAAAUUCGCAAAAUCAAAACCCUUACCCAAAAUCCCCAAAUUAGACCACCCAAAAUCCAAAAUCCUCAAAAUCGACAACCCUAAACAAUUUAUGGUGAUUUUAGAAAUAAAUGUAAAAGAAAAUAAAUAUUUAUUUUCGAAAAUAAAAACUACUCAACCUCAAUAGACGAAACACACAAGCAUGAUAAAUAAUCUCCACGAAAGAAAUUUAUAAAAGCACGUGGUGUCGAGAAAAUUAGAUUUAAGGAAACCCUAAAAUUUUUAGAAACUCUUCAAAUGCCACAAAAGAAUCUAAAUCAAGAAAAAAAACUGGAAAAAGAAAAAUUGAACAAACAAAUAAAUUGUACAGAAAUGGGUUUGCAAAUGAUAUGCGAUGGAUUCAAUAAAGAAAUAAAAGGAUUUGAAGAGAGAAACUUACCGAUUAAGAAAAGAGAGAAUUAGCAAUGAUCUAUUGUAAUAAUCUUUUAUGCCCAUCCCCCAAACCCCAAUCUUGCUCACCUCCUCCUGCAUCAAACAUGCCCAAAUGUCAUUUCUGACAGCUUCUUCUCCAACUACUCCUCAAGGCUCAGCAGCAAUCGUAAGCGAAGCUUUUGGCAUGGGACUUCUCAAAUAAACCUUUCUUUUGCUUUUACCCUUCUUUGGGUUUGUUGAGAAAUUUUGUGUGAUUUUGUUGAUUUCAUUUUUCAGGUUAUGCAGCAAAUAGGUAAAGAUGAAUGUACAAGCUCAUUUUGCCCGGGGCCCAACUAACCCAAUCAAUAAACCCAUUACCAGACCCCAAACAACACCCAAAACCCAACAAAACAAAAAAUAAAGACCCAAUAACCAAGCUCAAUUACAUCAGGCCCAAAAUUUCAGCCCAGUCAAACUAGGGUUUCAGAAAACUGAAAGCCUAGCUUACCUGCCCUCAGCCGCCGUUGCCCAUGCCACUGCCGCACCUAACCCCUGGCCUUCUGAUGCCGUUGCCCACCUGCUCCACCAACUCCUCUGGCACCUACAAGGGAGAGUACACGCAACAACAAGUACCAAGGCAGUAGAAAUAAUAAAACAAAAUCAUGUAAAAUGGCUAUAAAAGCCAAAGAGUCAAACGAUUGUAACUUUUUUUUUACAGACAGACAUUAGAAAAAAAAAAAAAAAACAAACUCAAACUUCAAAAGGUUGGGCAUCCAUUCUGCUUAGUUUUUCAUUUUUUCUUUUUACUUAUUAUUUUUAUCGUCAUCUUUUACAAGUUUAUUUUUUUAACAAGGAAAAUUAUAUUAAAAAACAAUAAAAAAGGAGAAAUCUUUACCCUUUUUUUGUUGUCAUCGGAGUGCUUAGAAGGCCGAGGAGGGACACCGAAAAAAAGGUGAACUUUUCAGUUCACGGCCACCGUAUGCGGCAGCGCCGGCGCCGGUAACUGGCGGCCGGUGACCGACGGCCAACGGCCGGUUCCGAGGCUGUUUUCUGGAGGAAGAAAGGGGGAGUGGAGAGAGUUUGAAGGUUUUUAUUUUAAAAAGAAGAAGGAAAUGAAUUUUUUAUAAAAUUUUGGAAUUUAUAGGGGAAUAAAACGGCACCGUUUUGGCUUGGCACCAAAACACCCAAAACGACGUCGUUUUGUCAUGGACCGACCCGACCCAAUGAAGAUCCGCGUGUUUUCAUACCUGAGGGUCUAUUUUCGCUUUUAGUCCUUCCUCUUUUGCUCUUUCGUGCAAUCUAGUCCCAUUUUGUUUUUUAAUUCGGUCGCCUGAUUUUUUUCGCGUUUCAUUUUAGUCCGCGUUGAAACGCUGCAUGUUAGGGUUGGGAUUAUUGCCUGAUUGGUCCUUCGUCCUUUUAGCGCGUUUUAUUCUGGUCCCUGGACCAUUCUUUUAGUUAUUUACAGUUUUAAACCCUGAAAUUCAUCUUAAGUUUUAAUUUAGACCUUUUGUAUUUUGUUUAUUUUCUCAUUAAGUAAUAAAUUUGAUGUUAUACUGUUAUUAUUAAUUAUUAUUGCUGUUGUUUGCUCAUUUAUACCUUUUAAAAUUUCAAAUUUUAUCAUAUACAUGUAUGUAUAUACUUAUUUUUAUACUCUAUAAUUUAUAUACAUAUUUUGUUUUCAUAAAUAUAUAUACACACUUAUAUAUAUUCUUUAGAUUUUAAAAUAUAACCCCUUUUACACAUGUUUCAUAAUUCACACACAUACAUAUAUUUUUUAUACUUUAUAAUUCUAACAUACAUACAUAUAUAUAUAUAUAUAUUUAUAAUUUUAUUCAUUACUAUUGUUUCAUUUGAUGUUCAUUUAUUUACUUAUUUAUUUACAUGCUCAUUAUUAGUAUUAUUUACUUAAGUGCUUUAGUUUACUUGUUCAUUUACUUUUGUUUGUGUAUACAUUAUUGAUUUCUUUUUAUUAUAUAUUUGCUAUCUUAUUUAUUUAUCUUUUCUCUUUUGCUUGUAUUAUUUCACUUACAUCAUCAUCAUCGUUAUUCCAUUACAUUCAUUUUUCUUAGAUUUUAAAAAAAGAAAUUUUAAAAAUAAAAUAAUAUCUAAUAUUUAGGAUCUUCGAGAGAAUCGAGCCCUAACGUAUUGGGUUCCGAUUUUUUUCGUUGAAUCUAAAUAAUCGAAACUAUUUUUAUAACACAUAAAAAGUUCAUUAUCGGGAAUUCAAUAUGUUGUGUCCUAACGUAUUGGAUAUGACACGUUUUUUUUUCGAGAUGAGAAUUUUCCUAAAAAUAAAAAAGGCAAUAUUCAAUGUUCGGAAUGUUGAGAAAUUGUGCCCUAACAUAUUGGGUUGCGAUUUCCUCAUCUGACUUGAACAAUUGAAUAUUCUUUUUAAAUUUUAUCAUAUGAGUUUUUUAAUACAAGCAACUUGUUUUAUAUGAGUCUUCUUAAAACAAAAAGAUCAUAUUUUAAAUCUCUUUAAAAUUUUCAAUUUUCGACAUUAAAACAUUAACUAAUAAACUAAGUACCAAUUUUUUGGGCGUUAUGAGGGUGCUAAUCCUUCCUCGUACGUAACCGACUCUCGAACCUCUUUUUUGAAUUUCGUGGAUCAAAAUCGUUGUUUUAAUAAAAUUAAAUCGUUUAUUGAAAACAACCUCUUUUCAAGGUGAUCGGAUCACAUCUUAUCAAAAAAGAUUAAUGGCGGCUCCCGUUUUUGUUUUCUUUUUUUAAAUCCAAGUCGACUUCGUUUUCAUCAAAAAAAGUAGUGUCAACAAUGAAUCGAUAAAUACUUCUGGAUUUCUUGUUUUCUUAAUUAGCGUUUUGGGUUUAAUUAAAAAAAAUUGUGUUUUUGUUUAACUUUUUGUAGAAUUGAUCGGGAAGAGAGUUUUGCCAAAGUGAAGAAAUAUGGGCUUCCCCAAGAUGAAGGUGUAAAAUCCUUCAUUUCCAACCCCACAGCCGAGCUUUCUGGUAAAAUGUUUUUGGAUAUUUUCUUAUAAUAAAAGUGUACAUUCUGGAAAUGUAUUGGGAAAAGAAAGGGUUGUGUUGGUUAUGAUGAGUAAGGCUACCAAUGAGGUGUUGGAGAGGAAAGGUGGAAUUUUAGCAUUGAAACAGAGAGUGAGGGUAAUAGUUGAUCCUCUACUGCUUUACUGUUUUACUUGACAUCAGUUAAUUUAAAAUGUAGGAGAUUUUGCAGUGUGUCACGGGGAUAGAGUGACAAAGAAAUUAUGAGAGAAAUAGAGGCAAUCAUGACACAAAUUGCUUCAACUAUCACUUACUUACCAUGUCUUGAUGGACCAUGUAGAGCACUAUUUGAGUUCAAUUUUUUAAAAAGCUUUUCAAUGCCCCAAUAUGUGUUAAAGAUGUAUCAUCCAUAACAAAUAAUUUUUAAAGCCAUAUUUGUUAAUUUUACCAAAAUGUAUUUAAUUUACUUACUUUGUUUGUGAGAUAAAAGCCAUAUUUGUUAAUUUUACCAAAAUGUAUUUAAUUUACUUACUUUGUUUGUGAGAUAAAACAUCUUAGCAAAUUUCAAUAAAACUUGCAGCGGACAACAUUAUAGCAAAUUGACCUUAAAACUUGCAGCAGAAAGCAUUAUAGCAAAUUUACCUUAUCUUGAUUUAAGUAUAGGUAAAAGUUGAAACUUUUGAAAAAUAAAUGUCAAAAUAAUUUUUAGCAUCUCAAAUAAAUUUAAAAUAUCCGAAAGCCCAAAAAGUCCGUAUAAAUAAAAGAGAGCCCAAUGCAUACUUAAAUCGAUAGAGUGAAAUACGAGCUCUAAAGUCAUCGUCCAAUCCUAGAUCUGAAGAUCACCUGAAACAAAAUAAACAAACAUGUGAACUACAAAAGAAAUUUGAAUACUUAGUUCUCCAAAACAACGUAAAAAAUGUGUCUACUUUGCUAGAGGGUUAGGAUUCUCACACUUUUCACCUAAUCGAGAACCAUAAAAUACUAAUAAUGAUAACAAACAGAAAAUACCAACACAAACUCAAUUUGUUCAAGAAACAAAAUAAAACUAAAUUAUUAAUGGAAAGACAACAAAAGUAACAAAAUGAAACUUACACUGCAAACAGAAUACGAUCCAAGUUACAGAACUCACAAAAUAAACGUAGUAUUCAGGAAUAAUGAAAGAGGAGAAAGAAGGAAGAGAAAAGAAGAUAAAUGGCAGAAUAGGGAAACAAAAGAAAGUAGCGUACAAAGUGAGGUGAGAGUGUGGAUAUUUAGUAAAAUUAAAUUGAAAUAAAUAAAUAAAAAGAUUUGUCCAAAUUCCAUUUUCCAAAUUUUAUAGAAUUUAAAUUGAUGAUAAACUAAAGUCUUACCACUAAAUCAAUAGACUCAUCAUUGAAAAUAAGAGAUAAGCGCUAAGGCUCAAGUUGAACAUAAUAUCAUAAUAAAUAGGAAAAAUUUUAAAAAAUAAAUUGAAUCCAAGACCUAAAGCAAACAUUCAAGGUACUUAACCACUACACCAAAUCAAAUCACUUGACAUGCUUAACAACUAGAAUUCAUAAAAUUUGGGGCAUUACGCCAAUGUAAAAUAAAAAAGUUGAAGUUUUUUUUUUUAUCUAGAACCUUUGUAUCUAUGCCUCUCUCAACAACAAAAAUAUUAUGUUUUGACUUUUUCUUUUUAAAAAUGUAAACAUUCUGGCGUUACAAACUACAUAAUUAUUGAGAACCUAUGAUAUUUUCGGUAUUUAAAACUAAAAAAAUUUAAACCUUUAGCUUCGAAAUAAAAGUCGGACAACAAAAUGAAGCAAGAAAAAAAAGAAGGGAACUAAGUUUUUUUUUUUUUUUUUCCAACUUAUCCAUCACAAAUUCAAAGAAGGAGGAAAAUGUGUUUUAUAUAUGGGAAACGUGGAGGGGUUAUUUGCAACAUAAUUCCCUUAAUGUUUUUACUUUAUUUUAAAAGGGAUUUCACUCUUUUAAUUUUCUCAUUUAGUCCUCAUAAUUUAAAAUAUUAUUUUUAAUAUCAUUAACUAUGUUAAUCCCUACAAUUUUUAUAUUACUUAAGAAAAGGAAUUUAUCUUAUUUAAUUUCCACUUUUAAUUUCUAAUAUCAUAUUUUUAUGAAAGUACAUUAUUUUUUUAAUUUUUAUGAUUAAAUUUACAUAUGAAUGAAUCCAAUUAUAUAUAUAUAUAUUAGAAGGUUAUUUUGGGAAGUAAAUAUAUAUAUAUAUAUAUAUAUAUAUAUUAGAGAAGAGAAAGAGAAUAGAAGGAAUGGUAAGAGAGGGAAAAUGUUUAAAAAGUGGAGGCACUUUGAUUUCUUAUUUACCUUUUCCUCUCAGUCUCCAUGCUCUUCCAUCAUUCCUUUUCUCCUCUCUUUUGCACUAUCCUCCCCCCUACUUCUUUGCCACAACCCUUUUACCUUUCUCUUCAACAUUAUCACAAAUAUACAUCAAAUUUUAUUAAUAUGGAGAAAUUAGAUUUAUCAAAAUAAAAAAAAAUAAACUAAACUAUAAAUGGUUCAUACCUUUUAUCCUUCCAAAGGGGUUGAAGAACAUUUUUAAAGUUUGGAUGGUCAUCCCACUCCAACGAUUCCCACCAUUCUUUCCAUGACCUGAUGGUAAGAGAAGGUGGAGCAUAUGCAAAUGGCUGCCCAUUGCCAACAAGGGGAACAAAUGGAGGAAUUCUCUUCAGUUUAUCACAAUCUCUAACAACUUGGAUAAGUUGGAGAGAAUCGCAAACCAUCACUCCACUUUUGCUGCAAAUGUUCUUCAAAUUUGGUAAUCUCCGCAAUUCCAACACUCGCAAUUUGGGAAGAUGGAAUUGGAUUAAUGCAUCACUGCCUUUUUCUUCAACUUCUGAUGUUGCUGCUCCCAAUAUUUCUACUAGCUGACUACAAGCACCCACAUGUAUUUCUUCCAGGUUUUGGAGGUUUGGAAGCAACCAAUGUGGAAGCAACGUCUUCAUACUUGAGCAGCUGUAUACAUCAAUUCGCUUAAGAUGGGAAAAGGUGGCAGACGGAGCCGAUGUUGAUGUUGUUGCUGAACCAAUUCCUUCAUCUUUCAUAAUAAGGGCGCUCAACUUUGGCAGACAGUCAAGUUCCAACACCUCGAGGCUCUGAAAUGGAUGAGCGGGAGAAGAGGCAAAAGAGGACAAGGGAACAACACACUCUAUCGCUUUACAAUCAUAAAUCCUCAAGUCAAUCGCAUUUUUGAAGGAAGAAUUAUCAUCGACUAAGUUUCUCAAAUAGUCACACUUUAAAAUAUUCACUCUUGAAUUUCAAUUGGGUGCGUAAUUAACUCACCUUCCCAAUUCUGGACUCCUUCAAUUUUUAUAUUUUUAAUUAAAUUUAAAUUUUAAAAAUAUCUUUUAUUAUUUAAAUUGAAUUCAAGUUGUAACGGCUCAAGACAUAAAAACCUUGUCCAAGCCCAACUCGACCAUGGAAGAAGAAACAUAAUUUGUUUUUACAAUUUGGGUUAUGAAAAAUAAUUUAUAUAAUUAAAUUUUGAAUUGAGUUUGAAAAAAAAUUUGUGGUAUAUUUUGUACUCUUUUGACUAAAAAAAAUGGCAUCCAGGUCAAUUUCAUAAGCCUCUGUAAUACCCGCUCUAAAUAUUCUUCAAGAGCAUGAAACUUUUUUAUUUUGUUAUGUGCCUAGUUUGUUAUUGGAUUCUAUUGAAUAAUACUUUUCUUUAUUUCUCAUACAAUUUAGUUCUUCAACAACAUAUUCAAGAUUUUAUUUUUCUAGAAUUACAUUAGCUUAUUUAAAAACCUAGAAAUUGAAUUUGAAAUAGUGUGUUUUGGCAAUAUUCAUUAUAGCAAAUCACUUUCCAGUUUUUAAGAAAACACUCAUUAAAACUAUUUAUUUUAUUAUAGAAAAAUACUUAAAUGAUUACUUUAUCUUGCAGUGGAAAUUUCAGAAUAUUAAAUUUCAAAAAUCGUGACUUAAUUAGCAAAACACAAAACUUUAUAGUUUUAAGUAAUAAUUACUAAAUUCAACUAAGCAAACCAAAACGUGAAGCAAAAUACAAAAACAGAUUUACAACCCCUCAAAAAAUCUAGAAUGUCCAAAAUUAAAAACAUGAACCAUCAUACUUAAAUAACUGAGAACCCAAUUUGAAUUUCUGCACGUCGUUUGGUCCUAAGUAUGCCGAUUGCCAGAGAAGUCAAAGAACUUGGGUGAGCUUAUAGGCUUAGUGUGUAACUCAACCCAAACAUGCAGAAUAGACUCAAAAACAGUGAAGAAGAAAGAAUGUUGCGGGUACAAUUGCCAAAAGAAGAAGAAGAAAGAAUGUUGUGGGUAGAAAGGCAAAACUACUAAGCAAAAAUAGAAAAGCAUGUAAUGAAAGAAGCAAAUGAAAGGAAAGUAGGUAGAGUGGAUGGUUGAAAUUUGGUGAUAGAAGAAAGAAUGUUGUGGGUAGAAAGGCAGAAGUAUUAAGUAAGGAAUCCCAUCUUUUUGUACUUUUCCUUUGCUUCUGCCAUUAUAGUUGGCAUUUUGGGUAUUUGAUUCUCAGCAGUUGUAUCUAUCAGCUGAUUUACAAUUUGAUUCUUCUUUAAGUCUGUAAUAAUUCACUAACCUAUUCAUUAACCUAUUCAUUCUGGACAUUACUAACAAGUUUUACGGUCAUCUUGGUGCCCAAUUGUAACAACAACAUCAGCAGCAGCAGCAGCAUAAUAAUGGGCACGUAUGGUAUAAGAAUGCCUAAUUAUACGUUACAACUUGAAAUUAAAUAUACUAGUCGGCAUCCUAUAAAAAAAUAUAGUUGUUCUUACAUAUGAUGUUUGUAAGACGUGAAUAAUGUGAAUCAAUCUAUUCAAGUACAUAUAAAUUCCUUCAUAACUUACACUUUUAAAUCCAAAUUGUGGUUUAUUGAUUAGGUGUUUACCGUUAAAUAGCCGAAAUUCAAAUUAUCAUUGUACCCAAAUAAUUUGUUUGGUUUAUUGAUUGGGUGUUCACCAUUCUUCAAAAGGAAUAUAGAAAAGAAAAUAUUAAGCAAAAUCAUUUGUUUUCUGUUUUUUACCUCUUAUGUUCCUUAACAUAACUUUUACAUUAUAAGAAAAGAUAAAAUUCUAAAUAUAAUUUAUUUUUACAAUUUGAGUUUUGAAAAAUAAUUUAAAUGUAACGAAAUUUUGAAUUGAGUUUGAAAAAGAAAAUUUUGUGGUAUGUUUUGUAUUCUUUGUACUAAAAAAUGACAUCAAGUUCAGUUUCAUAAGCUUCUGUCAUAUCAGUUCUAGAUAUGCUUCAAAGACAUGAAACUCAACUUGAUAAUAUCACUAAUUUGGUUUUAAAUUGUUUUUAAAUUGUUUAAGUUCAAAAAUAAACAAAUCGAGCUAAAUUGGAACAACAAACAAGUUGGGGGGCUGAAUUGAAAGUUGCAAAAUUAUUUUUGGGCUGAUAAAAAAUAUUAAACUUUUUACUUUGACAAAUUCUAUAUUUAGAAAAAAUUGAUUUAGCAGUUGCUUGUUAAGCAUGAUUCUAGGAGUAAAAUCAUAUGAAAUUGGUUCUUUGAGAUCGAUAUAUAAAUUGGUUUUUAAUUGUGGCAUGAAUACACACUUUGAAUUUAAAAAGACAAUUUAGCAUGUUCUUGGGUCUACUGCAUUUGAAGCAAUCUGCCAUUGUUUUUCUCUUUAUAUAUUUUGGUGCAAUUUCCCUUUUAGUUCUCUCCUUUCUUCACCUAUUAUCUUUCAUUAAAAUUCACUCUCAUAAUUUAAUCAAGUAUGAUUAAUUUCAAGUUCAACUAAUCUCCGUUUAGCUUUAGACCGAUUAUCAUUUCGAUCAAGAAACAUGAGAAAUGAACCCACGCUAAAACCUUAAAGUUAAUUAUCCCUCCAGAAUAUGAGAUAGUUACAAUUAUCCCUUAAAGUUAAUUCAAUUUCAACUCAAAAAGUGUGGAUUUGAGUUGUUUGGUUUACAGUUGAGAAAAUGAGUUGGUUACAUUAGUCCCCAAUUUUUAUACCCUCUGUCAAUUUGAUCUUCAUAAUAUAUAAAUUGGUAAAAAAUUAAAAUUAUUUUUAAAAUUUUAUCAAAUUAUAAAAUUAAAAAUUAAAUAAAAAUAGAUAAAAAUUCAAAAAUAAAUAAAGUGAGAGAAAAUUAGGGGCAAUUAUUUUUAAACCCUCCAAAAUUUCUCUAUAUCAUCUGUAUCAAAAUAUUCAAUAUCCAUUAUUUAAAAAAAAAACAUAGAAAAGAAAAACAUUAAUCAAAAUUAUUUGAUCUCUGUUUUUUACUUCUUCUGUUUCUUGACUUAACUUUUACAUUGUAAGAAUAGAUAAAUUUCUUAAUAUAUUUUAUUUUUACAAUUUGGAUUUUGAAAAAUAAUUUAUAGGUAAUGAAAUUUUGAAUUGAGUUUAAAAAAAAUUUGUGGUAUAUUUUGUAUCCUUCUAAAUAAAAAAAAAUAGCAUUAGGGUCAAUUUUAUAAGCCGCUAUAAUACUAAAUCUAGAUGUCGUUUAAGACCAUGAAACUCAACUUGAUAAUAGUAAUGAUUCGGUUUCAAGAAAUAUUGAGAAAUCAUGUAAUGAUCUCACUCCUUUUUUUUUUUUUGUUCUCUUUUUAAUUUGUUAUCGAAUUCUAUUCUCGAUCUUCUAAUAUUCCUAGAUUGUUUUAUGAAAAAUUACUGUAGAAGUUCUUUAUAGAAAUUAGUAUUCUUACUAUGCUCCAUUCAAUGCUCAGUGUAUUGUUUUUUGUCAGUGCAAAACAUUGACAAUCAUUAAGUUUUAUUGUAUCCUCAAGGUCAAUUUGUGAGUAACUCUUUUGCACAGCAAUUGACAAGUGGAGACGAAUAGAACUUUAAAAUAUUGGCAUCGAUACACAUGUCGAAACCUUUUUUAAUUUCUCAUAAAUUCAUUUUUAUGGUGUUCGGGGAAAAUUUCAUUUUUAAGUUCCACAAAGGUAAAAUAAAUUCCAUCUUUUCUUAUUAUUAGUUUUUUCCUUUGCUGUCUUCCAUUAUUGUUGGCACUAUUGUUCUCUACUAUGAUUCUAAAGUAUAAUAUUUGUAAAUCAUAUGUAUCUAAAUUAGAGCAAAUAGCAGUACGAUUUACAUUAAUGCAACAUUUCAUGUUGCCUCAGAUUCCAAUUCUUUUAGUCUCCUCCAUGUUCCAACUUCAAGAAAAAACAAGAGAGAAUGAACCGAAUUUUGGAUACCUAAUCCUUCCUCUAUGAAAUCAAAGUUACCUUUAGAUUUUAAUUCCAAUACCGACAUUGUAACACCUUGAUUAUUUAACUUUGUUUCUGUGAAUUUUAUCACAAAUAUGUAUCUGCUUUAGUGGUUAAAUGUUUUGAUUGUGUGUUUGAUGUUUUGGGUUUCAAGUCCCAUUUUUGGAAUUUGCUAUUUGUGAUCCUAGCCUAUUCCUUGACGGUUUGGCUUAUAUUCUAUUGCUAGUUAGAUUAUAUUAGAAUGAGCUUAUUGGUUUGAGUGGUAAGGUGUUAGCUUGCCUUAAGGUUUCGUGUUCAAAUCUCUAAAUGAGUGUGAAUAAUAAUUUUUGCUGUGGUUGUUUGAUAGGGGUUUGGUAGAGUUAAAAUUCUGAGGUAGUUGGAUGUGGAUUGAAGUGUCGGAUUUGGUGGGAUUAGGUUGAUUAGUGGGUUAGUGGGGAGUUGGGGGAAAUUAGUGAUAUUUUAUUAAAAUUUUAUUUUUAAUUAUUUUAUUUUAUUUUUAUUUUUCUUUUCCCAAAAAAAUUUCCUCUCUUUCUAUUUUAUUUUUAAUUAUUUUAUUUUAUUUUAUUCAAAAUAUCUAGUAAAACCAUUUUAAGAAAUUGAAGUUACCAUAUUAAAAUUCAAUAUACAAAACCAAGUCAUGUAAAAUUUCAAAGCAUUUCGUGUUGUUUAAGGCUUCUAAUUUUAUUGUGUAAAAAUCAAAACUUAUUUGCAAAAGUUUCAAAAUAUGCCCAAAACUCUCUGAUCACGUGUCGCGACCUCAUGAUUCCCAUGUUGCAACAUCGACCCAAUAUCGGUAUCGUGAUAUGGACUUGAAAAUUUGCAGGAAAAUUUCAGUACUUGUGUUGGACACUUUGACACCCUCAUACACAUACCAAAUCGAGAUUUCAUGCUAUUCUCCCUAUUUUAACAUGUCAUAUAACUUACAUUAACAUGUUUUGACAUCUCAAGUAAAUGACUAUGCUAUCAUGCAACCCUAAAGUCACAAUUCAAUUACUCAAAAUGUAAAUUUUGUAUUUUAAGCAUUUCUAAGUGCAUAAUUGAUACAUAACAUACUAAAUGGUCAUUUUGGACUUACCUCAAUACUCAACAAGCCAAUCCACCUGCAAUUUACAUGUUAGCCAAUAAACAAGUACACAACACCUUACUAAUUCAACCAAUAACAUGCAUUCUCAAACCUUCCAUUGAAAGCAUUUUUAAAAGUUCUAAAAACCAUUUAAACAAUCCAUAUUGUCCAUUAAUAGUUCAAAGUCUAAAACCCUCUAGAUUAGUCCCACAUUACCUUCCUUAUUGAUUUAAAAACACACCAAACAUACUCAAGUUAAAUUGUCUUGCUUUGGAUCACUUGGCAGCUCACUUCUCCUCCUUGUUUCAGCUAUAUCUCUGCAUUGUUAAACAUAAAAGAGUGUGAGCUUUUUCAAUCUCAGUGAGUGCUUAGAGAUUGCCACAAGUAAUCACAAUAUCUAAAGUUAGAAGAAAACAUACAAUCACAAUUAAUCAUGGUGAGCAAUAAAGCAUAACUCAUAGCAUUCACAUUAAUAUGUUGCCACAAUGUGAUUAUGAAGCAUAUGUACAAAAUAUAUUGCAUUGGGUAGCCAGAUUUCCAAAUACAACCAAUAUAAUGUGUAUCAUAAAGCUAUCACCCUCCAAACACAUCCACUUAAACACAUGUAUUGUUUUAUGCGCACUUUCACAUAUCACACAACUCAUGUUCAUAUCACAUACACAAGUCUCAUAUCAUGCACUUACAAGUGCUCACAUUAUGCUCAAAUAGUCACAACAUUUAGAUCUCAUAUAGUGUAAAUAAAAUCAGCAAGACUCAUUAUAUUCAGUCAUAAACACAUAACAUUUUUAUUGUCAUCUCAAUAUGCAACACAUAACAUAUCACAUUUAAGCAUCAUUUGCAAAUCACCAUUAGUUUAGGUAGAAACACUUACUCUUGAAAAUUGGACUGUGUGGAUAUGUUUGGAUAGCUAGAAAAUCAUUAAGGAUGAGUUAAUUUUGAGAGAAAAUAUUAGAGUUGAAUUUGGGGAAAUUUUGAAUGUGAAAUUCAAUGGAGGGAAGGGACGUCCGGUUCUUAAAGAAAUGGGGAAGAUAUAAGGAAAAAUUGUAUUUUAAAAACUUCUAGUUUUCCUUUAUUUUUCAAUUCAGACCUUAGUUUAAUUAAAACACAUUUUUCUCAAUUAUUUUCAAACCCAAUAUUUUUAAAAAGUCCAUUUUAACUAAAUUAAUUCCCGAACACCCAAUUUUAAUUUCUUAACAUAAAAUUAUUAUUAUAUUAAUUUUAAUACUUUAUUUAAUUAAUUCCUAAUUAUUUUAAUGAUCUAACUUAAUUAUGAUUUUUGAUUCACUAACCCCGAUUUACUAUCCCGAUUUUUAGGAUGCGACAUGACAGCAUUAUGUAAAUAUGAUAUAAUAAUCACUGAUAGCAUACAAAUAAAUUAUUGAUUACAUACCCUAUUGUAUAAACUAAAAUAUAAUUAUACUACAAGGUCUAUAAUAUGAUGUCUAAUGGGUUAAUUUUUAAAAUUGCAUAUUUUAAAAUUAAAAAAAAUUAUAAAAAUGUUAAUUUAUAAUUAUUCCUAACUUAUAUGCUUUUCAAUGUUACAACUUUUAUUAGAAUUAUUAGUAAAAAGAAAUGCAUAAAUGAUUGAUAGCAUAAUCAUUUUAAAGACAAAUAAUUAUAAAUUAAUUAUAUAAAAGAGAUAACAUUUUGUACUUUGUUAAUAUAAAAAGGGUAAACACUUCAUAACAUAGUAAUAAAUUCUGGAUAAAAUAAUAAGAAAUAAUAUAGUAUAAAAUUAAAUAAUUAAUAAUAUAAUAUAGUAAUAAAAUUUAUAAAUAUCAUUAUUUUUAAUGCCUAAUCGUAUAUACAUCAUUUUAAUUAAUAAAAAAUUUAUAAUAUUGUAAAUAAAACCAUGAUGAUAGUUUCGUCUCACCUUAAAUCAUUUUGAUUAAAAUAUGUUCAUAUUUUAUUAAUAUAUUAAUAAAAAUGGAGUAUAUUUUAAUUAAUACAUGAUCUUAUUUAUUAUUUAUUAUAUGUUAUUUUUAAACAUGACUUUCACACGCAUAUGCGUGUGAUAAGAUUUUCUAGCAUUAUUUGAACCUGUCAGACAAUAAAAUUUUUAAUUAUUAGACUCUUGAUAUACUCUUAAAAAUAAGCUACAUUUUUUUUCUAAAUCUAGACCCAUUUUUGGCUUAGCUCAGUCAAUCCAAAAAAUAACUUAUUUUACUGUUCAAAAAUAAUAAAAUAAUUUUAUAUUAAUAUUUGUAUAUUUAAAUUUAAAUUUAAAAAUAUUUUUAUUAUUCAAAUUGAAUUCGAGUUGUACUGUCUCAAGACAUGAAGGGGUCUAUAGCCAACUUCUAUACCAUAUUUUUUUUUUACUUUAAAAUUUGAAGUGAAUGUAUAUUAUUCUAUAAAAUUUGAAAUUUAUUAAAAUUUACGAAAUAAUAGAUUAGUGUUAAAUGUGAUAAAAGAUUAUAAUAAUAUCAUAAUAAGUUUAUAACUUAAAUGUAUUUAGAAGGUUAUUUUGGAAAGAAUAAGAGAAUAGAAGGAAUGGUAAGAGAGGGACAAUGUUUAAAAAGUGGAGGCGCAGUUUGAUUUCUUAUUUAUGCUCUUAACCUCUUCCUUCCAUCAUUCCUUUUCUCCUCUCUUUUGCACUAUCCUCCCCCCUACUUCUUUCCCACCAACCCUUUUAUCUUUCUCUUCAACAUCAUCACCAGUUUUAUUAAUAUGGAGAAAUUAGAUUUAUUAAAAUAAAAAAAUAAACUAAACCAUAAAUGGUUCAUACCUCUUAUCCUCCAAAGGGGUUGAAGCGAAGAACAUUUUUAAAGUUUGGAUGGUCAUCCCACUCCAACCAUUCCCACCAUUCUUUCCAUGACCUGAUGGCAAGAGAAGGUGGAGCAUAUGCAAAUGGCUGCCCAUUGCCAACAAGGGGAACAAAUGGAGGAAUUCUCUUCAGUUUAUCACAUCUAGCAAUAUGGAUAAGUUGGAGAGAAUCACAAACCAUCACUCCACUUUUGCUGCAAAUGCUCUUCAAAUUUCGUAAUUGGCGCAAUUUCAACACUCUCAAUUUGGGAAGAUGGAAUUUGAUUAAUGCAUCACUCCCUUUUUCUUCAACUUCUAAUGUUGCUGCUCCCAAUAUUUCUACUAGCAGCCUACAAGCCUCCACGUGUAUUUCUUCCAGGUUUUGUAGGUUUGGGAGCAACCAAUGUGGAAGCAACGUCUUCAUACUUGAGCAGUUCACUAUCCUAAUUUCCUUGAGAUGGGAAAAGGUGGUUGACGGAGCCAAUGUUGAUGUUGUUGCUGAACCAAUUCCUGCAUCUUUCAUAAUAAGGGCACUCAACUUUGGCAGAUAUCCAAGAUCUAACACCUCGAGGCUCUGAAACGGAUGAGCGGAAGAAGAAGCAAAAGAGGACAGGGAAACAACACACUCUAUCCCUUCACACGACUGAAUCCUACAAACCCUCAAGUCCAUCGCAUUUUUGAAGGAAGAAUUAUCAUCGGCUAAGUUUCUCAAAUAGUUGCAGUGAGAAAAAAUCAACUCUUGAAUUUCAAUUGGGUGCAUAAUUAACUCACCUUCCCAAUUCUGGACUCCUCCAAUUGUUACUGUUUUAUCUCUUCUAGCAGGCCAAAAAGAUGAGCCCACCUUUAAAUGGUACUUGAUGAGAUUUUUCUUACUUUGUUGCUUUGAGGAGAUGAACUUAUUCAAUUCACUGAUGUCUUCGAAAUGUCCGGUAAAGCACUCCAACUUCUUCAAUGGUUCCAUCUCCUCUGCUUUUAGACUUAUUUGUAAAUUUUCCACAUUAAAACUCAAGUGCUGAAGGUGAACGAGUUUUGGUAAAAGUCCAGCGGGUAUCUCUUUCAGAGUUAACACUCGAAGAUCAAGAUAUCUUAGCUUUAUCAGCAUAUCCAUGCCUUCAGGUACUUCCUUAAUAUUAGUCCAACAAAGAUCCAACUUCUUCAAUUCUCGAAGCAUCGAAAGACAUGGCAGAACACUUAAUUCUUGACAGCCAUGAAGCAACAAUGUUGUGAGGUUCUUUAGUUCAGAGAUGGAAUUUGGUAAACUUUUGAUCUUCGUAUAGGACAAAUUGAGAACAAUAAGACAAGGCAUGUUUGUGAAGAAAGAAUAUGGGAUCUUCUUUAUAGGGUUAUCCUGCAAUAACAAGGUUGUAAGCAGUUGGCAUUUUGUGGGUAGCACAUCUAUGGAAAUUUCUGGUAUGGAGUUAAACAUAAGCGACACUUUCUCAAUAUCUGGACUCCAUUGCUCCUCUUUUGGUAACUCCUCUAAUUGCAAACCUGCUUGUAUCAUAUAUCGAGGAUUCAUUCUUGUGAUCGACAAUGCCAUGUCUCUCACUGCAUCAUGCAUCUUUAUACAAUGUAAACCAAAUUUAGUGGUAAUAUUUUCCAACAAGCAAUUAUCUUCCAACUUCUUCAAAAUGACAUGGCCCUUUUCUUUCAUUUCUUGUCUUGUACCCAUAUCAUCUAUGAAUCCCUCCUCAAUCCAGCACUCAAUUAGCUUAUCUUUUCUAAUUUCAUAAUCUUCAGGAUAUAAUGUGCAAUGUAAGAAACAAUGCUUCAUUUUCUCGUCUUUUAAGUGAUUGAAGCUAACUUUCAAACUCUCGAUCACUUUAUCCUCCCCUUCUUUCACUUUCCCUAUUCUCUCUUCCAAUUCCCUGAGUGUGUUUUUCCAAAUAAGAGGGUCAUCUUCUCCUCUCAAUGUACCAGCUAUGACGACAAUUGUAAGAGGCAGACCUGCACAUUCCUUGACAACAAGCUUCAAAGUUGGCAUUAAAGUUUGAUUUUGCACUAUGUUAGGUCCAACUUCACUCAAGAAUAGUAUCAAUGCCUCUUCUUCUGAAAGGGGCUUCACUUUUAUCACCUUACAGCCCAUAGACUUACAAACUUGCUCCACACGGGUUGUCAACACCAACUUGUACCCAUUGCUGCUACUUGGCUUAGGGAUCCCAAUUUCUUCCAACGAGACUUCACUCCACACAUCAUCUAGGAUUAGAACAUGCUUUCCUGCUCUCUUCAGCAUUUCGGACAAGAUUGCUGCUCGUCUGACCUUGUUUGCUUCUUUGGGAAUCUUUCCAUUCAAUGCACUUGCAAUAUCAUUUUGUAACUUCACAAUAUUGAACUCCUUUGAUAUAGUAACCCAAACCACCCUUUCAAAUCGUUGUUCUUUCAAAAGAUCAUUGUGGAUGUGCUUCAUGAUGGUCGAUUUACCCACGCCACCCAUCCCCCAAACCCCAAUCUUGCUUACCUCCUCCUGCAUCAAACAUGCCCAAAUCUCUUUUCUGACAGCUUCCUCUCCAACUAGUUCUGAUGUUUCCAGUGGCAACCCAGCACUUGGACCAUCCAUGGCAAGACCUUCAGAGGCUUUAGGAGCUUUAUCAAGAUAUUCCUGCAUUUUUCGAGACUUUUCAUCAACCAGCUUCCCGUUGCAAGCACGACAGAGAUAUCUCCCAUUACUGACUUUGUUUUCAACAACUUGUGCUUCCCUAAUCAUCUCUUUCACGUCUUUCAACCAAUUUUCAACUCCCUUCUUCGGCAUCUUCCCCAGAGGACGAAGAAGCUCUGCUUUCAAUUGCAGCUCUAUAUCUUCCAUUUUGCAAUUCAAUUCAUCUCUGAUCCUCUUGAAGUUUCUCACAUAAUCGUUCAGCUUUCUGUGAUAUUGCAAAUAUUUACAAACAGGAGUUCCGAGACAAUUUGCAAUGCCGAUAACAGGCUCUACGUACUCCAUUGCUAUGUCCCUGCAAUGCAAUCAUAUAUAACAGUAGCGGAGAAUGAAAAUCUGUGAAUGAAUUGGAUAUUUUAUGAAGGAUUGAUAUGUCAGUGUAAGCAUGAAUGCAAGUUUGAAGCAAUGGCGUCUAUUAGAUGGAGCCAUGGAUGGGUGGCAGACAAAAACAUGAUGAAAUUCUGGUCACCAUUGUAUAUCCAGAAUCAACCUCUCAAACUAUAUAGCAUGCUAGAUUCAAGUGUGCAAGAGUUCAUUACAGAAUAUUAGGAGGUAAAAUGUUCAACAGCAUGAGAUUUCAACAUUAUAUUGCUUCUGGGUAGCUCUUUUCGUAUUAAUUUGUAUCUAUAGUAGACUAUGUCUGCUGAUCAUCCUGUCUUAAAAUCUAUAACUGUAGAGGAAAUCAUUGCUUCAGAUCUUAUUACCUUGACUAUCAUACAAAGCAUAGCUGUUUUCGUAUUAAUUUGUAUCUAUAGUAGAUUAUGUCUGCUGAUCAUCCUGUCUUAAAAUCUAAAACUGUUGAGGAAACCAUUGCUUCAGAUCUUAUUACCUUGACUAUCUUACAAAGCUAGCUGCUAUAACAGUAGCUGAUAAUAAAAAACAAUCAUUGUAUAGUCAUGCAUUAAGCAAAUGGAAGAAAAUUACCUUGACUGGAUGCUAGAAAAUUAGUGAUAGACCUUGGAGAUGAAAAGAAAUUAAAAAGAGUGAAGAAGAAGGUGAAAACAGAAAUAAGCCAAAUUGUGAUAGGAAUUACUGGGAAAGUAUGUGAAGAAGAAGAAGAAAGAGAAAAGAAUUAAUAAUUACAUGUAUAAAAAGACGAAAAUAAUUAAUAAUUACAUGAGUAAGAAAUCCAUCUUUUUUUACUUUUUUCUUUGCUGUCAUCCAUUAUAAUUCGCAUUAAAUAAUGAUAAUUAGGUUUAAUGAUAAAUUUGAUCACUAAUUCUUGCUUAUUUUGUCAAAAUGAUCCUAAUUCUAUUUUUGAGCAUUUUUUUACCAUCAACCUUUGUUUCAAUGUUUCUUUUCUUCAAAACUUUUCAAUCUUUCAUAUGUUUGUUUACUGAGAAGUUUUUUUACUGAGUUAAAUAUUUUAAAUAAUUACAUUUAUUUUCUUUAAAUUAAGAUUUUUUUCAAAUUUAUGUAUUUUUUAUUUUAAUAUUUUCUACAUGUAAUUAUCUUAUUGGGUAAGUUUUGCAGUCAUCUUGGUGCUCAAUUGUAACAACAUCAGCAGCAGCAGCAGCAGCAGCAUCGUAAUGGGAAAGUACUAUGGUAUAAGAAGGCCUAACUAUAUGUUACAACUUGAAAUUAAAUAUAGUUGUUCUUACAUAUGAUGUUUGUAAGACGUGAAUAAUGUGAAUCAAUCUAUUCAAGUACAUAUAAAUUCCUUCAUAAGUUACACUUUUAAAUCCAAAUUGUGGUUUAUUGGUUGGGUGUUCACCGAUUUUAGAAAUAGCUGAAAUUCAAAUUAUCAUUGUACCCAAAUUUAAAAUUGUUUUAAAAUUUUAGGAUAUUAAAAAAUUAAAAAUUAAAUAACAGUAGAUAAACAUUUCAAAAAUAAAUAAACUGAGGGAUAAUUAUUUUUAAACCCUCUAAAAUUUCUCUUUAUUAUCUAUAUCGAAAUAUCUAAUAUCCAUUCAUCAAAAGAAAUAUAGAAAAGAAAAAAACAUUAAGCAAAAUCAUUUGUUUUCUGUUUUUUACCUCUUAUGUUCCUUAACAUAACUUUUACAUUAUAAGAAAAGAUAAAAUUCUAAAUAUAAUUUAUUUUUACAAUUUUAGUUUUGAAAAAUAAUUUAAAUGUAAUGAAAUUUUGAAUUGAGUUUGAAAAAGAAAAUUUUGUGGUAUAUUUUGUAUUCUUUGUACUAAAAAAUGACAUCAAGUUCAGUUUCAUAAGCUUCUGUCGUAUCCUUCAAAGACAUGAAACUCAACUUGAUAAUAUUACUAAUUUGGUUUUGUUUUGUUUUUAAAUUUUUAGUGGAUUCUAUUGAAUUAUAAUUUCCUUUAUUUCUCAUACAAUUUAGUUAUUCAACAAUAUAUUCAAGAUUUUAUUUGCAAAGUAAGAUAUAUGAUUAUGAGGGUGUUUUCGUCUUUUCAUAUAUUUAUAAAUCAAUAAAAAUUUAUCCAUAACAAGAUUUGAACCAACGACACCUUGCAUAUAAAUAUUUUUCAUUACUUUUGAACUAAAGCAAUUUUUACUUUUUACUUUUCACUUUAAACUUUAAUAAGUAUAUCUGUAUUCUAAUUUUUUAUUUAUUUGUGUAUAUAAAAAAUGUUAUUGAUUUAGUGUUACAAAUAAACACGACACCAGCUCAGGAUUGAAGACAAAACAAUGAUAAGCAAUUGUAUUCAUUUAGUAUUUUUAAUCUGAUGUGUUUUUUUAUUUAGAUUUCAUUUCACCCAUAAUUCAUUCUAAUUUUUAUUUUAAUAUCGUACACAUUUCAUGUGUUAUUAUUAAUUAACUCCAAAUCUGUUUGCAAGUUUCUUUUGUAUAUUUAAUGUACCUAAUUUUGGUAAAUUUUUUAAUAAAAUACUACUAAACUUGUGAUUUCUUACUUAAAUUUUAUUAGGGACACAAUUAGAGUGCCAAAGUUCAAAAACAAACAAAUCGGACUAAAUUGGAACAAAGAGCAAGUUGGGAGGCUAAAUUGAAAGUUGCAGAAUUAUUUUUUAGGCUGAUAAAAAAAAUUAGAUUUUUUUACUUUGACAAAUUCUAUAUUUGGAAAAAUCUAAUUUAGUGGUUGCUUGUUAAGCACGAUUCUAAUAGUAAAAUCACGUGAAAUUGAUUCUUUGAGAUGUGUAUAUAAAGAUUUGUAAUUGUGACAUGAAUACACACUUUCGGCAAUUUAGCACCUUUUUGUGUCUAUUGCAUUUGAAGCAAUCUGUCAUUGUUUUUCUCUUUUUAUAUUUUGGUGCAAUUCCCCUCUUAGUUCCCUCUCUUCUUCACUUAUUAUCUUUUUCAUUAAAUUUCACUCUCAUAAUCCAAUCAAGUAUGAUUAAUUUUAUGCUUAACUAAUCUUUGUUUAGCUUUAGAUCGUUUAUCAUUUCGAUCGAGAAAAAUGAGAAAUGAACCCACGUUAAAACCUUACAACACGGUAUUCAUUAUCUCUCCUGAAUAUGGGAUAGUUACAAUCAUCUCUUAAAGUUAAUUCAAUUUCAAUUCAAAAAGUACGCGUUGGAUUGGAGUUGUUUGAUGUACAUUUGGGAAAACAAUGUGAUGGGUUAAGCAAAUGAAAGAAAAUUAGCUUGACAGGAUGCUUGAAAUUUGGUGAUAGACCUUGGAGAUCAAAACAAAAUCAUUGAAGUUGGCAAUGAAUAAUAUUUAAUAAUAAGAGUUAUAAGAAGGCAUAAUUAUAAGUUACAACUUGAAAUUAAAUAUACAAGUAAAUGAGUUGUAUUGGGGAGAGUUAUUCGCACCCCAUUAGUAAAUUAUUUGCAUUGUUGAAGUUGUCAGUAUUCAAUUUUGGAUCCAACUCUGGAUAAUUUCCUACAUAUGGUACUUUUUAAAUUGAAAUAAUAAUAAUUUUAGUCAUUAAUUUUUUUUUACAUUUUCAGUCAAUUUGAUCUAAAUUAUUUUUAAAAUUUUAGAACAUUAUAAAAUUAAAAAUUAAAUAAAAGUAGAUAAAAUUUUUAAAAUUAAAUGAAGCGAGAGAAAAUGAGGGUCAUUUCUUUUAAACCCUUCAAAAUUUCUCUAUAUUAUUUAUAUCAAAAUAUCCAAUACCCAUUCUUUAAAAAGAAUAUAUAUAUUAAAAAAAUAUUAAAAAAUUUAUAUGUCUCUGUUUUUUACCUAUUCUAUUUCUUGACGUAGCUUUUACAUAAUUUAAAUGUAAUGAAAAUUUGAAUUGAGUUUAAAAAAUAUUUUUUUUUGUGGUAUGUUUAAUUUGUAUUCUUUUGAUUAAAAAAAGUGGCAUCAAGGUCAAUUUCAUACGCCUUUGUAAUAUCAAAAUAUCCAAUACCCAUUCUUUAAAAAGAAUAUAUAAAAAAAUUAAGAAAAAUGAUAUGUCUUUGUUUUUUACCUCUUCUAUUUCUUGACGUAGCUUUUAUGUUAUAAAAAACUAUAAAAUUCUGAAUAUAAAAUUCCGAAUAUAGUUUACGUUAUAAGAAUCUAUAUUAUGUAUUAAGUCUUUUACGAGUUGGUUUAACCCAUCAAUCGGUCCCAACUCAGUAAGAAAAAUACGAAAAAAUAAUUUUAUUUGUAAAGUAAGAUAUAUGAUUAUGAUGGUGUUUUUGUAUUUUCAUAUAUGUAUCAAUCAAUAAAAAAUUAUCCAUAGUGAAAUUUGAACCAAGGACACCAUGCAUAUAAAACUUUUCUGAAGUCUAUUGAGUCAUUCACAAUUGCUUCGCCCCCCAAGGCUCGUAUUCAACUGUUAUGCAUAACCAUUUACUUAAUUCUUCAUUUUGAUUUACAUCAGUACAGAAGUGGUUCCAUAUCAUCAUACCAUUGCAUUUUGAUAUCAUUUACCAAGUUUACCAUUUAUAAUCCCUAUUAAUAGGCUCGUAUUGUCCCCGGUGAGGGUUUUAUCUCUUAUACUCUGCCAAGAGCCAAUAUUUGGUACAUAGCCCAAGUGGAAUUAUGGAUGCAGCUAAGCAGUAUAAGCUUUAAGUUGGUGAUUCGAGUCUCCGUACCCAAGAUGAGCUUUAUAAUUGUUCAUACGCCCUAUGCUAGCAGUUUUCCCUUGAGUUUUGUAGAUCCAACAAUUAAGACCCUCCUAGCACGGUAAACAGGCACUCCCUUGAGUACCAUCCAAGGUGUCCUUAACACUAUCCCCCACGUUAUCUCCAUCCUAAACAACUUGAGAGGUAUCCAAAUGAAGUUGCAAUGGAGCAACUUUCUCAUAACCACCUUAAAACAAUACAAGAAUUUGCAUUAAAAAAGAGAAAUGAGAAUAUAAAGUACAAAUAAAUAAAAAUGUUGACAUUACACAAUUUAUGCCAAUGGGGUUGAAUAACAUUCUUAAAGUUUAAUCAUGCCUAUUUUACAAUUUAUUCAAUUUAGUCCUAAACCUGAGAUAAGAAAAACUUUCGAUUUAAAGCUUCGGAAUAAAAUUUGAUUUCACAUGUAUUCAUUAGGGACCUUAUACUUUCUAUUCCUACCACAAUUUUAUAAAAAAGCAUUUUAUUCAAUUUUGUCCCUAAUGUAAAAGGCUAACAAUCAAGUUUUAUAAUUUAGUCCUUUUGAUAACCUAAGCUUAAUUUCUAUCAAUUUCAAGCCUAAUUCAUUCAAUUCUCAACAAUGGUAACUUAUCGAAAUUUCACCAAUUAAACAAAUUGAAACAUGAGCUAGCUUAAUCAAGCUCUCAUUAUAAAAAAAAAAUCUAUAAAAAAAAUGGCUAGAGACUUACUUGUAAAUGUUGGUCGAAUGAACAAGGUUUCAAAAAUGGCAUUUUUACUUGGCUUUACUCCCUUGGCUAGUUGAAAAAGAUGAAUAUUCAUCUCUCCUUCCACUAAAUUUGGUUUAUAUAGCUAGGUUAGUUUAUAAUUAAGCUUAAUUAAUUACUUUAAUCGUGUUUAAUUAACAUUAAUAUUUAAUUAAUAUUAUCUAAUGAUAUUCAAUAUCACAUCCCACUAUCAUCUAUUUAAAAUUUGUCUAGUAACUAUUUUAGUCCUUUGGAUAAUUUUUAUCUAAGCCCCCAAGCUUUUUUCAAAUUAAAACUCUAUAGCGAUUUAACUUUUACAAUUUAGUCUCUAGGCCUUAAUUAACCAUAUUUUCAACUAAAUUAUUUAACUAAAUUUCAAUACAUCUAUAUACUAACUCUGUAAAUAUCCAUAUUUAAUAGUUAUGAACUCAGUUUAUGAAAAUUUGACACCACUAAAAAUUGAGUCAUUAUAGGGUUCAUGGAAGGGGCCGAAUGUAGAAGAUAUGCCUCACCUCCGUCGAGAGCCCAAGGAGUUCACUAAAGGGCUGAAAUGUAGAAGAUAUAUCUUACCUCCAUCGAGAGCCCAAAAGGUUCAUAGAAGGGCCCUAAUGUCCUACUCCAAGACGCAUCAAGGGAGGCUUACGAAAAGUGGUAAUAAAGGCUCUAUUCCAAUAUGCAUGGGGGGAGACUUAUGGAAAAAUGGUGGUGCUUCCUCCACUUAGAGCAGAAGGCUUAUGAUAGAUCCUGCUCCUAAACACAUAGAGGGAGACUUACGGUAAGAAUCACAAGUCGAUCACAUUACUGUGGCUCUCGCAGGUCAGAAUUACGUGGAGUGUAAGGCCCUGCCACGUCAAAUCACAACCUUCGACCAAGUUUACUCGACUUGGGUUUACAUAAUGGAAGUAGAAUUACGUAAAUGUAGACAACAAGUAAUCAUUCGUAGGAGUCUUUUGUGGGUUCCCGUUGUGUAACAUAUAUACUAUAUGACUAUACAUAUAUAUGCUAGGUGGUAGAACCACUCGUGGGGUUUCUCAAACUCAUAUAGAUUUUCAUGUAUAGAUAAGUACAAAUAAGCAUACCGACUGUUUACUGUUUACGGAGGUAUAAUCGCCUAUUAGUGUGAAAGAAAAGAUGUCGAGUAAUAACUGUUUGUGAAGUGUAAUUGUCCAUGGAAAACUUUCAAUCAUCAUUCUCUCUCUUUUUAAUAAAAUAUAAUAUAUAUAUAUAUACAUAGGCGGGUUAUGCUCGUGGGAGGGUCCCCCUUUCAUUCAUUUUCUUAUUGUUAAUAACACAUAUGCAAGAAACCUUGUAGGAACCUUCGCGGGUCCCUCUAAUUCACCACCAUCUUUCUUUUUUAUAAUAAACAUACACAUGCAUGGGUGUUGCACUCUGCUGACAUACAUACAUACACAGGGGUUUACACCUCUGGGAUAAAGAGUUGCAAUAAUGUUAUUGUGUAUCAUAUCUUACUUGAUAGUCACCAAAGGCUGUAGAUGACCAAAAAAACACAAGCUAUAGGUAAUUUAAACUGCAGUGAUAUUGGUCACAGUGAGACGCAUAAACAAGCAUAGCUUCCAGAAGUUAAUUCUUCUAGACUAACAAUCAUACCGGAGAAAAUGAGCCAUACAUAUUUAAAGCACACACAAAACAACAAAACUUCGAAUUAUAAUUUGGUUUUUUUUUUCUUUGUAUAUUGAGAGGGUGAAUUUCUAGGGUUUUGUGCAUGUUCGAUCCACCGUCACCUCUAUCAUUGUUGAUACACAGUAUUAAUGGGAGUGGAGAAGGAGGAGGGGGUGGUGUCGAGGAAGACCGAUUCACCCAUUCUAGGCCCAAGAAUCAGUCAAGUAGGGGGCCUCAAUAUGAAUGUUUAGGAUAUUUCAAAUUUUGAGUCUAGAGAAGACCACUAUAAUAAUGUUGAUACCUUUGGGCAUUUAUAGCUAAGUGAAGAUCCUUACCUAAUUAUCUUACUUGUUAAGCCUUGAUCAGUGGCCUAUUGGAGGGGUCCAAAUGGGUCCAAGUUGAAGUAGAGAUAUAAUAUUAUAUAUUUUAAAAAAGAUUUUUAUAUUAAUAACAUUGUUUCGAUAUAGUAUAAAAAAAUAAGGUUGGAUUACAUUAGCAUGUUGCAUAUCUCAUAACCUUAUUCGUAGGUGAAAUUGAGACGAUCCAUUAAAAAGUAAAUAGAAUAAGAUCGUGAUAAUCUUAAUGGCACAAAUACGAAUUCAGAUUUAGAUGACAAUAAACUCAGCAACCAAUUGUUGAUGAAAAAGAGUAAUAGAGUAUAUGUUAAAUGUUAAAAGAUCAAAUAACCCAAUAGGGAUGGUGCCAAAGGGGGUAGGUAGAGGCCCUAUCCCAUUAAAAUAAAAAAAUAUCACUUUAGUCCCUUGAAAUUUUUAAAAUUAUAAGUUAGUUUAAUGGUAAAAUACAGUUUGGCCCUCCAAAGAUGAAAAAAAAUUCCAGUUUAAACCAUUUACCUUUCUAAAAUAACAAGCAUGAACAAAGAUAAAAUUGUAAUUUGACUCAUUUAAAGGUUUGUAAUUUAAUUGGCCUCACAAAGAUAAAACUUUUGGCUUGUCCCUGUAACCCAACAAUAAAUACUAGAGAAAUUAGAUAAAAUUGCAUAUGAAAUUUAUUUUUCCUUGGUAUUUAAUCGUAUUAUCAACUACCUUCUUGGAAUAACAUAUUGCAUAUGAUUAUUUUAUUUUAAUUGUUGUUAUUCAUUUAGACGUUGUAAUCUCAUAUGUAAUUACACUCUGUUACUCAAAUAUGUCUAGAAAAUUAUAAUUCUUUGUAAUUAAAAAAGGGUGAGAUUAGUACAGUAGUAAUUACACUUUCAUCCAAUCAAUCUAUCAUAUCUAAACACAUACUACAUUUGGACCAUACAUAUGGUUUUUUUUUUUUUUUUUGAUAAAAUUUGAAGUUUCCUUAACAUAAAGUUUACGAAAUAAAAUACUAUUGUUGAAAGUGGUAAAGGAUCAUGAUAAUAUUUGACUCAACAUCAUAUCAAAAUAAGUUUAUAAUGUAAUUGUUUUAUAUAUAUUAAUUAAAAUAUUUUAAAAUAAAUAUUUUAGAAGGUUACUUUUUGAAGUAUAUAUAUAUAUAUAUUAAAAUAAAUCAAGUUAUUUUGUAGGGAAGAAUAAGAAAUUGUUUAUUUAAAGGGGAAAUAAAUUUUAAGGAUUCUAAGAGGAGAAAUGUUUACAGUUGCAUCCUUGAAUGUGGGAAACAAAUUUUAAGAAAUCCUAAAAGGGGGAAAUAGUUGGAUUUGCAUACUUGAAAGUUAGAACAAUAUAAGGGAUCUCAAAGGUAAAAGUAUUAGGAAGGUUGAUGUGCUUAGGGCGGAUUGCUUUUCCAUUUCUUUAUUGAAAAAACAAGUAAAUUAACCCUUAUUCAUUUUAAAAUGUGUAAAUUAAUUUCUCCAUUAAAUUUUAUCUAUUAAAAGAUUACGUGAACAUGCUGAAAAUUAUUUUUUAUGCGUAAACUGUAAAAAUGGUCGUCCAACUAUGCUUUUUAUUCUAUUUCGGUCACCCAACUAUUAAUUUUUUUGAUUUAGUCACUAAACUUUUCGAAAUUAAAUAUUUUAGUCACUUUAAACUAAUGUGGGCUUUUUUUAUUGGUCUAGUAACAAAAUUAGCCCUCUAAUGUUUACACAUUUGAUCAAUUUGAUCCUAAAUAUAAAAAAAUCAACAAAUUUAUCCCUCAAUGUUUACAAAAUUUGUCAUUUUAGUUCUAAUUCUAAAAAUUUCAAAAAAUUUGACCCUCAAAAUUUACAAAAUUUGUGAAUUUAAUUCUAACUCUAAAAAUUAAACAUAUAAUUUUUAAAAAACAAUCAUUUUUAGUCUUGUACGUAUAACCCAUCGGCUAACCCAUGUGAGAUUAAAAUGAGAAAAAGAGUACCCCCUUUCAAGUCACUUACAAAAGAACUCUAAAAAGUCGGGAUAAAACACAAAAAAAUUUAAGGGCCAAAAUAAAAUAAGGACAUUAAAAACAUUAUUUGUUCGAGUAGUAAUGCAACCAAUUAUUCCAAAAAGGUUUCAAAUCAAUUAGUUUGGUUUGGUGUGAAGUCUAAGUUAGAGUAAAAAAAAUUUGUUGCAAGUGACUUGAAAAUAUGGGAAAAAAUUGUUGCAAGUGACUUGACCCACAUAACCUGGCACACGGCUGUGUGACGUCGAUAGUGGGUUUUCCUUUAAAGUACACUAGAAAUUUUGAUCUUAGAAGUCGAAUGGCGUCAAGAACAGUUGCCAAAGAUAUAACUACUCGAGAUUUUAUACAUAAUUUUGAGAUUUUUUUUUAUAAUUUUUGUAUAAAAUCAAUGUCAAAUUGAUAGAAAAUAUAAAAAUUGAGGACUAAAAUUAUUAUUAUAUCAAUUAAAACAAGUGCCACUUAACAGACGAGUGAAGAAAAUAAACAAUUUCGAAAACAUUAGUGACCAAUUUAUAACAGGAGUUUUGAGAAACAUGUAGAAAAUAUGGGAAUGCGAAAUAUGACUUAUCUACUUCACUAGGUCAAAUGGGAGAUUGUUGGAUCUAGUGUCUUUAUUUUAGUAUUUUCGUCAAUAUAUACUUAUAUUUUUCGAACAAAUUGAUUUAAUAAAAUAUUCAUUCAUUACAUUAAUAUCCUUUGUAUAUUAUUCUUUAUGAUUUUUGCACGCAAAGCAAAUAUUGACCCAAUAAUUAUCUAACAUUUAACUAAUACUAAACGGUAUUACAUGGUUGGAUCAUAAUAUGGAAAAAUAAUUUAUAUUAAUAGAUAAUCUAAACAUGUUUUUAGUCUGAUAAAAAAAUAAGCAAACUGAUUGAAAGGAUAACAUGUUAUCUAUCCAAUCCAAUUAAGGAAAUACUUUAUCUUCGGUAUUGGAGAGAUUGAGUUUUAGAAAAUAGAGAUAUAGAUGUAACUCACUUGUAGAUUUAUUCAUUUGUGACGUUCAUUGUGACAUACCUUAAUCUUGAGUAGAUGAUGGACUAUGUAUGUGUGAUUCGUAUACUUUGAUAUAAAUGAAAAUUUGAGUUUAAAUAGAUAAGGAACUGAAAGUUGGUACAUUAGGUAUAUGACUUUUAUAGUAUGUAGCAUCAUUCCUCAGCAAUGGAAUUCAUAGCUCAACUAAAAGGUAAAUGAUAUUCUCUCAUCAGUAUUACAUGAUAAAUGAAAAGUAAAUACGGUCAUGGAUCACUUGUCUUUGUGAUAAACGGUUUAAUUACUAGUUGAUAGUAAUUGACUUUUCAAGAAUAAAGAUAAAAAAAUUACCAUGAGAAAAAUGGGAUCAUAUUGAAAAAACAAUUUUAUCUCAAAAAGAUUAAAAAUAUCCCAUAAAUGUAAUACACUUCUGACAAAUUUGGUGACAUUAUAAUUUUAUAAUUUUUAUAUUAAAUAAUUUGAUUUACUUAAAUUUAGUUACUUAAUGAUAACAUUUCAUAUUCUUAAAAAUUUAUCUUAUGAAUGUGCAGCCUUGUUAUUCCAAGUGUGACAAAUUAAAAUAUGAUCAACAUUAUUUUGAGAUGACCGUGGGAUCAGCUUUAGUGCAAAAUUCCAUGUUAAAUUAGCAUCGGAGCCACCAAUUGCUACUCUCAUUGGACCAUUCAAAGUACCAGCCCAUUCCUCUGUAUUUUUUAUACGCUUUUUAAAAAUAUGGGUAAAUUACAUCAUCAAAAUCAUUUGUUGGACCCAAGCCCAUUUGGCUUUUAACGUCACAUUCAUGAGUAAAUAAAUAAUGGUAAACUAGAGGUGAUCAUGGGCCGGGCCGGGCCAGGCUUAGAAAAUUUUUUGGCUUGUGUCUUAGGCCCGGCCCGAAAUAUGGGCUCAAAAUUUUGUCCAGGCCCAGUUCGGGAAAAAAUUCCUAAGCCCAACCCAUUUUUUUAAUAAACACCAAAAUUGUAUUUUAAAAAUAAAAAAUAAUUUUUUUUAAAAAUACUUUAAAAUUAAAAAAAAUAAAAAUUUAUAUUUAUUAUAUAUUCAGGCCAGGCCAAGGCCAAAAAAGUUUUGCCUGAGGCCCGACCCAUUUUCUAAACGGGCCUCAUUUUUUGCCCAAACCCAUAUUUCAGACCUAUAUUUUUACCCGAACCUUCUCAUAUUUUGGGCGGGCCGUUGGGCCGGGUUGAGCCGCCCAACCAUGAUCACCUCUAUGGUAAACUACAUAACAAGUUAUUCUAAAAUAUUUUAGUCACUGCAUUUUUUUUUUGUUAAUUUAGUCACUAUAAUUUAGAUAAUCAUUUGAAUUGGCCACUUCUGUUUAAAUUUUUGUUAACCCACUAAUGGAUUAUUGACAUGACAUUUCUUUUUAAUUUUUGACUAAAAUUAGGAACCUCUCUAUAAUUAGUCCAAAAUACUUUCUUGUAGCAAAGCCUCAAGGGUAAAUUUAUUUCAAAGCUCCUUUAUUUGAUCUUUUCUAGCUAAGAAAAUUUGGGUUCCAUUGGGUUUUUUCAUUUGUUCUUAAAGAUCGAUUUUUUUUCCCUUCCCUGGAUCCCGAACUGAGUCCAUGAAGAAGUCAGUUUCUACUCAAUCCUUUCCCAAGCUUGUUAUUGUUUUAGCUCCCUUGUUGCUUCCCUUUCACCUUGUUUAGCUAUUGACUAUGUUCUAACCAAGAAGAUUCUCGGUAAAAUAUCUGAGCUAUUCAAUAACGAUAAGUGGAAAUGGACUCUAGAUAUCAGAUCCAAGUUCCUUAUCGGAAAAAUCCGUCAUCUCCCCAUUCACCAUGCAAGAUCCAAAGAUAGUCGUAGGUCCUUACAUGACGGCUUGUGCUUUUCACUCCAACUUCACCUACAGUUUCCCAGUAGUAUCCACUUGGAAGUUUGUCCGGUUGUAUUUCUACACUAAUUUGUACGAUAGUCAAAACACAACCAACACUCUUUGUACACCAUUGUGAUGAAACGUGGUUCUUAUGGUGCAGUGAGGAGCAAUAGAGAUGGAAAGCGGGGGAUGAGUGGUGACAAGGAUAUGUGGUUCUUAUGUUGCAAAUAAACAAAAAUAAAUGUUUUGGGCUAAGGGAAAAGUCCCUAGCUUUAGCCAAAAGUAAAAAAAAAUGUCAUGCCAAUGUCUAAUUCGAGCAAUUAUUUUAAUUAGAGUGACUAAAUUGACAAAAAAAAAAUAGUGACCAAAAUAGAAAUAAUAUUAUUUUAGAAUAACCUACGGUGUAGUUUAUCCAAUAAAUUCUAUAGUCAGAAUUUUAAUUCCAUUUUAAAUCUAACUUUUAUUUAAAUUAAAUUUUAGUAAUUUAUUUAUACUAUAAAAUAUUUUAAUAUUUCAAAUCAAUUAUAAAGGUUAAGAAAAAUAAUUUCACUUUACAAUCAAUACAAACAUAUCUAAUUAAGAUUAUGCCAAUAGAUUAAUAUUUUAAAUAAUAGAAUUGAGGUAUUAAAGGAUGUGUUGUUUUAGAUUUAAAUUUCAACAUGUAUAUAUUUUAAAAUUUUAUGUAAAAAAUAAAAAUAUUCUCAAAAUAAUAUUUGUUAUUUUAUGAAAAUAAUAUUAAAAUCCAAUUAACGAGUUACAUCAAUUCAGUUUGAAAUUUAAUUAGACUUAUGUUCGGGCUUUAGUUCAAGCUCCACAAUUAGUGGACUUGGGUUUGAGUAUGUUAUAUUCGUCUAAAAUUAGGCCCAUGCUUUGAAGAUUUAGAAAAUAAUUUGUCAUUGGCUUAUUAUCAUUUGAUAUUGUUUCAUGGAAAUUUUUAGUUUGAUUAGUUUUUAAUGUCACAUGUUAGUUUAUGUGAUUUUACGUAUUUAUUAUUGAAUUAAUGGAGUACUUUUUUAAGUUGCAUAUUUUAAAUUUGUAAAAAAAUUAUUUCAACUUAUAUGCUUUUGAAUGUUAAAACUUUUAUUAGAAUCAUUAGUAAAAAAAAAUGCAUAAAUGAUUGAUAGAAGAAUAAUAAGUUUAAUAAUUUUAAAGACAACAUCUCUGUUUAAUAAUAUUUGAUUCUACGUCAUAUUAAAAUAAGUCUAUAAUUUAAUUGUUUUAUAUAAAAAUACAAUUAUUAUGGUGGCUGCUCAAUUCCUCAAUGCUCCAUCAUUCCUUUUAUUCCAACCUUUUUUGCACCAUCCUCCGCCCUGCUACUCUCUUCUACUUCUUUGGCACCAAUGGAGGCCACAUCAUCUUAACUUAAAACAAAAUAAAAUAUAACAUGAAAUGGUAUUAAAAUGGAGAAAUUAGAUUUGUAAAUUAAACUAAGCUAUAAAUGGUUCAUACCUUAAAAGCCUCCAAAGGGGUUGAAGAACAUUUUUAAAGUUUGGAUCGUCAUCCCACUCCAACGAUUCCCACCAUUCUUUCCAUGACCUGAUGGUAAGAGAAGGUGGAGCAUAUGCAAAUGGCUGCCCAUUGCCAACGACGGGAACAAAUGGAGGAAUUCUCUUCAGUUUAUCACAAUCUCCAUAAACUUUUAUAACUUGGAGAGAAUCACAAACCAUCACUCCACUUUUGCCGCAUAUGCUCUUCAAAUUUGGUAAUCCCCAGCAUGUCAGCUGUCUCAAUUUGGGAAGAUGGAAUUUGAUUAAUGCAUCACUCCCUUUUUCUUCAACUUCUGAUGUUUCUACUCCCAAUAUUUCUACUAACUCACCACAAUGAUCCACUGAUAUUUCUUCCAGGUUUUGGAGGUUUGGAAGCAACCAAUGUGGAAGCAACGUCUUCAUACUUGAGCAGAAGUGUAUCGUAAUUUCCUUAAGAUGGGAAAAGGUGGCAGACGGAGCCAAUGUUGAUGCUGUUGCUGAACCAAUUCCAUCAUCUAUCAUAAUAAGUGCACUCAACUUUGGCAAAUCAUGAAGAUACAACACCUCGAGGCUCUGAAACGGGUGAGCGGAAGAAGAGGCAAAAGAGGACAAGGAAACAACACACUCUAUCCUGAUGAAGUUGGUUCAGCAUGCAGCAAACUCGACAGCAUGCAGGCCAUCAAGACCAAGUCAUGCAGGAGCUGCUGGAACGAGCUGAACUAUUCCUAUUUUGUUCAACUUGUAAUCUUAAGUUAAUGUAAUGUACUUUAGUUCAUUUAGAACUAUGUUAGGUUUAUGAUUGAUGUAUUUUGAUGACAAUUAAGCUGUUAAGUCAGCUUUGUUUAAGUGUGCAAGCUUAGUUUUUCAAGUUUCAAUGUAUUAGUGGUGGUAGGUGAUGAUUAGGUAUCAUUAUGCAGAUUUUGACAAGCAAAUUGCUUGGUUUAUGUAUUGGCAUUUUGCCAUUGUUCAAUGUAUGAAUAGAAUCAGUUUUUGUUCAUCAAUUUCCUCUCCAUUUUCUUAGCUUUUUCUUUCUUUCUUUAACUCGAAAUUGUUUGUUUGCUCAGCAAGUUUUAAGGCUUGCUCGACAAGAUACUUGCUGAGUCUGCUUGAUUCUGUUCUUGCACCAACAAUUGGUAUCUAGAGCCUAUUUCUUAAGGGAUCUGUUACUCAAUUCCAUGGCUUCAUCAAGCUUUUCACCAGCUGCACCUCAAGUCUUCAAUGGAGAAGGCUAUCACAUAUGGGUGGUCAAAAUGAAGACCUACCUGCAGGCUUUCGAUCUGUGGGAGGUGGUCAACUUUGAUGUUGAACCAGAGCCACUUAGAGCUAAUCCAACAGUGGCUCAGAUCAGGCAGCAUGCUGAUGAAAGGACCAAGAGGCACAAAGCUAUGUCUUGCAUCCAAAACUCAGUGUCUGAUGUGAUUUUCACAAGGAUUAUGGCCUGUGAAUCACCAAAACAGGCCUGGGAUAAGUUGCAGGAAGAGUUUCAAGGGACUGAGAGGACAAGGCAGCAACAGUUGUUAAAUUUGAGGAGAGAUUUCGAGAAUUUGAAGAUGAAGGAAGAAGAAACUGUCAAGCAAUAUUCUGACAGGAUUAUGGCUGUGGUUAACAGCAUCAGGCUCCUUGGAGAGCAGUUCAAUGAAGCUAGGAUAGUGGAGAAGGUUAUAGCAACUCUGCCUGAGAGGUAUGAGGCAAAAAUCUCAUCUCUCGAGGACUCAAGGGAUCUGUCCACCAUCUCCCUGACAGAGUUGAUCAAUGCUCUAUAUGCUCAAGAGCAGAGGAGAGCAAGCAGACUGGAGGAGCACCAAGAAGGUGCCUUUCAAGCAAGAACAAAUACUGCCUACAAAGGCAAGAAGGCCUGGAGAGACAAGCCAAAGAAUGAUGCUGCAAGGAGAGAAGGUCAGACUUGCAAGCACUGUAGAAAGGCUGGUCAUUCAGAAGAAAAAUGCUGGUUCAAUCCAGAUGUUGUAUGUCAGCAUUGUAAGAAGAAGGGUCAUGUUGAGAGAGUCUGCAAGAGUAAGACCAAAUCGAGGCAGAAUCAGUUUCAACAGAUGAAAGCUGAGGCUCGAGUAGCAAAGGAGGACAGUGACCAAGAGGAGCAAGUCUUUGCUGUGUCAUGCUCGGCUGCUCAGGAAAGGUCCUCAUCUGGUUGGCUCCUAGACAGUGGAUGCACCAACCACAUGACACCUGAUGCUGCAAUCUUCAAGUCUUUAGACAGAAGCUGCAGAACUAAAGUCAAGAUAGGAAAUGGUCAUUUUAUCCAAGCUGAAGGCAAGGGUGAUGUGCUGAUAUGCACACUUACAGGUACCAAAGUGAUUUCAAAUGUGCUGUUGGUGCCUGAAAUUGACAGAAACCUGCUCAGCAUAGCUCAGUUGCUGGAAAAAGGUUAUUCAGUUGUGUUUAAAGACCACCAGUGCCAAAUCAGUGAUCCAAGUGGAUCCAAACUGAUGGCAGUCCCUAUGGCUGAUAAGAGCUUUGUGGUUGACUGGACAAAAAAGUCAGACAUUGCCUACACAGCCACUUCAGAUGAAUCCAAGCUGUGGCAUCAAAGAUUGGGACAUGCCAACUUCAGAUCGAUGGCUCGAAUGGUCAGAGAGGACCUGGCUGAAAAUUUCAUCAACUCAGUUGACCAUGAUGAUGUAUGUGAUGUAUGUCAGCUAGGAAAGCAGGCCAGACUCCCAUUUCCCUCGAAUCAAGCCUGGAGAGCCUCUGAAAAACUCCAACUGGUGCAUACUGAUGUGUGUGGCCCUAUGAAGACUGAGUCAUUAAGUGGAAACAGGUCUUUCAUACUGUUUAUUGAUGAUUUCUCGAGAUAUUGCUGGAUUUACUUUUUAAAACAGAAAUCUGAAGUGGCCUCAGUGUUUUGGAAGUUCAAGACUGCUUCUGAGACUGAAACAGGCUGCAAGCUGAAGACCAUAAGGUCUGAUAAUGGGACUGAGUACACCUCAGCUCAGUUCCAAGCCUUCUGUGAUAAGGCAGGCAUCAAACAUCAACUUACCAACACAUAUACACCUCAGCAGAAUGGGGUAAGUGAAAGGAAGAAUAGGAGUUUGAUGGAUAUGGCCAGGUGCUUGAUGAUUCAGAAAAAUCUGCCUAAAGCACUAUGGGCAGAAGCAGUUAACACUGCAACAUACAUUCAAAAUAGACUUCCAACCAAGGCUUUGGAUCAAAAGACCCCAUUCGAGGCCUGGUUUAGUUUCAAGCCAUCAUUGGCUCAUCUGAAGGUCUUUGGAUGCAUCUGUUAUGCACAUGUACCUGCUGUUAAAAGGGACAAAUUGUCUGAAAGGGCUCGACCUGGUGUUUUGGUGGGGUAUAGCACUGUUAAGAAGGGCUAUAGGAUUUUAGAUCCUUCAACAAACAAAGUAUCAAUAAGCAGGGAUGUGGUAUUUGAUGAGAGGUCAUGUUGGAACUGGGAAAGACAUGAACCUGAAGAAGUUUCUGAAGAACUUGCAGUAGACCAAGCUGAGCCAGAUCAAAAUGUCCCUGAAAUGGAUAUUGAUGAUGAACCAGUCAGAGGAACAAGGUCAUUGGCUGAGGUUUAUGAAAGGGCUCAUGUAGCCAUAGCUGAACCAAGCAACUUUGAAGAGGCUGAGGCUCAACAAGGGUGGAAGCAGGCAAUGGCUGAGGAGAUCAGCAUGAUUGAGAAGAACCAGACCUGGGAAUUGGUUGAAAGGCCAGUCAAAAGGAAGGUGAUUGGGGUGAAAUGGGUGUACAAAGCCAAGCAGAAUGCUGAUGGUACCUUGAACAAGUUAAAAGCAAGGCUAGUGGUCAAGGGGUUCAGUCAGAGGUAUGGCUUGGACUACUUGGAGACCUUUGCACCAGUGGCCAGGCUCGACACCAUCAGACUGCUGAUUGCCUUAGCAGCACAGCUCGAAUGGAAGAUUCAUCAACUUGAUGUGAAAUCAGCCUUUCUGAAUGGUUUCUUAGAUGAAGACAUCUAUGUUGAACAACCACAAGGGUUUGAAAUAGCUGGCAGAGAGCAUAUGGUCUACAAAUUGAAGAAGGCCCUAUAUGGCUUAAAACAGGCUCCAAGGGCCUGGUACAGCAGAAUCGAUGGCUACCUGACUGAUCUGGGAUUCAAUCGAAGCAAGAGUGAGCCAACACUGUAUGUCAAGAAGCAAGGGACACAAACACAACUCAUUGUGUCCCUAUAUGUUGAUGACCUGCUGGUGACAGGAGGAGAUCAAGCAGUGCUGGUUAAUUUCAAGACCAAGAUGCAAGAGGUGUUUGAAAUGUCUGAUCUUGGGGAGAUGUCCUAUUUUCUUGGAAUGGAGGUGACUCAAGCACAGAAUGGGAUAUUUUUAAGUCAGAAGAGCUUUGCCACAAAGAUUCUGACCAAGUUCUCCAUGCAAAACAGCAAACCAACUAAAACACCUGUAGCUGUUGGAGAAAAACUAUCGAGCCAAGGAGAUUUUGAGAAGGUAUGUGAAACUACCUACAGGAGUCUAGUUGGUUGUUUGCUAUACUUGACUGGCACUAGACCAGACAUAAUGUAUGCUGUAGGAUUGCUCUCAAGGUUCUUGCAUUGUUGCAAUGAGAAGCAUUUCCAGGCUGCCAAGAGAGUGCUCAGAUAUGUCAAAGGCACUUUGGACUAUGGCUUAAGGUACAGCAGAAAAGGAAAUCUAAAUCUAGUUGGGUACACUGAUAGUGACUGGGCUGGAUCGUUAGAUGACAUGAAAAGCACCUCAGGGUAUGCUUUUAGACUUGGUUCAGCCAUGUUCUGCUGGAGCUCGAAGAAGCAAAGUCUGGUGGCACAAUCUACGGCUGAAGCAGAGUAUGUGGCAGCAGCAAGUGCUGUCAACCAAGCCAUUUGGCUUAGGAAAAUCCUGGCUGAUUUGAAUAUGGAUCAAAUGGAAGCAACAGAGAUCUUCUGUGACAAUCAAUCUGCAGUUGCAAUUGCUAAAAAUCCAGUGUUCCAUGGUAGAACAAAACAUUUCAGCAUCAAGUUACAUGUUGUUCGAGAAAUGGAGCAAGCUCAGGAAGUAAAGCUGAUCCACUGUAAUUCAGAGGAUCAACUUGCUGACAUUUUAACCAAAGCUCUUAGUGUCACAAGGUUUGAAUAUCUAAGAAAGAUGCUAGGUGUUUGCUCCAUGCAAACCAAGGAGGAGUGAUGAAGUUGGUUCAGCAUGCAGCAAACUCGACAGCAUGCAGGCCAUCAAGACCAAGUCAUGCAGGAGCUGCUGGAACGAGCUGAACUAUUCCUAUUUUGUUCAACUUGUAAUCUUAAGUUAAUGUAAUGUACUUUAGUUCAUUUAGAACUAUGUUAGGUUUAUGAUUGAUGUAUUUUGAUGACAAUUAAGCUGUUAAGUCAGCUUUGUUUAAGUGUGCAAGCUUAGUUUUUCAAGUUUCAAUGUAUUAGUGGUGGUAGGUGAUGAUUAGGUAUCAUUAUGCAGAUUUUGACAAGCAAAUUGCUUGGUUUAUGUAUUGGCAUUUUGCCAUUGUUCAAUGUAUGAAUAGAAUCAGUUUUUGUUCAUCAAUUUCCUCUCCAUUUUCUUAGCUUUUUCUUUCUUUCUUUAACUCGAAAUUGUUUGUUUGCUCAGCAAGUUUUAAGGCUUGCUCGACAAGAUACUUGCUGAGUCUGCUUGAUUCUGUUCUUGCACCAACAUAUCCCUUUACAAUCACGAAUCCUCAAGUAAAUCGCAUUUUUGAAGGAAGAAUUAUCAUCCACUAAGCUUCACAAAUAGUGGCACUUUAAAAUAUUCAACUCUUGAAUUUCAAUUGGGUGCAUAAUUAACUCACCUUCCCAAUUCUGGACUCCUCCAAUUGUUACUGUUUUAUCUCUUGUAGGAAGCAUAGGAGAUGAGCCCACCUCCAAUUUUUUUUGAUUUAGUCAUUAAACUUUUCGAAAUUAAAUAUUUUAAUCACUCCAAGCUAAUUGGGCUUUUUUUUAUUGGUCUAGUAACUAAAUUAGUCCUCUAAUAGUUACACGUUCUAUUAAUUUUAUCUUAAAUAUAAAAAAAUUCAAUAAAUCUAGCCUCAAUGUUCACAAAAUUUGUCAUUUUAGUUCUAAUUCUAAAAAGUUCAAUAAAAUUGGCCCUCGAUAUUUACAAAAUGUUAAUUAAUUUAGUUAAUUUUAGUUUUAAUCAAUCACUCCAAUUUCUCGGUUAAAUAAUAGAAAGACAAUAAUUAUUAAUACUUUUAGCCCUCAUGGGAACAAUAUCUUUACUCAUCAUAACUAUACUAUUAAUUGAUAAGUACAUUUACCUUAAUCAGAUUUUUAGUUGGUUUACAACCGCAAUCGAUACACAUAAUUAACUUUGAAAGAUUAGUUGAUGAAGUUGAAAGACUAAAACUAUUACUCUAAGUGUUCCAAAACUAAUGCUUCGGGUAAUCUAAUGUAUACAAUCAAGUAAAUAUUGAGCAAAGAAAUAUUAGAAUAUGACAACUCAAGUUCAGGAUAUAUAUUACAGUUUUUACUAAUAAUGUAGAAACAAAAUUAUCAAUCAUCUCACAAUUACCUCUUUCACAAAAUGAGCAAAGAAACAUUUUGUACGUUGGACCCAGAAGAGAAUUUUGCCAAAGUGAAGAAAUAUGGGCUUCCCCAAGAUGAAGGUGUAAAAUCCUUCAUUUCCAACCCGACAACCCAGCUUUCUGGUAAAAUGUUUUUGGAUAUUUUCUUAUAAUAAAAGUGUACAUUCUGGAAAUGUAUUGAAAAAAAGAAAGGGUCGUGUUGGUUAUGAUGAGUAAGGCUACCAAUGAGGUGCUGGAGAGGAGAGGUGGAAUUUUAGCACUUAAUCACCACACCAAAUCAAAUUACUUAUGUACUUAACAACUAGAAUUCAUAAAGUUUGGGGCAUUACGCCAAUGUAAAAUAAAAAAGUUGAAGUUUUUUUAAUCCAAAACCUCUGUAUCUAUGCCUCUCUCGACAACAAGAACAUCCUGUUUUGACUUUUUCUUUUUAAAAGUGUAAACUUUCUGCCUUACAAACUACAUAAUUAUUGAAAACCUAUGAUAUUUUCAGUAUUUAAAACUGAAAAAUUUUAAACCUUUAGCUUCUAAAUAAAAGUCUGACAACAAAAUGAAGCAAGAAAAAAAAAGAAGGAAACUAAGUUUUUUUAUUUUUAUUUUUAUUUUUAUUUUAAAAGGGAUUUCACCUUUUUAAUUUUCUCAUUUAGUCCUCAUAAUUUAAAAUAUUAUUUAAUUUUAGAAAUAUGUUAAUAUUAUUAACUAUGUUAAUCCCUACAAUUUUUAUAUUACUUAAAGAAAAGGAAUUUAUCUUAUUUAAUUUCCACUUUUAAUUUCUAAUAUCAUACUUUUAUGAAAAUACAUUAUUAUUGUUUUAAUCUUUAUGAUUACGUUUACAUAUGAAUGAAUCCAAUUAUAUAUAUAUUUAGAAGGUUAUUUUAGGAAGUACAUAUAUUUAGAAAUAUGUUAAUAUUAUUAACUACGUUAAUCCCUACAAUUUUAUCCUCCCCCCUACUUCUUUCCCACCAACCCUUUUAUCUUUCUCUUCAACAUCAUCACAAAUAUACUUCCAAUUUUAUUAUUAUGGAGAAAUUAGAUUUAUCAAAAUAAAACAAUAAACAAAACUAUAAAUGGUUCAUACCUCUUAUCCUGCAAAGGGGUUGAAGCGAAGAACAUUUUUAAAGUUUGGAUGGUCAUCCCACUCCAACAAUUCCCACCAUUCUUUCCAUGACCUGAUGGUAAGAGAAGGUGGAGCAUAUGCAAAUGGCUGCCCAUUGCAAACAAGGGGAACAAAUGGAGGAAUGCUCUUCAGUUUAUCACAAUAUCCAAAAACUUGGAUAAGUUGGAGAGAAUCACAAACCAUCACUCCACUUUUGCUGCAUAUGCUCUUCAAAUUUGGUAAUUCCGAGAAUGACAACUCUCUCAAUUUGGGAAGAUGGAAUUUGAUUAAUGCAUCACUCCCUUUUUCUUCAACUUCUGAUGUUUCUGCUCCCAAUAUUUCUACUAGCUGACUACAAGCACGCACAUGUAUUUCUUCCAGGUUUUGGAGGUUUGGAAGCAACCAAUGUGGAAGCAACGUCUUCAUACUUGAGCAGUCCACUAUCUUAAAUUCCUUGAGAUGGGAAAAGCUGGCAGACGAAGCCAAUGUUGAUGUUGUUGCUGAACCAAUUCCUGCAUCUUUCAUAAUAAGGGCACUCAACUUUGGCAGAUCUAGAAGAUCCAACAUCUCGAGGCUCUGAAAUGGAUUAGCGAAAGAAGAGGCAAAAGAGGACAGGGAAACAACACACUCUAUUCCUUUACACCCCCAAAUCCUACAAAGCCUCAAGUCAAUCGCAUUUUUGAAGGAAGAAUUAUCAUCGACUAAGCUUCUCAAAUAGUCGCAGUGAAAAAUAUUCAACUCUUGAAUUUCAAUUGGGUGCAUAAUUAACUCACCUUCCCAAUUCUGGACUCCUCCAAUUGUUACUGUUUUAUCUCUUGUAGCAAGCAUAAAAGAUAAGCCCACCUGUAAAGAGUACUUGAUGAGAUUUUUCUUACUUUGUUGCAUUGAGGAGAUGAACUUAUUGAAUUCACUGAUGUCUUCGAAAUGUCCGGUUAAGCACUCCAACUUCUUCAAUGGUUCCAUCUCCUCUGCUUUUAGACUUGUUCUUUUAUUGUUCUUAUGAAAACACAAGUGCUGAAGGUGAACGAGUUUUGAUAAAAGUCCAGCGGGUAUCUCUUUCAGGGUGAACACUUGAAGAUUAAUAUAUCUUAGCUUUAUCAGCAUAUCCAUUCCUUCAGGGACUUCCUCAAUUUUAGUCCUAGAAAGAUCCAACUUCUUCAAUUCUUGAAGCAUCGAAAGACAUGGCAGAUCUCUUAAUUCAUAACAGUCACGAAGCAACAAUGUUGUGAGGUUCUUUAGUUCAGAGAUGGAAUCUGGUAAACUUUUGAUCUUCGUAGAGGACAAAUUGAGAACACUAAGACAAGGCAUGUUUGUGAAGAAAGAAAUUGAAAUCUUCUUUAUAGGGUUCUCCUGCAAUAACAAGGUUGUGAGCAGUUGACAUUUUGUGGGCAGCACAUCUAUGGAAAUUUCUGAUAUGGAGUUAUGCAUAAGUGACACUUUCUCAAUAUCCGGACUCCAUUGCUCCUUUUCUGGUAACUCUUCUAAUUGCAAACCUGCUUGUAUCAUAUAUCGAGGAUUCAUUCUUGUGAUCGACAAUGCCAUCUCUCUCACUGCAUCAUGCAUCUUUAUGCAAGGUUGACCAUGUACAUUGGUAAUAUUUUCCAACAAGCAAUUCUCUUCUAACUUCUUCAAAAUAACAUGGCCCUUUUCUUUCAUUUCUUGUCUUGUACCCAUAUCAUCUAUGAAUCGCUCGUCAAUCCAGCACUCAAUUAGCUCAUCUUUUCUAAUUUCAUAAUCUUCAGGAUAUAAUGCACAAUGUAAGAAACAAUAUUUCACUUUCUCGUCCUUUAAGUGAUCGAAGCUAAGUUUCAAACGCUUUAUCACUUUAGCUUCCACUUCUUCCUCUUUUUCUAUUCUCUCUUUCAAUUCCCCGAGUGCGUUUUUCCAAAUAAGAGGGUCCUCUUCUCCUUUCAAUGUACCAGCUACGACGACAAUUGUAAGAGGUAGACCCGCACAUUCCUUGACAACAAGCUUUAGAGUAGGCAUUAUAGUUUGAUUUUGCACUAUGUUAGGCCCAACUUUGCUCAAGAACAGUGUCAAUGCCUGUUGUGCUGAAAGGGGCUUCGCUUUUAUCACUGUGCAACCCAUAUACUUACAGACAUGCUCCGAACGGGUUGUCAACACCAACUUGCAGCCAUUGCUGUCACUCAGCUCGGGGAUCCCAACUUCCUCUAGAGAGACUUUAUCCCACACAUCAUCUAGGAUUAAAACAUGCUUUCCUGCAUUCUUCAUCAUUUCUGACAAGAUUGCUGCUCGUCUGAGCUUGUCUCCUUCUCUGGGCCAAUCUUCCUUCAACUUCAAAGCACCUGCAAUAUCAUCUUGUACCUUCAUGACAUUGAACUCCUUUGAUAUGGUAACCCAGAUUACCCUUUCGAAUCUUUGUUGCUUUAAAAGAUCAUUGUGGAUGUGCUUCAUGAUAGUGGUUUUACCCACACCGCCCAUCCCCCAAACCCCAAUCUUGCUCACCUCCUCCUGCAUCAAACAUGCCCAAAUCUCAUUUCUGACAGCUUCCUCUCCAACUAGUUCUGAUGUUGGCAGCGGCAACCCAGCAUUUGGACCAUCCAUGGCAAGACCUUCAGAGGCAUUAGGAGCUUUAUCAAGAAAUCUCUUCAUUUCUCGAGUCUUUUCAUCAACCAGCUUGCCGUUGCAAGCACGACAGAGAUAUCUCCCGUUCCUGACUUUGUUUUCAACAACUUGUGCUUCCCUAAUCAUCUCUUUCACAUCUUUCAACCAAUUUUCAACUCCCUUCUUUGGUACCUUCCGCAGAGGACGAAGAAGCUCUGCUUUCACUUGCAGCUCUAUAUCUUCCAUUUUGCAAUUCAAUUCAUCUCUGAUCGUCUUGAAGUUUCUCACAUAGUCGUUCAGCUUUCUGUGAUAUUGCAAAAAUUUACAAACAGGAGUGCCGAGACAAUUUGCAAUGCCAACAACAGGCUCUACGUACUCCAUUGCUAUGUCCCUGCAAUGCAAUCAUAUAUAACAGAAGCAGAGAAUGAAAAUCUGUGAAUGUAUUGGAUAUUUUAUGAAGUAUUGAUAUGUCAGUGUAAGCGUGAAAAGGAAAACAUGAUUGCAAGUUUCAAGCAAUGGCGUUUAUUAGAUGGAGCUAUGGAUGGGUGGCUGACAGAAACAUGAUGAAAUUCUGGUCACCAGAAUUAAGCUCUCAAUGUAUAUAAAAUGCUAGAUUCAAGUGUGCAACAGUUCAUUACAGAAUAUUAAGAGUUAAAAUGUUAAAAUUAUGAGAUUUCAACAUUAUAUUGCUUCUGGGUAGCUCUUUCUGUAUUAAUUUCAAUCUAGAGUAGAUUAUGUCUGCUGAUCAUCUUGUCUUAAAAUCUAAAACUGUUGAUAAUCAGUAGAGGAAAUCAUAGCUUCAGAUCUUCUUACCUGGCUUAGUGGCUGAAAAGUGUUGAGAGAAUAGAACUGAAAAUGAAGCAGUGAAGUUGACUGUCUUACAAAGCUAGCUGCUAAGGCCUAAGAGUAGCAGAUAAUCAGCAACAACCAUUGCAAAGCCAUGAAUUAAGCAAAGAAAAGCAUGUGAUGAAUUAAGCAAAUGAAAGAAAAUUACCUGGACAGGAUGCUUGAAAUUUGGUGAUAGACCUUGGACAUCAAAAGAAAUUAAAAACAGUGAAGAAGAAAGAAUGUUGUGGGUACAAUAGCCAAAAAGAUGAAGAAAGUUAAGAUAGAAACAGGCAAAAUUCCGGGGUAGGUUCCACAAAGGCAGAAUGUUGUUCACCCUUUUUAGGAAUAGUCAAAAUUGGAAUUAUCAUUGUACCAAAAAAAUAUUAGUCAAUAAACUAUUGCUAAUUUUUGUUUCAGUCACUCAAUUAAAAAAAGUUACAAUUUCACCACUAAUAUUUUUGAAAUUUUUUUUUGUCACUCAUGGAACUUUUUAAUUGAUUUAAUAAUAAUUUACUUUCAGUCAAUUUGAUUUUAAUAAUAUAUAAAAUGGUAAAAAGUUAAAAAUUAUGUUUAAAAUUUUAGAACAUUAUAAAAUUAAAAAAAUAAAAAAGUGAGAAAAUUAGGGAUAAUUAUUUUUAAACCCUACAAAAUUUCUCUAUAUUAUCUAUAUUCAAUACUCAUUCUUUAAAAACAAACAUAGAAAAAAUAUUAAGCAAAAAUAUUUGUUUUUUACGUCUUCAGUUACUUGACAUAGCUUUUACAUUAUAAGAAAAGAUAAAAUUCUGAAUAUAAUUUCUUUUUACAAUUUGGGUUUUGAAAAAAAAUUAAAAUGUAAUGGAAUUUUGAAUUGAUUUUGGAAAAGAAAAAUUAUGGUAUAUUUUGUAUUCUUUUGACUAAAAAUAUGGCAUCAAGGUCAAUUUCAUAAGUAUUUGUAAUAUCAAUUCUAGAUGUUCUUCAAGGGCAUAUUCAAGUUAUUCAGUUAUUUAUUUCUCAAUACAAUUCAGUUAUUCAACAACAUAUUCAAGAUUUUAUUUUUUUAGAGUUUUUAUAUACAUUUUCCUAUUUUAUAAAUAUUUUUUAGUUUUUUUUAUAAUUUUAUACAAAAUCAAGGUCGAAUUGACAGAAAAUAUAAAAUUUGAGGACUAAAACUAUUAUUAUACCAACUAAAACAAGUGCCACUUAAUAGUCAGGUGACAAAAAACAAACAAUUUGAAAAACACUAGUGACCAAAUUGUAACUCUUUUUUAGUUAAGUGACCAAAACGAAAACUUACCCAUGCUUGAACGACUAAUGGUGUAGUUUACCCUAAAUUCUUUUAAAAAAUUUAGUUUAAAACCUUUUUAUCUAUACUAUGUAUUAAGUCUUUUACUGAGUUGGUUUAACCCAUCAAUCGGUCCCAACUCAGUAAGAAAAUUAUGAAAAAAUAAUUUUAUUUGUAAAGUAAGAUAUAUGAUUAUGAUGGUGUUUUCGUCUUUUCAUAUCUUUAUAAAUUAAUAAAAAAUUAUCCAUAACGAAAUUUGAACCAAUGACACCAUACAUAUAAAACUUUUCUGAAGUCCAUUGAGUCAUUCACAUUUGCUUCGGCCCCCAAGGCUCGUAUUCAAGUGUUACACAUAACCAUUUACAUAAUUCUUCAUUUUGAUUUACAUCAGUACACAAGUGGUUCCAUAUCAUCAUACCAUUGCAUUUUGAUAUCAUUUACCAAGUUUACCAUUUAUAAUCCCUAUUAAUAGGACUCAAACGAAUAUACAGAUCAUCCAAGCAACACACCAAACUAGCACCGAUGUGUAUAAUCAAAUAAACUGAAGUAACAAAAGUUGGCACAGGAAGCACAUUCCUAGCACACAAAACAUAUACUGGCACAAGAGGUGCAUCUUGAUGCACAAAGUGCAUACUGGAACAUAAAAUGCAUCCUGGCACAUGAGGUGCAUUCUGACGCAUAAGUGCACAAACUCAUAGACAAUCUAAUCCUAUAACAUGUUAACUAUCUGACUCAACUAGCAGACUAGUUAAUAAGGUACCAAUGUUCAAUUUCAUUUUAUAAUUAAAUACAUAUAUCAUUUCACAAUCACAACCUUAAUCACAAUCCAAUUCAUUAUCAAUACACAUUAUCCAUAACAAGGUUCUCAAUACAAAGCUAGCUGCUAAGAGUAGCAGAUAAUCAGCAACAAUCAUUGCAAAGUCAUGAAUUAAGCAAAGAAAAGCAUGUGAUGGAUUAAGCAAAUGAAAGAAAAUUACCUUGAGAGGAUGCUUGAAAUUUGGUGAUAGACCUUGGACAUCAAAAGAAAUUAAAAACAGUUAAGAAGAAAGAAUGUUGUGGGCACAAUAGCCAAAAAGAAGAAGAAAAUUAAGAUAGAAACAGGAAAAAUUCCGUGGUAGGUUCCACAAAGGCAGAAUGUUGUUCACCUUUUUAGGAAUAGUCAAAAUUGGAAUUAUCAUUGUACCAAAAAAAUAUUAGUCACUAAACUAUUGCUAAUUUUUGUUUCAGUCCAAUUUCACCACUAAUAUUUUUGAAAUUAUUUCUUUUUGUCACUCAUGGAACUUUUUAAUUGAUUUAAUAAUAAUUUUAGUCCUUGAUUUGUAUACUUUCAGUCAAUUUGAUUUUAUAAUAUAUAAAAUGGUAAAAAGUUAAAAUUAUGUUUAAAAUUUUAGAACAUUAUAAAAUUAAAAAAAUAAAAAAAGUGAGAAAAUUAGGGAUAAUCAUUUUUAAACCCUACAAAAUUUCUCUAUAUUAUCUAUAUUCAAUAAUCAUUCUUUAAAAACAAACAUAGAAAAAAUAUUAAGAAAAAAUAUUUGUUUUUUACGUCUUCAGUUACUUGACAUAGCUUUUACAUUAUAAGAAAAGAUAAAAUUCUGAAUAUAAUUUCUUUUUACAAUUUGGGUUUUGAAAAAAAAUUAAAAUGUAAUGGAAUUUUGAAUUGAGUUUGGAAAAGAAAAAUUAUGGUAUAUUUUGUAUUCUUUUGACUAAAAAUAUGGCAUCAAGGUCAAUUUCAUAAGUAUUUGUAAUAUCAGUUCUAGAUGUUCUUCAAGGGCAUGAAACUCAACUUGAUAAUACUAUUAAUUUGGUUUCGAGAAAUAUUCAGGAAACAUAUAUAUAAUAAUCUAACUUUUUUUUUCUUUUGAUUUUAAUUUGUUAUUGGAUGUUAUUGAAUGAUGAUUUUCUUUAUUUCUCAUACAAUUUAGUUAUGAAACAACAUAUUCAAGAUUUUAUUUUUCUAGAAUUCUUUUAAAAAUUUUAGUUUAAAACUUUUUUUAUCUAUACUGUGUUAAAGCCUUUUACUGAGUUGGUGUCAACCAUCAAUCGAGUCUCAAGAAAGAAAAUUACCAAAAACAAGACAAAAAGAAGCAAAAUUGGGAGUCAAUUGUUAUGGUCUUUGCUGCAAUAUUGAAUUAUUAAUGGUGGAUGCCAACACCUAAUAGCAAUCUGGCAAAAGGUUCCAUCCUUUUUAGUUGUGGUUUAGGGGUAUCAAUUAAACUUUUAAUCACUCCAAAAACUAUUUGUAGUGUUCCAAUAACUAUAAAUGAAUGCAUGUAAUUAAUCAAAAGUUAAAUCUUUUGGUCAUUGGUCAAUAAUUAUAUCACUUAAUUUUUGAAAAAGAAUUAUAUUGUUUGAAUAGUUAUAAUAUUAGAUGAAUAAUUAUAUGUAUUUUUAAAGACGUUAUUAUUCAGAAAAUACACCUAUUGAAAGACAUAAAAAUUCUUAUAAAUAGGAAUUGUAUUUCAUUUGGAAAUCACACCAACAAGUUCUAAAAUUCUUCCUAUCCUCCCUCAUUUUCUAGUAUUAUUAGAUUGUUUUAUAAAGAGCUACUGCAAAAAUUCUUUGUAAAAAUUAAGUUUCUUGUUACAUAUUGCUCAGUGCUUAGUGAACUAUUCACGUUAGUGCAAAAUGUAAAUAGUCAUCGGCUUCAUUAUAUUCUCAAGGUUAAUUUGCUUGAAAUUCCUUUCAACACCGAAUAUAGGUGAGAGCGGAUAUAACUUUAAAGAUAGUGGUUUGAUACACGUCUUGAAGCCUUGUCAUAUUUCUUCAUUUUCUGUGCGAGUUUCAUUUGUGUUCAAAAUUUUCCUCACCGGAGAUUUGUUCUAAUAUAUAUAUUUUAAUAGCAAAUGAUCUAAGAAGACAUGUAGAUAUAUAUACAUGAUAGGUUCUAAAAGUAACAUGUUUUAAUCUCAUUCUUAAUGCGUUUUUGGGUGAUUAUUCGAUGUUAAUGGUGAAUUUUAUGCUUCCAAUCCUUUAAAUUCAUGUUUCUAUACUUAGGAGAGCAUUUGGGAGAAAAAAGAGCGAAAAUCAGAAAAUUAGAACAAGUUUCAGGAGCCACACGAGCUAGGUCAUUCCACACGGCCGAGUGAGUCAUACGAGUUGCCACACAACAAUGUGCCAAACCGUGUGGAAAGCACAAAUUGCACUCUAAACACGCAGAAAAUCGUAAUUUUUAAGUUUUUCGAUCAUUCUAAGACAUAUAUGAAAAAGAUAAGAAGAGGGGAGUGAGUCGUCAUAUAAUAUUGAAGAAAACAACUCGAAAAAUACCAUUGAAGCCGACUUUGAAGCAUAUUUCCAUCAAAAUUGAAGUUCUCCUUUUGAUUUCUUUGAAGAUUAUUAUGAGUUUCUUUAUUUCUUAUAGUUAUACUAUCUUUGAGAUGUUUUUAUUUACUAUAUGGACUAAUUUUUUUUCCAAAUACCUAGGGAGAUGAACCUUAGGAUGAAUUCUAUUAUUUGAUUUCUAUUUUUAUGCAAUAUAUACUUAAAUCUUGUUCUCAAUUAUGUGUGCUUAAUUCAUGUUUUAAUAUUUCUAAACUAUUGAUCCAUGUUUUAUGUGCUUAAAUCAGAGGAGGAAUAGACAUUGUUUAAGAGUAUAUCUAGCAUAAUUGAGUGGAGUUGCAUGCAAUCCUAGAAAUAAUAUGACAUAAAUCUACCGGAUUAGAGUCAAAUUUAACAGAAGGAUCUAUAGAUCAAGUUAAUGCGAUAAUAGGGGUUUUAAUUAGAAAGAAAUUCCAAUUAAUCAAUCUAGAAUCAGUUGCUCUUAGUCUUGAAGAGAGAUAUUAAAAUAAUUUAGGGAUUUCUCCGUAUUAAGAUAUAAAGUGAAGAAAUUGUGUGAUUUAGAUUGAUAAUGACAGAUGAAGUUUAGGUGGAUUCUUUCCUAAAUAUUGUCUCGCUUAUUGGUUGUUAAUAGUUUAUUGUUCUGAUAUGUUCUUUGUAGUGUUCUUUAGUUAAUUAAUUUAGUUAAUUUUAGCUUUAAUCAAUCACUCCAAUUUGCCGGUUAAAUAAUAGAAAGACAGUAAUUACUAGUACUUUUAGUCUUUGUGGGAAUGAUAUCUUUGCUCACCGUAACUAUACCAUUAAUUAAUAAAUGCACUUACCGUAAUUAAAAUUUUAAUUGGUUUACGACUGCAAUCGCUACACAUAACUUUAAAAGAUUAAUUGAUGAAGUUGAAAGACUAAAACUGUUACUAUAAGUGUUCUAAAACAGUGUCAGUCUUAACGUCAAAUAAAAAACUUGUUAUUUUAUGCAAAUUUAAAUGUUGUAAAACUAUUGCUUAGGGUGCAAAUCUAAUGUAUACAAUCAACUAAAUGUUGAGCAAAUAAAUAUUAGAAUAUGGCAACUCAAGUUCAGGAUAUAUAUUACAGUUUUUACUAAUAAAAUGAUCAAUCAUCUCACAAUUACCUCUUUCACCAUUACUAUAACAGUUGGACGUCAAAUAUUAUAAUUCAAAGAUGAACAUCAAUGAUUACUAAUAAUGAAUACAGCAUUCCAAACAAUAAUUUGAGAAAAUAGGAAUGUUUGUAUAAACCAAUACAACAAAAUAAGGUGUAGCCACAUUGCUUUAUAAACAAAGAAAUUCUAACAACACUCUCCCCGUAUGAAAACAAAGCAAUAAUUGACUCUACUAACACCUUACCAUUUAUCCAAAACCCAAACGUACUCUCUAAUCCUAAAACAAGCUCAAUUUUCAAUAAUUUGGUCCAAUUGCCCUCUGUAUUCAAUACCCACACCUCAUCAUUACUUUCAACACGCCACAAAGAGUAAUAUGGCCAUUAAAACCGGCUACCCUCCCUACUCCUUUUCCAAUGGCUGAUACUAGCAAUUGAAAAACUCCUCUACCCAUAUAGUAUGCAAUUAUUAAAUUUCCAAUUAUAAACACCAUUUAGACAUGCUUUACCUCCAUCGGAAUUUUCGUAUAGCUCGAACAAUAACUAAAUCAAGGGUGAGCGUUUGAUCGAAUCCAGUGAAAACAUUUUGAGUUAAUCGAGUUUACAGGUUUUAUUUUAUCAUACUAACUCGAUUUGGAAUUUUUUCAAAUCAAAUCGAAUGAAAUGAAAUUCAAAUAGAGUGAAAUUGUUCAAGUUAACUUAAAAAAUUAAACAUGUCAAAUUAAAAUCUUUUAUGUAGAUUUAAAACCAUAUAUAUUUAAAAACUUAAAUAAAUGCCUCUUCUUCUGAAAGGAGCUUCACUUUUAUCACCUUACAACCCAUAUACUUACACACAUGCUCCGAACGGGUUGUCAACACCAACUUGCAGCCAUUGCUGCCACUCGGCUCAGGGAUCCCAACUUCCUCUAGAGAGACUUCAUCCCACACAUCAUCUAGGAUUAGAACAUGCUUUCCUGCGUUCUUCAACAUUUCUGACAAGAUUGCAGCUCGUACGAGCUUGUCCUCUUCUUUGUCUAAAUAUUCCUUCGACUCCAACGCACUUGCAAUAUUAUCUUGUACCUUCAUUACAUUGAACUCCUUUGAUAUGGUAACCCAGAUGACCCUUUCGAAUCUUUAUUGUUUCAAAAGAUCAUUGUGGAUGUGCUUCAUAAUAGUGGUUUUACCCACACCGCCCAUCCCCCAAACCCCAAUCUUGCUCACCUCCUCCUGCAUCAAACAUGCCCAAAUCUCAUUUCUGACAGCUUCCUCUCCAACUAGUUCUGAUGUUGGCAGUGGCAACCCAGCACUUGGACCAUCCAUGGCAAGACCUUCAGAGGCAUUAGGGGCUUUAUCAAGAAAUUCCUUCAUUUCUCGAGUCUUUUCAUCAACCAGCUUCCCGUUGCAAGCACGACAGAGAUAUCUCCCAUUACUGACUUUGUUUUCAACAACAUGUGCUUCCCUAAUCAUCUGUUUCACAGCUUUCAACCAAUUUUCAACUCCCUUCUUUGGUAUCUUCCCCAGAGGACGAAGAAGCUCUGCUUUCAAUUGCAGCUCUAUUUCUUCCACUUUGCAAUUCAAUUCAUCUUUGAUCGUCUUGAAGCUUCUCACAUAAUCGUUCAGCUUUCUGUGAUAUUGCAAAUAUUUACUGUUGACACCAUUUUUUUGAUGAAAACGGGGUCAACUUGGGUUUUGGAAAAUGAAAACAAAAAUGGGAGUCGCCACCAAUCUUUUUUUUUUAUGAGGUGUGAUUGGAUUACCUCGAAAAAUGGUUGUUUUUAAUAAACGGUUUGAUUUUAUUAAAACAACGGUUUUGGUCCACGAAAUUUAGAAAACGGGUUCAAGAGUCGGUUACGCACGAGGAAGGAUUAGCACCCUCGAUACGCCCAAAAUUGGUACCUAGUUGAUUACUUAAUGUCUUAAUGUCGAAAAUUGAGAAUUUAAAAGAAUUUUAAAAAUACGAUCCUUGUAUUAAAAUGUUAAAAAUUUUCAAGAAAAGGAGGAUAUUUCACGUUAUUCGAGAAAAAGAAUCAUAUUCAGUAAGUUAGAAUACAAUAUCUCAAAUUCUCGAUACGCGAAUGAAAAAGUUUAUUUAAGAAAUUUUAGCCAUCUCGAAUUUAAAAAUGAGAUCAUAACCAGUAAGUUAGGAUGCGACCCCUUUUUUAAAAUUCGAGAUCAUUUAAAACUUGAUUUUGAAAAGAUUCGUGUAUUUAGAUUCAUCGAGAAAAUCGAAACCCAGUAAGUUAGGGCACGAUUUUCUCGAAUCCAAACACGAAAUGCCAUUUAAAAAAAAUUGUUACAUCAAGUAAGAUAAAACACAAAAUCAUAGUGAAAGCAAAUUACAUUUUUAUGUAUGGUAACUAAUAAAAAGUCAACAAAAUAAAAAAUAAACAAACCAGAAUAAAGACAUUUAAGCAAAUAAUAACGAACAUGUAGAUAAAUAAAUAAAUCAACAUGAAAUGAUAAUUAUAAUAAUGAAUAAAAUGGUGAUAUAUAUAUGUAUGUAUGUUAGAAACAAAUUAUACGGGGUAAAAACAUAAAGUUAAAUACAAAAAAGAAGUAUAUAUAAUUAUAAAAUACAUGUAUAUACAUAAAUAAGGAAAUAGAAAUGCUCAUAAAAUAAAAAUAAAAAUAUUCGUAUGCACGUGUAUUAUAUUGUAUAUGCGUAGGUAUAAAUAUUAUGUAGUAUAUGUAUAUAAAUAUAUAGAUAUUAAAUAAAUAAAAAGCAGGGUAGAUAUAAAAAAUAUUGAAUAUAUAUAAUAUAAUAUUAUUAUUAGAUAUAUAUUAAAGUUUAUAAAUAUAUAGAUUCGUAAUAAUUUUAGACAUAUAUAUUAUAGUAUAUAAGCACAUAUAUAUAAAUAAUAAUAUAAUAAUAAUAAAUAAAUAAAUGAGCAAAAGGAAAAAAACAUGCUUAAAAGGGACUUAAAUCGAAAUAAAACAAAGUUUCUGGGCCAAUUUAAAAAUAAAAAAAGGCGGAGGGACCUAAUUGCAAGCGGGCGUAAAAAGGAGGGACCGAAAGGGUAAUUAAACCCUCAAUGUCAGAACGACGCCGUUCCAGGAAGGAGGGCGCAGAUGGUCGAAGGACCAAAUCAAAAAACAAACUAAAUUAAUGGGCCAAUUUGCAAAAAUUAAAAAAAGGAUUAAAUUAAAAAUAAUUAAAACUGCGGAGGGGCUAAACGAGCAAUUAGCCCCUUCGCAAAGAAAACACGCGGAUCCUCCUGGUAAUGGGUCGGGUCGAUCCGAUCCAAAGCAAAAUGACGUCGUUUUGGGCGUUAUGGAGCUGGCCAAAACGGCGUCGUUUCACACGCCUAUAUAUUCAAAAAAUUUUCCAAAAAAUUUCAUUUUCUCCCCCUCUUUUCAGAAAAAAAAGCCCAAAAAUGCUCUCUCUUCCUCCCUUACUCUCCCCAGAAUCCGGCCAACGGUCCGACCGAGAACCACCGUACCGGCCGCCAGUCGCCGUCGCCGGCGCCGGCGCCGCCGUGCACGGCGGUGGAGAGACCAAAAGUUUCCCUUUUUUUGAAUCGUCUCUUCGUUCCCCUGAUCGCUCCGGUGUCGGUAACAAGGUAAAGAUGCCUCCUUUUCUUCUUUUUUUGUUUAAUAUUUUGAAAUAAAAUAAUCAAGAAAAAAAACAAAAAAAAAAAAGUAACCUUCAAUCUUUUCUUUCUUCUGAACCGUUCUUGUAUUACAAAGGUUCUUAAUCGGUUUCCUUCCCCGAUUUCAAAAAAAAAACCCCAUUUUACAUUGGUUUCAAUGGCUUGAUAUAGCCCUAAUACAUUUUUUAUAUUAUUUGUUGUCUUUUCUCUGUUGUUGCGUGUCCUUGUAGGUGCUUUGAUGGGAGUGGUUGGUGGUGGUUGCGGCGGUGGCAGGGAGUUGGUGGGCAUGGCAGAGGCUAGGGCGGCGGCUAGGGUUAUGGAGGCUAGGUUUUGGUUUUUUUCUUUUUUCUGAUUUGGUUUAGGGUGUUUUGGGCUAGGGUUUGGUUGGGUCUUGUUAUUGGGUUGAUUGUUUUGGUUUAAUUAUUUUGGGUUCUUAUUUUUGUUUGGGUUAAUUGGGCCUGGGCAAAUGGGCUGUACAGCUGCCCCUCUUUGCUCGUUGUCGUGUAACGAGAACAGAGCAAAGACUAAGAAAGGCCCAUUUUGCCUGGCCUCGCCGAUUCUUGACUUCUCUUGACGCUUCUCUUCUUCAAGUAGUUUCAUUCCAAUCCAAUGUGUCGUGUUGCUUCAAUCCACUCCACUGCAACUUCAGAGAGAUAUGACUUGUAACUUCAAUCCAUUCUGUUGUAACUUCAGGGGGUAAGGUCCAUCAUUUUGACCCGCUCCACUGCAACUUCAGGGAGAUCGGACUCAUAUCUUCAACUUGCCCCACUACAACUUCAGGGGGAUAAGAUUCGUUGUUUUCAAUCUAUUCCACUGCAUCUUCAGGGAAAUAAGACUUGAUGCGACCUACUCUGCUGUAACCUCAGAGAGAUAAGAUCCUUUAUUUUAAUCCACUCCACUGUAACUUCAGGGAGAUAGGAUAGUGUCUUCGAUCUACUCCGCUGUAAUCUCAGGGAGAUAAGAUCUCUGGCUUCAAUCUGCUCCACUGUAACCUCAGGGAGAUAAGAUCUGAAAUUCUCCGGUCUACUCCACUGUAACCUCAAGGAAAUAAGACCUGAUGUGAUCUUCUCUACUGUAACUUCAGAGAGAUAAGAUCCUUUAAUCCGCUCCAUUGUAAUUUCAAGGAGAUAGGAUUACUAUCUUUGAUCUGCUCCGCUGUAAUCUCAGGGAGAUAAGAUCUCUGGCUUCAAUCUGCUCCGCUGUAACCUCAGGGAGAUAAGAUCUGAAAUUCUUUGGUCUGUUCCACUGUAAUCUCAGGGAGAUAAGACCUGUAUAAUAAACCUAAUUAUGCCUAAUGAUUAGGAUGACAUGAUCAAAAUGAAACAAAUGCUCCUAACUAGACAUAUGUGAAUGGUGUUUGCAUGAAUGCAGAAUUUUAUUUUUUCGAGAAUGAUCUCGCUUAGGUUAUCACUACUCGAAGUUUAUCAAGGUUUUGUGACUGAUGUGCUACAACGCCUUCUCGCUUGACUGAUUUUUCUGAAGAAACAUUUAGCCAGACUGUCCCCAUUGUAAACCUCAAAGUUAUAUCCACUGGGACGCCAAAAUUUGUACCAUCAUUCUCUCACAGUAAUCUAAGGGUAGAAAUAUGUGGCUUUUCCUCUGUCCUCUUUUAUCACAAUUCGGGGAUAUAGGAUCUGAACCGUUCUGGUUUCCUAUACCAUUCUCAAGGUGUCGUACCAAAGUCUUAUGCGCAAGUGAAGGCUCUCUUCCCCGAGGUAACCUCUUCCUAUUACCUGAUGAUCAUUGCUUGCUUGUUCAUUUAAGCUCUGUAAUUAACACGACAGCUUGUCAUUUUGUUCAAUCAAUGUUUAGACGACAAAAUCUGAAAGGAUAGUCUUUAACUUAGACUCUUCCUUCCUAGCUAUUUCACCCUUUAAACUUGGUAUUUUCUAAACAAUAGUCAUGUUUCAGGUCCCUAUAUUAUUUAGAAAUUUUCCAGAGUAAUGUGCAAAACUUCUUUCCUGAAAGUUUUAUUAGUUCGUUAAUCAUUAUUCCUAUGCAACAUGUUUGCAAAAAGAUCAUAACAAUAGAUAAGAAUAAAGCUAGUUCUGAUCAUAACUCAAAUAAAACAUCAAAGAUGGCGAAAGAAAGGUAACAAAGAAGUGGAUUGAGAAUGUGCGUUUUCACAAAAGGAAAGGAAGAAAGAAAGAAAAUAAAAGAAUGUAUUUUCAAGAAUACACAUAAGAACUAGGUGCCCCAGUUAUCGCAGCUUGAGUUUCUCUGUACAAACUUUCCGAAGACCCUUCUGAGUUUGACAUGUGUUCAGGAGAUCUGCAAUACUCUGUCAAUGUUCCAAGACGUUGCAUAUCCUUCCUUAUUGGUAAAGCAAGAUCAUCAUAUGCCCCUGAUCAAAAUUUGAUCCGCUCAAGUCCUGAUGUUCCAAUCCUGCCCAAUACUUGAGUCGCCCUUUUCAGAUUUUCGACUCAAGCCCUCUUUGGUCUCAAAGUGCCCUUUACGGGUUUUGACCUUAGCCUCUCCAAAGUCUCCCCUUUUUUUUUUUUAGGAAGCAAAGCGCCCUUUACGGGUUUUCACUUUGGUUCCCCUUUCUUUCAAGUGAAGUAUUUCUUGACGGAGUCUGCGUUUACAGGAUUUGGUAAACUUUUGCCAUCCAUCUCGCAUAGGAUCAAAGCUCCACCGGAAAAGGCCUUCUUUACAACAUAAGGGCCUUCCCAAUUUGGCAUCCAUUUUCCUCUAAAAUCUUUUUGCAUAGGAAGAAUCUUUUUUAGUACCAAGUCCCCUUCACGAAAUUCUCGGGGGCGAACCUUUUUAUUAUAGGCUCGCAUCAUUCGUUUCUGGUACAUUUGCCCAUGGUGAAUAGCUCUUAGCCUCUUUUCUUCUAUUAGGUUCAACUGAUCGUACCGAGAUUGGAUCCAAUCGGCUUCAUCCAACUGUAGCUCAUACAACACCCGUAGAGAAGGGAUUUCAACUUCAAUGGGUAAUACUGCCUCUAUUCCAUAAACCAGAGAAAAAGGCGUUGCCCCAGUAGAAGUUCUAACAGAUGUUCGAUAGGCAAUGAGAGCAAAUGAUAAUUUCUUAUGCCAAUCCUUGUAGGUUUCAGUCAUUUUCCCCACAAUCCUUUUAAUGUUUUUAUUGGCCGCCUCCACUGCACCAUUCAUUUUGGGACGAUACGGCGAUGAGUUAUGAUGCUUAAUUUUAAAUUUGCUACAAACUUCAGCUAUUGUGCUAUUAUUCAAGUUCAUCGCAUUGUCGGAUAUGAUCCUCUCAGGCAUUCCAUAUCGACAAAUGAUCUCCUUCUUCAAGAAUUUGCUGACUACUGCUUUCGUGACAUUUGCAUAUGAAGCAGCCUCCACCCACUUGGUAAAGUAAUCAAUUACUACGAAGAUGAAGCGAUGCCCAUUAGAAGCCUUUGGUGAUAUUGGCCCAAUAACAUCCAUACCCCACAUGGAAAACGGCCAAGGAGAGGUCAUGACGUGAAGAGGUGAAGGAGGCGCGUGUAUUUUGUCUCCGUAAAUUUGGCAUUUGUGGCACUUCCUGGCAUGAUCAAUACAAUCUCCUUCCAUGGUGGGCCAAUAGUACCCAAAUCUCAUGAUCUGUCUGGCCAUCGUGAAACCACUGGCGUGCGUCCCACAAAUACCCUCAUGGACUUCUUCCAAAAUUUUCUUGGCUUCCACAGCAUCCACACAUCUUAACAGUACUUGAUCCUUCCUUCUUUUAUAUAACACUUCUCCAUCUAAGACAUAUUCAAUGGCUAUCUUUCUCAGAGUUCUUUUGUCAUUCUCUGUCGCUUGAUCAGGGUAUUCCCGAUUCUUCACAUAUUGUAGGAUACUCUGAUACCAAGGACAAUCAUCUUUUCCCUCCUCCUCAAUAUUGCAGCAAUUAGCCGGGGUCUCAGAGAUACUCAUCUGAACAGGCCUCAUUACCUCAAGUCUAUUCACCUGAAUCAUCGAAGCUAGAGUAGCUAAUGCAUCAGCCAUUUGGUUUUCCUCCCGUGGGAGGUAAUAGAAGGUGAUAUCGUCAAACUCCUCAGCCAAUUCAAGAACUAGUUUUCUAUAACCGAUUAGCUUAGGAUCUCUAGUCUCCCACUCCCCUUUGAGUUGGUAUAUCACCAACGCUGAAUCCCCGUAUACUCUCAGUACUUUGAUGUUCCGUUCAAUGGCUGCACGAAUGCCCAUAAUACAUGCUUCAUAUUCUGCCAUGUUAUUUGUACAAUCGAAGUCCAACUUGCUAGCAACAGGAUAAUGAUCUCCACUUGGGGAUACCAAAACUGCCCCAACUCCAUUACCCGUAGCAUUUGAAGCUCCAUCAAAAUUUAACUUCCAUACGUGAUCCAUUUGAGGAUUUUCUUCAGUAUUCGCCACAUACAUCAAGUCCUCGUUUGGAAAAUCGAAAUUCAAAGAUUCAUAGUCCUCCAAGGCUCUACUAGCUAGGAAAUCGGCUAUUGCACUUCCCUUUAUGGCCUUCUGACUGACAUAUACUAUAUCAAAUUCUGAGAGCAAGAUCUGUCAUCUAGCCAUUCUCCCGUUCAAAGCAGUCGAUUCCAUCAUAUAUUUUAAAGGAUCUAACUUUGAAAUCAGCCAAGUCGUGUGAUACAACAUAUACUGCCUCAGUCUUCGGGUUGCCCAGAUUAGAGCACAACACAACUUCUCAAUUGAUGAGUACCUCAUUUCGCAAUCGGUAAAUUUCUUACUGAGAUAGUAUAUUUCCCUUUCUUUCUUUCCCGUCUCAUCAUGUUGGCCCAAUACGCAUCCCAUGGAAUUCUCCAACACUGUUAGAUACAAUAUCAAUGGCCUAUCUGGACUUGGAGGUGAUAAGAUUGGAGUAUUAGCCAAGUACUGCUUUAUCUUAUCGAAAGCCCUCUGACACUCUUCAUCCCAUUCGCCCGGAUUAUGUUUCUUUAAGAGCCGGAAUACUGGAUCACAUUUCUCUGUCAGUUGUGAGAUGAACCGAGCAAUGUAAUUCAGCCUCCCUAGGAAACCUUGAACCUCCUUCUGAGUGCGCGGGGGAGGUAAAUCUCGUAUUGCCUUUACUUUGUCUGGGUCAACCUCGAUCCCCUUUUUGCUAACUAUGAAGCCUAAUNNNNNNNNNNNNNNNNNNNNNNNNNNNNNNNNNNNNNNNNNNNNNNNNNNNNNNNNNNNNNNNNNNNNNNNNNNNNNNNNNNNNNNNNNNNNNNNNNNNNNNNNNNNNNNNNNNNNNNNNNNNNNNNNNNNNNNNNNNNNNNNNNNNNNNNNNNNNNNNNNNNNNNNNNNNNNNNNNNNNNNNNNNNNNNNNNNNNNNNNNNNNNNNNNNNNNNNNNNNNNNNNNNNNNNNNNNNNNNNNNNNNNNNNNNNNNNNNNNNNNNNNNNNNNNNNNNNNNNNNNNNNNNNNNNNNNNNNNNNNNNNNNNNNNNNNNNNNNNNNNNNNNNNNNNNNNNNNNNNNNNNNNNNNNNNNNNNNNNNNNNNNNNNNNNNNNNNNNNNNNNNNNNNNNNNNNNNNNNNNNNNNNNNNNNNNNNNNNNNNNNNNNNNNNNNNNNNNNNNNNNNNNNNNNNNNNNNNNNNNNNNNNNNNNNNNNNNNNNNNNNNNNNNNNNNNNNNNNNNNUCCUAUUUGUCUUUUCAAUUCUUCAAUUUUGUCUAAGCUCGCCCUUAAUUCAAUCGUAGCAUUACGAUUACAGUACUGGUGAAGCGAUCUUUCUAGUUCAGUUAUCCAGACCUUCAACUCCGUCUUCUCGUCUUGGCAAACUAGUAGACUCUUUCCCAAGGUGACUUCUCGAGCCCGAGUAUCCUGGAAUUUCUUUUCCCAUUGAUUAGCUUUCGUCUUUUCCUCCUGAAUUUCUUGUCGCCAUUGUUCUGGUGUUUUACCCAAGCCAGCAGCUCUUACCGACCUACGCAACUUCUUGUAAUCUGUCUUCAGGCUAUCCAAAUCUUCUUCUGCUUUGUUCUUUCCUUUUCUCAAUUUGUUCGCCUCUAAUCUUUGAAUGUCCACAUCCAGUCCUAACUGCAUUUUUUCUUCCUCUAGUUGUUCUAUCUUCUUCCCCAAUUCUAAACUCCUUUUUUCGAAUUCUUGUUUGAUGAUUUCUAUCUCAGAAGGCAAAACUUGUAAGUGUUCCUCUAAAGAUCGAGCAGUUUCUGAAUUUGAUGCCGGGAUGUUGUCGUUGAUCCUUUGAUCACGCCACUGACCAUACUCGGGGGUAAUUGUCGGACCCACGGCUAAGAUCUUCAUUCGACGAGUCUGGUUCCAGGCACUAGAUAUUUCUCGAACCUUCUUCUUGUAAUUGUCCUCCCUAUAGGAAAAAUCACUAUAAGCCAACCCCUGCGUUGCUGGUAUGAAUUGUCGUGAUCUAUACUGCCUUGAUACGAGUAGAGGAGCAUAUCCGAUAGCUCCCCAUAUCCCGAGCAGCGGAACCCAGUCAAAAUCUCCACAUCGGUACAAUAUCUCAUCAGGAAUUAACCAAGGAGCCCUCCAUUCAAUAUCUUCCUCCUGGAGAUUCUGGAGUAUCUCUAUCCAUUUUUCUUCUGAAAUAUCAUCCCGUCUUGGCGUGGCCACCAAUUCUCCUAGAGGGGAGUAGCUAUCAGAGAAUACCCGAAAAGAGACCUUUUCGACUUUCCAGAAGUGGCUAUGGAACCAUGCCAAUAAGAGCUGCGCGCAUCCAAUAAACCUUCCCUCCCCUGCUUUUCGACACGCAUUCAAGGAUCUAAAAGUUUCAGCGAGUAUUGCCGAAACCGGUGUAACCCCUUUACUAAGCCGAUCAAACAAAUCAGAUACAGCCUCGUCUAUGUGUCCUAAAGCUUUGGGGAAAACCACUAGUCCAUAGAUACCUAAAGCGAAGACAUCGAUCCUUUUCUUUAAGUCAGGAUGUACAAGCACCAAAUCUCGCAAACUUUUCCAAGGAACACAUUUACUGUCGCCCUUCUGUUGGAUCCGGGCAGCGACCCACUGCUCGCUCAUCCCAGUGAUGUUCAUUAAUUUCUUUAACAACGGAGGGACACAAGCAGCUCUGGAAUAAGCCUUGUCGACUUGAAUCUUUGGGCACCGAAGCAAGGUCGUAUACUCCUCCACAGUAGGCGUCAAAUCUACCUUCCCAAAAGUGAAACAACUGUAGGCAGGAUUCCAAAACUGAGCAAGGGCUCGGAAUAAAUACUUGUCCACUUUGACACUAAGCAGAUAAGGUAGGUCACCGUAGUUACAAUAGAACAGCUGCUUGGCCUCGACAUCCCAUUGAUCCCAGACUUCUUUCAUUUCUCGAAGGUCAUUCUGGAUUACACUGAUACGGGUAAAAUCCCACAAUUCUGACACGUACCCUUCGGUAAGACUAUCGCCGUUCUCCCGUUGUGUCGUUUCAGCCCAUAUUCGCACAGCCGCAUUAUCCUCUACUUUAUCAACAAACCCCUUUCGAUGAUAAGCUUUCUACCAAGAAACUGAACGUAAAUCGACACCUCUUUUAGAAUGAAGAUGCCAUGCAAUCACAAACAAAGUAAAUUAGCAUUAAACACAGAAUAAGAUUUAAAAUAAGCGACAAAUAAAUACAACAUUCAUUUAGGUAAGCACUAAAAAUUUAGAGUAGCUCUACCUAGGUCGGUUCCUAUGGCUCAUUACAUGUGGUUUGGUUCUAAAGUAGGGUACCUGAACCAGCAAAUUCCUCGAUCCUCACCCAUUAUAGGCUCAUACGGACCAAGUUCGAUUCAGGGGGAUACAUUUCCCUAUGGCCAUGCGGAGAUGAAAAUCUCACGAAGACAUAGGUACGGAUAUAUCCCGAAAGCGAUUCACUAUCCCAUGCGGAGGUGAAAACCUCACGAAGGCGUAGCUUCUCACUCCCACCUAAAAAGGUGUGACUAACGGUCAUGCAAUGCAAUGCGGAAAGAUACCAAAAUUUAAACAAACAGAGCAAUUAUAAACCCCAAUGAUGAUGAUUAUGAUAAAGACAGAUACGAUGAAAGGAUCGUAAUUUUAAACCGAAUUUUCAAUUUUUGACAAAAGACAAAAAAUAAUCACCACGUGGCUUGACCCUUUUAUCGGUGUCCCCAGUGGAGUCGCCAAGCUGUUGACACCAUUUUUUUGAUAAAAACGGGGUCAACUUGGGUUUUGGAAAAUGAAAACAAAAAUGGGAGUCGCCACCAAUCUUUUUUUUUAUGAGGUGUGAUUGGAUUACCUCGAAAAAUGGUUGUUUUUAAUAAACGGUUUGAUUUUAUUAAAACAACGGUUUUGGUCCACGAAAUUUAGAAAACGGGUUCGGGAGUCGGUUACGCACGAGGAAGGAUUAGCACCCUCGAUACGCCCAAAAUUGGUACCUAGUUGAUUACUUAAUGUCUUAAUGUCGAAAAUUGAGAAUUUAAAAGAAUUUUAAAAAUACGAUCCUUGUAUUAAAAUGUUAAAAAUUUUCAAGAAAAGGAGGAUAUUUCACGUUAUUCGAGAAAAAGAAUCAUAUUCAGUAAGUUAGAAUACAAUAUCUCAAAUUCUCGAUACGCGAAUGAAAAAGUUUAUUUAAGAAAUUUUAGCCAUCUCGAAUUUAAAAAUGAGAUCAUAACCAGUAAGUUAGGAUGCGACCCCUUUUUUAAAAUUCGAGAUCAUUUAAAACUUGAUUUUGAAAAGAUUCGUGUAUUUAGAUUCAUCGAGAAAAUCGAAACCCAGUAAGUUAGGGCACGAUUUUCUCGAAUCCAAACACGAAAUGCCAUUUAAAAAAAAUUGUUACAUCAAGUAAGAUAAAACACAAAAUCAUAGUGAAAGCAAAUUACAUUUUUAUGUAUGGUAACUAAUAAAAAGUCAACAAAAUAAAAAAUAAACAAACCAGAAUAAAGACAUUUAAGCAAAUAAUAACGAACAUGUAGAUAAAUAAAUAAAUCAACAUGAAAUGAUAAUUAUAAUAAUGAAUAAAAUGGUGAUAUAUAUAUGUAUGUAUGUUAGAAACAAAUUAUACGGGGUAAAAACAUAAAGUUAAAUACAAAAAAGAAGUAUAUAUAAUUAUAAAAUACAUGUAUAUACAUAAAUAAGGAAAUAGAAAUGCUCAUAAAAUAAAAAUAAAAAUAUUCGUAUGCACGUGUAUUAUAUUGUAUAUGCGUAGGUAUAAAUAUUAUGUAGUAUAUGUAUAUAAAUAUAUAGAUAUUAAAUAAAUAAAAAGCAGGGUAGAUAUAAAAAAUAUUGAAUAUAUAUAAUAUAAUAUUAUUAUUAGAUAUAUAUUAAAGUUUAUAAAUAUAUAGAUUCGUAAUAAUUUUAGACAUAUAUAUUAUAGUAUAUAAGCACAUAUAUAAAAAUAAUAAUAUAAUAAUAAUAAAUAAAUAAAUGAGCAAAAGGAAAAAACAUGCUUAAAAGGGACUUAAAUCGAAAUAAAACAAAGUUUCUGGGCCAAUUUAAAAAUAAAAAAAGGCGGAGGGACCUAAUUGCAAGCGGGCGUAAAAAGGAGGGACCGAAAGGGUAAUUAAACCCUCAAUGUCAGAACGACGCCGUUCCAGGAAGGAGGGCGCAGAUGGUCGAAGGACCAAAUCGAAAAACAAACUAAAUUAAUAGGCCAAUUUGCAAAAAUUAAAAAAAGGAUUAAAUUAAAAAUAAUUAAAACUGCGGAGGGGCUAAACGAGCAAUUAGCCCCUUCGCAAAGAAAACACGCGGAUCCUCCUGGUAAUGGGUCGGGUCGAUCCGAUCCAAAGCAAAACGAUGUCGUUUUGGGCGUUAUGGAGCUGGGCCAAAACGGCGUCGUUUCACACGCCUAUAUAUUCAAAAAAUUUUCCAAAAAAUUUCAUUUUCUCCCCCUCUUUUCAGAAAAAAAGCCCAAAAAUGCUCUCUCUUCCUCCCUUACUCUCCCUAGAAUCCGGCCAACGGUCCGACCGAGAACCACCGUACCGGCCGCCGGUCGCCGGCGCCGGCGCCGCCGUGCACGGCGGUGGAGAGACCAAAAGUUUUCCUUUUUUUGAAUCGUCUCUUCGUUCCCCUGAUCGCUCCGGUGUCGGUAAUAAGGUAAAGAUGCCUCCUUUUAUUCUUUUUUUGUUUAAUAUUUUGAAAUAAAAUAAUCAAGAAAAAAAACAAAAAAAAAGAAAGUAACCUUCAAUCUUUUCUUUCUUCUGAACCGUUCUUGUAUUACAAAGGUUCUUAAUCGGUUUCCUUCCCCGAUUUCAAAAAAAAAUCCCCAUUUUACAUUGGUUUCAAUGGCUUGAUAUAGCCCUAAUACAUUUUUUAUAUUAUUUGUUGUCUUUUCUCUGUUGUUGCGUGUCCUUGCAGGUGCUUUGAUGGGAGUGGUUGGUGGUGGUUGCGGCGGUGGCAGGGAGUUGGUGGGCAUGGCAGAGGCUAGGGCGGCAGCUAGGGUUAUGGAGGCUAGGUUUUUGGUUUUUUUCUUUUUUCUGAUUUGGUUUAGGGUGUUUUGGGCUAGGGUUUGGUUGGGUCUUGUUAUUGGGCUGAUUGUUUUGGUUUAAUUAUUUUGGGUUCUUAUUUUUGUUUGGGUUAAUUGGGCCUGGGCAAAUGGGCUGUACAUUUACAAACAGGAGUGUCGAGACAAUUUGCAAUGCCAACAACAGGCUUUACGUGCUCCAUUGCUAUGUCCCUGCAAUGCAAUCAUAUAAAACAGUAGCAGAGAAUGAAAAUCUGUGAAUGAAUUGGAUAUUUUAUGAAGUAUUGAUAUGUCAGUGUAAGCAUGAAAAGGAAAACAUGAAUGCAAGUUUCAAGCAACGGCGUUUAUUAGAUGGAGCUAUGGAUGGGUGGCAGACAGAAACAUGAUGAAAUUCUGGUCACCAGAAUUAAGCUCUCGAUGUAUAUAAAAUGCUAGAUUCAAGUGUGCAACAGUUCAUUACAGAGUAUUAAGAGUUAAAAUGUUCUUUCUGUAUUAAUUUCAAUCUAGAGUAGAUUAUGUCUGCUGAUCAACUUGUCUUAAAAUCUAAAACUGUUGAUAAUGAGUAGAGGAAAUCAUAGCUUCAGAUUUUAUUACCUGACUUAGUGGCUGAAAAGUGUUGAGAGAAUAGAACUGAAAAUGAAGCAGUGUCUUACAAAGCUAGCUGCUAUGAGUAGCAGACAAUCAGAAACAAUCAUCGUAAAGUCAUGAAUCAAGCAAAGAAAAGCAUGUGAUGGAUAAAGCAAAUGAAAGAAAAUUACCUGGAAAUUUGGUGAUAGACCUUGGAGAUCAAAACAAAAUCAUUGAAGUUGGCAAUAAAUAAUAUUUAAUAAAAAUAAGAGUUGGGACAGCAAGGUAUAAGAAUGUAUAAUUAUAUGUUACAACUUGAAAUUAAAUAUACAAGUAAAUGAGUUGUAUUAGUAAAUGAUUUGCAUUGUGAAGUUGUCAGUAUUAAAUUUUGGAUCCUAACUGUAGACAAUUUCUUACAUAUGGACAUUUAGUAAGAAUAUAUAUAUAAAUAAUAUUAAGGAAAAUGAUAUGUCUCUGUUUUUACUUCUUCUAUUUCUUGACGUAGCUUUUACAUUAUAAGAAACUAUAAAAUUUCAAAUAUAAUUUAUUUUUAUAAUUUUGAUUUUGAAAAAUAAUUUAAAUGUAAUGAAAAUUUGAAUUGAGUUUGAAAAAUAAAUUUUUUGUGGUAUAUUUUGUAAUCUUUUGAUUACAAAAAAUGGAAUCAAGGUCAAUUUCAUAAGCCUUUGUAUUAUUUAUAUUAAUAUAAGUUUUAGAUACUCUUCUAGGGCAUGUAAUUCAACUUUAAAAUAUUACUAAUUUGGUUUUAAGAAACAUUGAUUUGUUCUGUUUUUAAUUUGUUAUUAGAUUCUAUUAAAUGAUAAUUUUAUUUAUUUCUCAUUACAAUUCAGUUAUUCAACAACAUAUUCAAGAUUUUAUUUUUUUAGAGUUUUUAUAUACAUUUUCCUAUUUUAUAAAUAUUUUUUAGUUUUUUUAUAAUUUUAUACAAAAUCAAGGUCAAAUUGACAGAAAAUAUAAAAUUUGAGGACUAAAACUAUUAUUGUACCAACUAAAACAAGUGCCACUUAGGUGACAAAAAACAAACAAUUUGAAAAACACUAGUGACCAUAUAACAUAUUUCUACUCAAUUUUCCAUAUCACAUAUCACAUUUCAAAGUAAUUCAUGUCAUUUUCCAUUUUAUUAAUUUUAGUCUUCUAUCUCAAUAUUUCAUAUCAAGCCUAACACAACAAUUCACAUUUUCGUUAUAUACUCACCUUGACAUUUCCUCAUUCAAUAAACAAUGUAUAUGCAAACAAAUAAUACGACCCCGAAUCAUAAAAGUACAAAUUGUAGGCUUGCGUCACUCGUCGACAACUCUCGCUUUUCCUUUUCCUUUCGAAGGCUCAGUGCCGACGUUAGCUACGCACAAUCACAAAACUGUUCACCAGAGUUAACCUCUCAAUGUAUAUAAAAUGCUAGAUUCAAGUGUGCAAGAGUUCAUUACACAAUAUUAAGAGCUAAAAUGUUUCAAGUGUUUGAGAUUUCUAUCUAUGAUAGAUUAUGUCUGCUUAACAUCCUAUCCUGCCUUAAAAUCUAAAACUGUUGAUAAUCAGUAGAGGAAAUCAUUGCCGUAUUACCUGAAUUAGUGGCUGAAAAGUGUUGAGAGAUUAGAACUGAAAAUGAAGCAGUGAAGUUGACUUCCUUGAUAGGCCUUGGAGAUCAAAAGAAAUUAAAAACAGUGAAGAAGAAAGAAUGUUGUGGGUACAAUAGCCAAAAAGAAGAAGAAGAAAGUGAAAAUAGAAAUAAGCAAAAGUGUAAUAGGUUCCACAAAGGCAGAAUUCUGAUUAAGAAAUCCCAUCUGUUCUUUUAGUUUUUUUUUCUUUGCUGUCUGCCAUUAUAGUUGGCAUUAAAUAACAAUAAGAAUUAAUGGGAAACUAUGGGAUACCCUCCUGUUGCUAUUUCAAUUUCAAUUUUUUAUUUUUGUAAUAAACAUAGACAUGCCUGGGAGGGGGUGUUGCACCUCUCGUGAGAUUCCCUUCAAUUGCUAGUUCAAUUUCUUUUUAUUUUUAUUUUUAUAAUAAACAUACACAUGCCUGGGAGGGGGUGUUGCACCCCAUGUGAUCGAGGGUUGCAAUAACGUUACUGCGAAUGUCUUACUUGAUAGUUACUGAGUGGUUGAUGAUAACCAAUUAAAACUCAAAACAUUCUAACAUUUCACAUCAUGCGCAUGUUGACAAUUAUUUUUUAUAAAACUAUAAAAAUGCUUAUCUAUGCUUUUCAUUUUAUGUUGUUCAUCCAACUAUUAAUUUUUUUCGAUUUAGUCAUUGAACUUUUCGGAAUUAAAUAUUUUAAUCAUUCCAAGCUGAUUGGGCUUUCUUUUAUUGGUCUAGUAACUAAAUUAGUCCUCUAAUAGUUACACGUUCUAUUAAUUUAAUCUUAAAUAUAAAAAAUUCAAUAAAUCUAGCCUCAAUGUUCACAAAAUUUGUCAUUUUAGUUCUAAUUCUAAAAUUUUCAAUAAAAUUGGCCCUCAAUAUUUAUAAAAUGUUAGUACAAAUCUCCGGUGAGGAAAAUCUCAAACACACGAACGGAACUCGAAUAGAAAAUGAAGAAAUAGGACAAGGCUCCAAGGCGUGUAUCAAGCCACUAUCUUUAAGGUUAUAUUUGCCCCCACCUAUCUUUGGUGUGCAAAAGAGUUUCAAGCAAAUUAACCUCAAGGAUACAAUGAAGUCAAUGACUAUUUGCGUUUUGCACUAACGUGAAUAGUCCACUAAACACUUGAUAAAUGUAUAACAAGAAACUCAAUUUCUACAAACAAUUCAUGCAGUAACUCUUUAUAGAACAAUCUAAUAAUAUUAGAAAAUGAGGAAGGAUAGAAAGAACUUUUAGCAUUUGUUGGUGUGAUUUCCAAAUGAAAUCCCAUUCCUAUUUAUAGGAAUUUUCAUGUCUCUUCAUAGAGACAUCUUUCAAUAGGUAUCUUUAUGAAUAAAUAAAUAAUAAUAACUAUUCAUUUAAUUUUAUAACUAUUCAAGUAAUAUUGUUUGAAUAGUCAUAAUUCUUUUUCAAAAAUCAUAUGAUAUAACUUUUAACCAAUGACCAAAAGAUUUAUCUUUUGAUUAAUUACACCCAUUCAUUUAUAGUUAUUGGAAUACUAUAAAUAUUUGAAAACGUUCCAACACAAAAUCCAUCCAUUUAGUCCUAACUCUAAAAAUUUAAAAUAUAUAUUUGAAAAAUAAUUUUUAGUUUUGUAUUACCUAUCGACUAACUCAUGUGAGAUAUUAGAAUAAUUUUUAGUUGUGGUUUAGGGGAAUCAAUUCAACUUUUAAUCACUUAAUUUUAAAUAAUUUUUAAUCUAAGACAUUUUAUUUUGGAUAAUUAUUUGCAAUUUAGUAUUAACACUAGCAUGUUUACGACAUUGGUUUUGUUUUUUUCUAAAUUUGCUAAGGAAUACAAUAUUUUAUCAAGAUACUUAUGAUCACAAGUCACUUUGGGUUGGAACAUAUGCAAAGGGGAGAUUUAAAGACUUGAAUGUGGGAAAGGGGAACAACUCCAUCAAUGUCCCAAUGAAUUUUAUUGACAUUAAUUUAACUACUAUUAUAUCUAUUUUCAUUUUUCAAGGUUUGAUAAUCAUCUUGCUCAAAUUAAUUAAAGAAACUCAUGAAUUAUCAAAUGUUAAUAUUGGUGUAUUAAAUUCUUCUUGAUCUCUACUGAUUGUAUUAUCUGCCAUUAUUUCUUGACUGUUAUCUCCAUAUGGAUACUCAAUAUAUGUUGUUCCUUUCUUCAUUUUUAUAUUAGAGACUUAAAAUCCUCAAAGCAAGUUUGUUGAAUAUGUCCCGUCUUUCUCAUUCAUUCUCUCGCUCUUUGACAUGAACCUAUUCCUCUAUAUUUUUUAGCUUUUUUCUCCAAUCAGGAGAGCCUUUUGAUUGAACGUUCAAUGGCACUAGAGAUAUAGACUUGUUAAAAUCAUUUUAUAAACAAAAAAUAGUGAACCGAUACCAAAAUAUAUUUACAUUCUAAAACUCUAAUUAGGAAAUUAUUACCUUUGCAAUUAAGUAUGAAAACCUCCUUAAUUAAUAUGAAUUAAUCAAUUAGUUAAAAAGUCUCAUAUAAUCAUUUUACUCUAAUUAUAAUCUCCCACAAAUGAUUCCUCCACUGAGACUAUUUCUCCCCAUGGAUCAACAAAGUUUGUGUUACUUUUACGAUGAAGUGGAUAGAAGUGGAAAAAGUAAAAAGGACCACAAGUUACAUUAAUUUGUCCCAUGUUUGCUUUGUGCAGUUCAGGAUUUAAGAGAUGUAAGGUAACAUUAACUUGAUAGAUGUAUCAUAACACAAAUAAUACGAUCCCGAAUCAUAAAAGUACAAAUUGUAGGCUUGCGUCACUCGUCAACAACUCUCGCUUUUCCUUUUCCUUUCGAAUGCACGUUAGGUACGUACAAUCACAAAGCUGUUCACCAUAGUUAACCUCACAAUGUAUAUAAAAUGCUAGAUUCAAGUGUGCAAGAGUUCAUUACAGCAUAUUAAGAGCUAAAAUGUAUAGAUUAUGUCUGCUUAACAUCCUAUCCUGUCUUAAAAUCUAAAACUAUUGAUAAUCAGUAGAGGAAAUCAUUGCCUUAUUACCUGAACUAGUGGCUGAAAAGUGUUGAGAGAUUAGAACUGAAAAUGAAGCAGUGAAGUUGAGUUCCUUGACUGGAUGCUUGAAAAUUAGCGAUAGGCCUUGGAGAUCAAAAGAAAUUAAAAACAGUGAAGAAGAAAGAAUGGUACAAUAGCCAAAAAGAGUUGCAUUAAUAACGUUACUGCGUAUGUCUUACUUGAUAGUUACUGAAUGGUUGAUGAUAACCAAUUAAUUUAAAUUGUAGUAAUAUUCAUCGUUGGGGAAGCCAGAAAAAGGCAUAACUUCAAUAAAACAAUUUUUCCAUACAAACAAUCAUACUUGAGCCAUACAUAUUUAUAGCACACACAACAAAAAACAACUACGAAUAAAACUCAACAUUCUAACAUUUCACAUCAUGCGCAUGUUGACAAUUAUUUUUUAUAAUUAAACUAUAAAAAUGUUUAUCUGUUCUUUCAUUUUAUUUUGGUCAUCCAACUAUUAAUUUUUUUCGAUUUAGUCAUUAAACCUUUCGAAAUUAAAUAUUUUAAUCACUCCAAGCUGAAUGGGCUUUUUUUUUAUUGGUCUGGUAACUAAAUUAGUCCUCUAAUAGUUACACAUUCUAUUAAUUUGAUCUUAAAUAUAAAAAAUUCAAUAAAUCUAGCCUCAGUGUUCACAAAAUUUGUCAUUUUAGUUCUAAUUCUAAAAAGUUCAAUAAAGUUGGCCCUCAAUAUUUACAAAAUGUUAAUUAAUUUAGUUAAUUUUAGUUUUAAUCAAUCACUCCAAUUUGUUGGUUAAAUAAUAGAAAGGCAAUAAUUACUAAUACUUUUAGCCCUCGUAGGAACAAUAUCUUUGCUACUCGUAAUUAUACUAUUAAUCGAUAAGUACAUUUACCUUAAUCAAAUUUUUAGUUGGUUUACGACCGCAAUUGAUACACAUAUCUUUGAAAGAUUAGUUGAUGAAGUUGAAAGACUAAAACUAUUACUGUAAGUAUUACUGUAAGUGUUCUAAAACUAAUGCUUCGGGUAAUCUAAUGUAUACAAUCAAGUAAAUAUUGAGCAAAGAAUUAUUAGAAUAUGAGAACUCAAGUUAAGGAUAUAUAUUACAGUUUUUACUAAUAAUGUAGAAACAAAAUUAUCAAUCAUCUCACAAUUACCUCUUUCACAAAAUGAGCAAAGAAACAUUUUGUAGAUUCGACCUAGAAGAGAGUUUUGCCAAAGUGAAGAAAUAUGGGCUUCCCCAAGAUGAAGGUGUAAAAUCCUCCAUCUCCAACCCGACAGCCCAGCUUUCUGGUAAAAUGUUUUUGGAUAUUUUCUUAUAAUAAAAGUGUACAUUCUGGAAAUGUACUGGAAAAAGAAAGGGUUGUGUUGGUUAUGAUGAGUAAGGCUACCAAUGAGGUGUUGGAGAGGAGAGGUGGAAUUUUAGCAUUGAAACAAAUAGUGAGGGUAAUAGUUGAUCCUCUUCUGCUUUAAUGUUUUACUUGACAUCAGUUAAUUUGAAAUGUAGGAGAUUUUGCAGUGUCACGGGCACAGAGUGACAAAGAAAUUAUGAGAGAAAUACAGGCAAUCAACUAUCACUUACUUGCCAUGCCUUGAUGAACCAUGUAGAGCACUAUUUGAGUUCAAUUUUUUAAAAGCUUUCCCAUGCCCCAGUAUGUGUUAAUGAUGUAUGAUUUGAUAGGGAUGAUACAUUAGUUUUUUAAAAGCUUUCCCAUGCCCCAAUUUUUUAAGGUUUUAAAAAUAGCAUAAAAAAAUUAAAAUAAAUAAAUAAAAAGAUUUAAGUUAAUCUAAGUCCCACUUACCAGAUUUUAUAGAAUUUAAAUUGGUGAUAAGCUAAAGUCUUACCACUGAUCAGUAGACUCAUCAUUGAAAAUAAGAGAUAAGCCCUAAGGCUCAAGUUGAACAUAAUACCAAAAUAAAUAGGAAAUAUUUAAAAAUAAAAUUAAACCCAAGACCUUAAGCAAAUAUUCAAAGCACUUAACCACCACACCAAAUCAAAUUACUUAGAUACUUAACAACUAGAAUUCAUAAAGUUUGGGGCAUUACGCCAAUGUAAAAAUAAAAAAGUUGAAGUUUUUUUUAAUCCAGAACCUCUGUAUCUAUGCCUCUCUCGACAACAAGAACAUCCUGUUUUAACUUUUUCUUUUUAAAAAUGUAAACUUUCUGGCGUUACAAACUACAGAAUUAUUGAGAACCUAUGAUAUUUUCAGUAUUUAAAACUGAAAAAAUUUAAACCUUUAGCUUCGAAAUAAAAGUCGGACAACAAAAUGAAGCAAGAAAAAAAAGAAGGAAACUAAGUUUUUUUUUUUUUUAUUUUCCAACUUAUCCAUCACAAAUAAAAGAAAUAGGAAAAUGUGUUUCAUAUAUGGGAAACGUGGAGGGGUUAUUUGCAACAUAAUCCCCUUAAUGUUUUUAAUUUAUUUUAAAAGGGAUUUCACCUUUUUAAUUUUCUCAUUUAGUCCUCAUAAUUUAAAAUAUUAUUUAAUUUUAGAAAUAUGUUAAUAUUAUUAAGUAUGUUAAUCCCUACAAUUUUUAUAUUACUUAAAGAAAAGGAAUUUAUCUUAUUUAAUUUCCACUUUUAAUUUCUAAUAUCAUACUUUUAUGAAAGUACAUUAUUGUUUUAAUCUUUAUGAUUACGUUUACAUAUGAAUAAGUCCAAUUAUAUAUAUAUAUUUAGAAGGUUAUUUUGGGAAGUACAUAUAUUUAGAAAUAUGUUAAUAUUAUUAACUAUGUUAAUCCCUACAAUUUUAUCCUCCCCCCUACUUCUUUCCCACCAACCCUUUUAUCUUUCUCUUCAACAUCAUCACAAAUAUACUUCCAAUUUUAUUAUUAUGGAGAAAUUAGAUUUAUCAAAAUAAAACAAUAAACAAAACCAUAAAUGGUUCAUACCUCUUAUCCUGCAAAGGGGUUGAAGCGAAGAACAUUUUUAAAGUUUGGAUGGUCAUCCCACUCCAACCAUUCCCACCAUUCUUCCCAUGACCUGAUGGUAAGAGAAGGUGGAGCAUAUGCAAAUGGCUGCCCAUUGCCAACAAGGGGAACAAAUGGAGGAAAUCUCUUCAGUUUAUAACAGUCUCCAGCAACUUGGAUAAGUUGGAGAGAAUCACAAACCAUCACUCCACUUUUGCUGCAUAUGCUCUUCAAAUUUGGUAAUUCCCAGAAUGACAACUCUCUCAAUUUGGGAAGAUGGAAUUUGAUUAAUGCAUCACUCCCUUUUUCUUCAACUUCUGAUGUUUCUGCUCCCAAUAUUUCUACUAGCUGGCUACAAGCAAGCACAUGUAUUUCUUCCAGGUUUUGGAGGUUUGGAAGCAACCAAUGUGGAAGCAACGUCUUCAUACUUGAGCAGUCCACUAUCUUAAAUUCCUUGAGAUGGGAAAAGCUGGCAGACGAAGCCAAUGUUGAUGUUGUUGCUGAACCAAUUCCUGCAUCUUUCAUAAUAAGGGCACUCAACUUUGGAAGAGCUAGAAGAUUCAACAUCUCGAGGCUCUGAAAUGGAUACGCGAAAGAAGAGGCAAAAGAGGACAGGGAAACAACACACUCUAUCCCUUUACAAUCAUAAAUCCUACAAAGCCUCAAGCCAAUCGCAUUUUUGAAGGAAGAAUUAUCAUCGACUAAGCUUCUCAAAUAGUCACAGUGAAAAAUAUUCAACUCUUGAAUUUCAAUUGGGUGCAUAAUUAACUCACCUUCCCAAUUCUGGACUCCUCCAAUUGUUACUGUUUUAUCUCUUGUAGCAUCCAUAAAAGAUGAGCUCAUGUGUAAAGAGUACUUGAUGAGAUUUUUCUUACUUUGUUGCAUUGAGGAGAUGAACUUAUUGAAUUCACUGAUGUCUUCGAAACAUCCGGUUAAGCACUCCAACUUCUUCAAUGGUUCCAUCUCCUCUGCUUUUAGACUUGUUCUUUUAUUGUUCCAAUGAAAACCCAAGUGCUGAAGGUGAACGAGUUUUGGUAAAAGUCCAGCGGGUAUCUCUUUCAGAGUGAACACUCCAAGAUCAAGAUAUCUUAGCUUUAUCAGCAUAUCCAUUCCUUCAGGGACUUCCUCAAUUUUAGUCCCACAAAGAUCCAACUUCUUCAAUUCUUGAAGCAUCGAAAGACAUGGUAGAUCUCUUAAUUCUUCACAAUCACAAAGCAACAAUGUUGUGAGGUUCUUUAGUUCAGAGAUGGAAUUUGGUAAACUCUCUAUCUUCGUAGAGGACAAAUUGAGAACACUAAGACAAGGCAUGUUUAUGAAGAAAGAAUAUGGGAUCUUCUUUACGGGGUUAUGCUGCAAUAACAAGGUUGUGAGCAGUUGACAUUUUGUGGGCAGCACAUCUAUGGAAAUUUCUGAUAUGGAGUUAUACAUAAGUGACACUUUCUCAAUAUCCGGACUCCAUUGCUCCUUUUCUGGUAACUCUUCUAAUUGCAGACCUGCUUGUAUCAUAUAUCGAGGAUUCAUUCUUGUGAUCGACAAUGCCAUGUCUCUCACUGCGUCAUGCAUCUUUAUACCAUGUAAACCAAAUUGAGUGGUAAUAUUUUCCAACAAGCAGUUAUCUUCCAACCUUUUCAAAAUAGAAAGGCCUUUAUCUUCCAUUUCUUGUCUUGUGUCCAUCUCGUCUAUGAAUAUCUCAGCAAUCCAACACUCGAUUAGUUCAACCUUAUGAAUUUCAUAAUCUUCAGGAUAUAAUGCACAAUACAAGAAGCAAUCUUUUACUUUCUCAUCUUUCAAGUGAUCGAAACUGAAUUUCAAGCGCUCGAUUACCUCAGCUUCCACUCCUUCCACUUUCCCUAUUCUAUCUUUCAAAUCUUUGAGUGCAUUUUUCCAAAUACGAGGGCUAUAUUCUCCUUUCAUGGUUCCAGCUACCACGACAAUUGUAAGAGGUAGACCCGCACAUUCCUUGACAACAAGCUUCAGAGUUGGCAUUAUAGUUGGACUUUGAACUAUGUUAGGUCCAACUUUAUUCAAGAAUAGUAUCAAUGCCUCUUCUUCUGAAAGGGGCUUCACUUUUAUCACCUUACAACCCAUAUACUUACAGACAUGCUCCGAACGGGUUGUCACUACCAACUUGCAGCCAUUGCCGCCACUAGGCUCGGGGAUCCCAACUUCCACUACAGAGACUUUAUCCCACACAUCAUCUAGGAUUAGAACAUGCUUUCCUGCGUUCUUCAGCAUUUCUAACAAGAUUGCUGCUCGUCUGAGCUUGUCUCCUUCUCUGGGCCAAUCUUCCUUCAACUUCAAAGCACCUGCAAUAUCAUCUUGUACCUUCAUGACAUUGAACUCCUUUGAUAUGGUAACCCAUAUUACCCUUUCGAAUCUUUGUUCUUUCAAAAGAUCAUUGUGGAUGUGCUUCAUGAUAGUGGUUUUACCCACACCGCCCAUCCCCCAAACCCCAAUCUUGCUCACCUCCUCCUGCAUCAAACAUGCCCAAAUCUCAUUUCUGACAGCUUCUUCUCCAACUAGUUCUGAUGUUGGCAGUGGCAACCCAGCACUUGGACCAUACGUGGCAAGACCUUCAGAGGCAUUAGGAGCGUUAUCAAGAAAUUUCUUCAUUUCUCCUGUCUUUUCAUCAACCAGCUUCCCGUUGCAAGCACGGCAGAGAUAUCUUCCGUUACUGACUUUGUUUUCAACAACUUGUGCUUCCCUAAUCAUCUCUUUCACAGCUUUCAACCAAAUUUCAACUCCCUUCUUCGGUAUCUUCCCCAGAGGACGAAGAAGCUCUGCUUUCAAUUGCAGCUCUAUAUCUUCCAUUUUGCAAUUCAACUCAUCUCUAAUCCUCUUGAAGUUUCUCACAUAAUCAUUGAGCUUUCUGUGAUAUUGCAAGUAUUUACAAGCAGGAGUUCCAAGACAAUUUGCAAUGCCAAGAACAGGCUCUACAUACUCCAUUGCUAUGUCCCUGCAACGCAAUCAUAUAUAACAGUAGCAGAUAAUGAAAAUCUGUGAAUAUAUUGGCUUUUUGAUAUGUCAGUGUAAGCAUGAAUGUAAGUUUCAAGCAAUGGCGUUUAUUAGAUGGAGCUAUGGAUGGGUGGCAGACAGAAACAUGAUGAAAUUUGUAUAUCCAGAAUUAACCUCUCAAUGUAUAGAAAAUGCUAGAUUCAAGUGUGCAACAGAAUAUUAAGAGGUAAAAUGUUCAACUUUUUGGGAUUGCAACAUUAUAUUGCUUCUGGGUAGCUCUUUUGGUAUUAGUUUGUAUCUAAAGUAGAUUAUGUCUGCUGAUCAUCCAGUCUUGAAAUCUAAAACUGUUGAUAAUGAGCAGAGGAAAUCAUAGCUGCAGAUCUUAUUACAAUUAUUCAUCUUUCUUGUUAUGUAAAAGCAAAGGAAAUCAUGUCAUGAGUUGAUAAUAAGCAAACCAAUUUUCAAAUGAGCUGAAUUGCAUAUUUAAGGAUCAAAUAAUGGGAAGCAGAAAUUGCCUGACCUACUGGCUGAAAGGUGUUGAGAGGUUAGAACUGAAAAUGAAGCAGUGAAGUUCACUCCCUUGACUAUCUUACAAAGCAAACUGCUAUAACUGAAGCAGAGAUAAUAAAAAACAAUCAUUGCAUAGUCAUGAACUAAGCAAUGAAAAGCAUGUCAUGGAUUAAGCAAAUGAAAGAAAAUUACCUUGACUGGAUGCUUGAUAAAAACAGUGAAGAAGAAAGAAUGUUGUGGAUAGAAUAGCAAAAAAGGGAAGAAAGUGAAGAUAAAAGCAGGCAAAAUAAUGAGGCCUUCACUUCUGUGGUGGGUUCCACAAAGGCGGGAUUAUUAGUAAGAAAUCCCACAUUUUCUUUUAGCUUUUUGCUUUGCUGUCUGCCAUUAUUAGUUGGCAUUUUGGGUAUUUGAUACCGACAUUUCUACUUGAUAAAACCUUGAAUCUGCUCUCAAAAUUUGAAAGAUAGAUAUGAGGUCUAAAAUCCAUGGAAAUGUCCUUUCCAUGCAUCCUGGACAAUACUAACAAGUUUUGCAGUCAUCUUGGUGCUUAAUUGUAACAUCGUCAUCAUCAUCAUAAUAAUGGGAAUGUAUGGGAAAGCAGGGUAUAAGAAUGUCUAAUAUACUAGUAAAUGGCAUGUAUUAGGUAUAAAUAUAUAUAUAUAUAGUUAUUGGUGUUGUAGUAAAUAACUUGUGUUGUUGAAAUUACAUUUUGGAUUUAACUCUUGGACAAUUUCUUACAUACUCCAUUGUUACCAUUCUUUUAAUUAAUAUAAUUGUUAUUUUAGUCUUUUUUAAGUUUUAUAUUUUUACUCAAUUUAAUCUUGAUAAUAUAUAAAAUGGUAAAAAAAUAAAUUAUUUUUAAAAUUUUAGAACAUUAUAAAAUUAAAAAUAAAAUAAAAAUUAAUAAAAAUUUCAAAAAUAAAUAAAGUGAGAGAAAAUGAGGGAUAAUUAUUUUUAAACCGUAUAGAAAUUCUCUAUAUUAUGUAUAUCGAAAUAUCCAAUACUCGUUCUUUAAAAACAAAUAUAGAAAACAAACAUUAAGCUGAUUUAUUUGUUUUCUGUUUUUUACCUCUUCUGUUUCUUGACAUAAUUUUUACCUUACAAGAAAAGAUAAAAUUCUGAAUAUGAUUUCUUUUUACAAUUUGAGUUUCAAAAUAUAAUUUAAAUGUAAUGAAAAAUUGAAUUGAGUUUGAAACAUAAUAGCUUUAGGCUAAAAAAAAAUGGCAUCAAGGUCAAUUUCAUAAGCCUCUGCAAUAUCAAUUUUAGAUGUUCUUUAAGGACAUGAAACUCAAUAAUAUUACUAAUUUGGUUUCGAGAACCAUUGAUGAAGCAUGUAAUGAUCUAACUUUUUUAUUUUUAAUUUUUAAUUUUUAAGUUUCAUGAGCCACACGGGCUGAGCCAUUCCACAGCCAAGUGAGCCAUACGAGUUGCCACACAACAAUGUGCCAAACCGUGUGGAAAGCACAAAUUGCACUCUAAACACACAGAAAAUCGUAAUUUUUAAAUUUUUCGAGCAUUCUAAGACAUAUAUGAAAAAGAUAAGAAGAGGGGAGUGAGUCGUCAUAUAAUAUUGAAGAAAACAACUCGAAAAAUACCAUUGAAGCCGACUUUGAAGCAUAUUUCCAUCAAAACUGAAGUUCUCCUUUUGAUUUCUUUGAAGUUUAUUAUGAGUUUCUUUAUUUCUUAUAGUUAUACUAUCUUUGAGAUGCUUUUAUUUACUAUAUGAACUAAUUUUUUCCAAAUACCUAGGUAGAUGAACCUUAGGAUGAAUUCUAUUAUUUGAUUUCUAUUUUUAUGCAAUAAAUACUUAAAUCUUGUUCUCAAUUAUGUGUUCUUAAUUCAUGGUUUAAUAUUUCUAGACUAUUGAUCCAUGUUUUAUGUGCUUAAAUUAGAGGAGGAAUAGACAUUGUUUAAAAGUAGAUCUAGCAUAAUUGAGUGGAGUUGCAUGCGAUCCUCGAAAUAAGAUGACAUAAAUCUACCGGAUUAGAGUCAAAUCUAAUAGAAGGAUCUAUAGAUUGAGUUAAUGUGAUAAUAGGGGUUUUAAUUAGAAAGAAAUUUCAAUUAAUCAAUCUAGAAUCAGUUGCUCUUAGUCUUGAAGAGAGAUAUUAGCAUAAUUUAGGGAUUUCUCCGUAUUAAGAUACAAAGUGAAGAAAUUGUGUGAUUUGGAUUUAUUUUUCUAAAAUGUUCUUUGUUGUGUUCUUUAGUUAAUUAAUUUAGUUAAUUUUAGCUUUAAUCAAUCACUCCAAUUUGCCGUUUAAAUAAUAGACAGACGGUAAUUAUUAGUACUUUUAGUCUUCGGGGCUUUAGCGGCGUUUUUCAAAAACCUCCGCGAAUGCUCUAUUUUUAGCGACGUUUUCCAAAAAGCGCCGCUAAUGCUCCGACUGCAAUAGUAAUUAAAAUUUUAACUGGUUUAUGACUGCAAUCGCUACACAUAACUUUAAAAGAUUAAUUGAUGAAGUUGAAAGACUAAAACUAUUACUAUAAGUGUUCUAAAAUAGUGUCAAUGAAUAAUAACUUAGUCUUAACGUCAAAUAAAAAACUUGUUAUUUUAUGCAAAUUUAAUUGUUGAGCAAAUAAAUAUUUGAAUAUGACAACUCAAGUUCAGGCACCCUUGCUUUGUUCAGGAUAUAUAUUACAGUUUCUACUAAUAAAAUGAUCAAUCAUCUCACAAUUACCUCUUUCACAAAAUGAGCAAAGAAACAUUUUGUAGAAUCGACCCAGAAGAGAGUUUUGCCAAGGUGAUGAAAUAUGGGCUUCCCCAAGAUGAAGGUGUACAAUCCUUCAUUUCCAACCCGACAGCCCAAAUGUAUUGGAAAAAGAAAGGGUUGUGUUGGUUAUGAUGAGUAAGGCUACCAAAAUGAGGUGCUGGAGAGGAGAGGUAGAAUUUUAGCAUUGAAACAGAUAGUGAGGGUAAUAGUUGAUCCUCUUCUGCUUUAAUAUUUUACUUGACAUCAAUUAAUUUGAAAUGUAGGAGACUUUGCAGUGUGUCACGGGUACAGAGUGACAAAGAAAUUAUGAGAGAAAUACAGGCAAUCAACUAUCACUUACUUGCCAUGCCUUGAUGAACCAUGUAGAGCAGUAUAAUUUGAGUUCAUUUUUUUAAAAGCUUUCCCAUGCCCUAAUAUGUGUUAAUGAUGUAUGAUUCGUUAUGGAUGAUACAUUAGUUUUUAAAUAAUAUUUAAAGCAACAAUGUUGUGAGGUUCUUUAGUUGGAAUUUGGUAAACUCUCAACCUUUGUAAAAGACAAAUUGAGAACACUAGGACAAGGCAUGUUUGUGAAGUAAGAAAUUGAGAUCUUCUUUAUAGGGUUGUCCCGCAAUAACAAGGUUGUGACAGUUGGUAUUUUGUAGGCAGCACAUCUAUGGAAACUUCUGAUAUGGAGUUAUACAUAAGUGACACUUUCUCAAUAUCCGGACUCCAUUGCUCCUUUUCUGGUAACUCUUCUAAUUGCAAACCUGCUUUAUCAUAUAUCGAGGAUUCAUUCUUGUGAUCGACAAUGCCAUCUCUCUCACUGCAUCAUGCAUCUUCAUUUUCCAACUCGAGACAUUUUCCAACAAGCAAUUAUCUUCCAACUUCUUCAAAAUAACAUGGCCCUAGCCUUUCAUUUCUUGUCUUGUACCCAUAUCAUCUAUGAAUCCCUCUUCAAUCCAGCACUCAAUUAACACAUCCUUCCAAAUUUCAAAAUCUUCAGGAAAUAAUGCGUAAUGUAAGAAACAAUAUUUCACUUUCUCGUCCUUUAAGUGAUCGAAGCUAAAUUUCAAACGCUCUAUCACUUUAGUUUCCACUCCUUCCACUUUUUCUAUUCUCUCUUUCAAUUCCCUGAGUGCGUUUUUCCAAAUAAGAGGGUCCUCUUCUCCUUUCAAUGUACUAGCCACGACGAUAAUUGUGAGAGGCAGACCCGCACAUUCUUCGACAACGAGCCUCAAAAUUAGCAUUGAAGUUUGAUUUUGCACUAUGUUAGGCCCAACUUUACUCAAGAACAGUGUCAAUGCCUGUUGUGCUGAAAGGGGCUUCACUUUUAUCACCGUGCAACCCUUAUACUUACAGACAUGCUCCGAACGGGUUGUAAACACCAACUUGCAGCCAUUGCUAUCACUCGGGUCAGGGAUCCCAAAUUCUUCUAGAGAGGCUUCAUCCCACACAUCAUCUAGGAUUAGAACAUGCUUUCCUACUUUCUUCAGCAUUUCUGACAAGAUUGCAGCUCGUCUGAGCUUGUCUCCUUGUUAAAGUUAGUUCCCAUGCAAUCAGCUUCCCAUGCAAAGGUGGCCAUGCAAGAAGAAAACGUAGCAGGCAUUCGAGCCUUGCUGUGCAGCAACUGAAGCUAGAAGUUUCUAGUUUACUUACUACAUUUAGUUCUCAUGUAAUUCUUUUGUAAUCUAGUUCAUUUUGAACUUAGUAGGUAAAUGUUUUGAUGUUGAUUGACUGAAAAUCAACAAAGCUAUGUAAGCAAGUUAAUCUUGCAAGUUUAAAUGUAAAUUAGUGGAGUUAGGUGGCUGAUUAGGUGUUUACUUGUUUGCAAGUUUUACUUUCCAAGUUGACUAAUAUAUGUAAUGGUUUAAUACCUCAUUUUGUUGUUAAUGAAAGUUUCAGCUCAUUUUUCAUUCAAAUUUAUCUCUUUCUUUUCUGUUUUCCAUUGCAUAUUUUUCUUUCCUCUUCGAUUGUUUCUUCAGCAAGGCUCGACACUUACUGCCCAAGCAAGCUCAAAUCAGCUUGCUGUUUCCUCUUAACACCAACAAUUGGUAUCUAGAGCUUUUGUCUUAGUAGACCUGUUGCUUUAAACCAAGGAAUCUGAAUGGCUUCUUCAGGAUUUUCACCAGCAGCCCCACCAGUCUUCAAUGGAGAAGGCUUCCACAUAUGGUUGGUAAAGAUGAAGACUUACCUGCAGGCCUUUGAUCUGUGGGAAGUUGUCAACACAAAUGCUGAGCCAGCACCACUGAGGGCUAAUCCCACAGUAGCUCAGAUUAGGCAACAUGCUGAUGAGAGGACCAAAAGGCAUAAAGCUAUGUCAUACAUUCAGAAUUGUGUGUCAGAUGUCAUCUUCACCAGAAUUAUGGCCUAUGAGACUCCAAAACAGGCUUGGGAUAAGCUCAAAGAGGAGUUUCAAGGUACAGAGAGGACAAGGCAACAGCAGCUGUUGAAUUUGAGAAGGGAUUUCGAGAAUCUGAAGAUGAGGGAAGAAGAAACAGUGAAGCAGUAUGCAGAUAGAAUCAUGGCAGUGGUUAACAGCAUAAGGCUCCUAGGUGAGCACUUUGAUGAGGCAAGAAUAGUGGAGAAAGUCCUCUCCACUUUUCCUGAGAGAUAUGAGGCAAAGAUAUCCUCCUUAGAGGACUCAAGAGACCUUGCUAGCACCUCUUUGACUGAGCUUAUCAACACCUUUUAUGCUCAGGAACAAAGGAGAGCUAGCAGAGCUGAAGACCACCAGGAAGGUGCAUUUCAAGCCAAGACAAGAGAGACCUCGAGCACCAAUGCUCAAAGAGGCAAAAAACCUUAGAAAAGCAGGCCUAAGCCUGAUGCUGCAAGGAGCAAUGAUCAGCCCUGCAGACAUUGGAAGAAACCUGGACAUCCAGAGGAUAGAUGCUGGUUUAGGCCAGAUGCAAUAUGUCAACACUGCAAGAAGAAAGGCCAUGUUGAAAGAGUUUGCAAAAACAGAACCAAGCCAAGGCAGAACCAAUUUCAGCAGCCAAAGGUUGAAGCUCGAGUGGCUAAAGACAGUAGUGACCAAGAAGAGCAGGUCUUUGCUGUGUCAUGCUUAGCUGCUGAGAAGAAAUGCUUAAAAGGGUGGCUAUUGGACAGUGGCUGCACCAACCACAUGUCACCAAAUGCAUCUUUGUUCAAAACCUUGGACAGAAGCUGUAAAACCAAGGUUAAGGUUGGAAAUGGUCAGUUUAUAAAAGCUGAAGGAAGAGGAAAAGUGCUGAUAUGCACCUCUACAGGCAACAAAGUCAUCUCGAAUGUCCUAUUGGUACCUGAGAUUGACAAAAACCUUCUCAGCAUAGCUCAACUGCUUGAGAAGGGUUAUUCAGUUGUGUUUAAAGACAAACAUUGCCACAUUGCUGAUCCCAGUGGAUCAAGCCUUAUGACAGUCAGAAUGACUGAUAAAUGCUUUGAGGUUCAUUGGCCAAAUGACUCAAAGUCAGCAUACACAGCCUCCACAGAUGAUUCCAAGCUCUGGCAUCAAAGGCUUGGGCAUGCCAACUUCAGGUCAAUGGCUCGAUUGGCCAAAGAAGGCUUGGCAGAUAACUUCACCAACUCAGAGGAGCAUGAUGAUGUGUGUGAAGUGUGCCAGAUAGGAAAACAGACAAGACUACCAUUCCCAACAAACUCAGCAUGGAGAGCCACUGAAAGAUUGCAGCUGGUGCACUCUGAUGUAUGUGGAACUAUGAGGACUGAAUCACUCAGCAAUAACAGGUAUUUCAUCCUCUUCAUUGAUGAUUUUACAAGGUUUUACUGGAUUUUCUUCUUGAAACACAAGUCUGAGGUAGCUCAAGUGUUUGUGAAGUUUAAAACUGCUGUAGAAACAGAAACAGGUUGCAAGCUGAAAUCAAUAAGGUCAGACAAUGGCACUGAGUACACUUCAGCUCAGUUCCAAGCCAUUUGCAAUGAUUCUGGCAUCAAACACCAGCUUACAAAUGUCUACACACCUCAGCAAAAUGGAGUAUCUGAAAGAAAGAACAGAAGUCUGAUGGAUAUGGCCAGAUGUCUCCUGUUUGAGAAGAAACUGCCCAAGACCAUGUGGGCUGAGGCAGUAAACACUGCUGUCUACCUUCAGAAUAGGCUUCCUACCAAAGCUCUUACAUCCAAGACACCUUUCGAGGCUUGGUUUGGAUUCAAGCCUUCAUUGGCACACCUAAAAGUGUUUGGUUGUCUAUGUUAUGCACAAAUACCAGCAGCAAGAAGAGACAAGCUCUCUGAAAGGGCUCAACUAGGUGUCCUAAUAGGCUAUAGCUCAGUUAAGAAGGGCUACAGGGUUCUUGAUCCCUUGACAAGCAAAGUCCAGGUGAGCAGAGAUGUCAUCUUUGAUGAAAAAGCUUGCUGGAAUUGGGAAAAGAGUGAACCAGAAGUUGCUUCAGAAGACCUGGUGCCUGAUCAAGCUAAACUCGAGCAGUUUGGUCCUGAGAUGGAUGUUGAUGAUGUGCCUGUAAGAGGCACAAGGUCUUUGGAUGAAAUUUAUGAAUGGGCACAGGUUGCUAUAGCUGAACCUAGUAUUUUUGAAGAGGCUGAAGCAGAUGAAGGUUGGAAACUGGCUAUGGCUGAUGAAAUCAACAUGAUUGAGAAGAACCAGACAUGGGAGCUAGUUGAUAAACCUGCUGGAAAGAAGACCAUUGGAGUAAAAUGGGUCUAUCGAGCAAAACAGAAUGCAGAUGGCAGUUUGAACAAGCUAAAAGCUAGGCUUGUUGUCAAAGGAUUUAGCCAAAGGUAUGGUUUGGACUACCUGGAGACUUUUGCACCAGUAGCCAGGCUUGACACAGUCAAAAUGAUAGUUGCCUUGGCUGCUCAACAUCAGUGGACCAUUCAUCAACUUGAUGUGAAGUCUGCAUUUCUCAAUGGUUUCCUAGAAGAAGAGAUCUACAUCGAACAGCCUCAAGGAUUUGUAGUCACUAGCAAGGAACACAUGGUGUAUAGGCUGAAAAAGGCCUUGUAUGGCCUGAAGCAGGCUCCUCGAGCCUGGUACGCUCGAAUUGAUUCUUACUUGCUCAGUUUGGAGUUCGAGAGAAGCCCUAGUGAACCAACAUUGUACGUGAAGAAAAAUCAAGCUGAAACUAAGCUUAUCCUGUCACUUUAUGUUGAUGAUUUGUUGGUAACUGGAGGAGACAAGAACAUGCUGCAUGAUUUUAAGAGGAAAAUGAUGAAGAUGUUUGAAAUGUCUGAUCUAGGCAGAAUGAAUUACUUCCUAGGGAUGGAAGUAAAGCAAACAGCAAAUGGAAUCUUUCUCAGCCAGAGUUCCUUUGCUAUGAAAGUCUUAAACAAGUUCUCAAUGAAGAACUGCAAGCCAACAAGCACACCAAUGGCUGUUGGAAUGAAGCUAUCAAGGCAGGAAACUGGUGAACCAGUUUGUGAGACUAUGUACAAGAGUCUCAUUGGUAGUCUAUUGUAUUUGACUGCAACAAGGCCCGACAUUAUGUUUGCAGUUAGUGUGCUAUCCAGAUACAUGAAUUGCUGAAACAAUCUGCAUUUUCAAGCAGCUAAACGAGUACUUAGGUACAUCAAAGGCACCAUUAACCAUGGUGUGAUGCUCAAAAGAGCUGAAAACAUGAAGUUAAUAGGCUAUGUCGAUAGUGAUUGGGCUGGAUCGAGUGAUGACAUGAGGAGCACAUCUGGAUAUGCAUUUAGCCUUGGCUCAGGCAUAUUUUGCUGGAGUUCUAAGAAACAGAGCUUGGUGGCACAAUCAACAGCAGAAGCUGAAUAUGUUACUGCUGCAUCUGCUGUGAAUCAAGCCAUAUGGCUUAGAAAAAUCUUGGCUAAUUUAAACCAAAACCAAGAAGAAGCAACAGAGAUUUACUGUGACAACAAAUCUGCUGUUGCAAUUGCAAAGAAUCCCAUUGAUACGAGGUUGCGCGCGGACCAAGAUCGAGUUGCCAAGUCACGAGAAACUCCUACGAAAACCCUAAACAAUUAGAUCUGAAACGAAACAGAAAAUUAAAAGAUUAGAUUUUUGAAUUUUCAGAUCUGAAAUAAAAUCCCCAAAACAGUAAAGAAUCAAAUAGAGAAUAGAAAUAAGUGUUAAUAAGGAAUCUUGAAACCCUAGAAGAGAUUGCGAUUCUGCCCAAUUGAACACCAAGAUAGUUUUCCCCAAAUUUCGACAAUCUAAUUUCACCCAAAAAGAGUAUAGAAAAACCCUAGAAAUUGGGGAUUUUUGGGCUGAUUCCUUAAGAUAGAAAAAGGCUGAAAACACAAUAAGAACAGAAAAUAGAUUAGAUAAUAAUUCAGCACAAGUAGAAAUAAAGAAAGAAUUGACAGUAAGAAAUUAAAAGAUAAGUCCUAAGAAGCCUUGAAAUCUCGAAAGAUCUCACAACUCCCUUCAAACGGCUCUAAUCUCCCCUCCAAAGAAUAUCAAUGGCAAGAAGAAGGUUGAAGAUGGCUCCCACAAUCAAAAGAUUGUUAAAACAACUUCUAAAGAAAACUCAAGAGAGAAAUCUUGGAGAAAACUCAAAGAAAAUUCUGCUCUCAACAAAUCUGAAAUUUUAAUAAUAAUGAUAAGUGUUUAACAAGGUGGACAGCCAUGCCUUUAAAUAGGCAUUAUAACUAGUCCUAAUCUAAUUAGAAAACUAAAAUAAAAAAAACUCCUAAUUAUUUUAAUAUGGAAAUUCGGUCAAAGGUCAUUUUAUCUGGGACUCUUGGACUGAAUAUUGACAUAAAAAUUUAAACUAAGUAAAUAAAUAAAUAAAAAUAAAAAUAAAACUUUACAACUUGGGCCACUUUGACAAUUUGGCCUGAUUUUUAACUAAGUAUGGAUGAAUUUCUUGAUUGGGCUGGGAAUUUGCUUAUUGGGCCUCGCCUUCAAGAAUUUGGGCUUUUGUGACUCGUAUCAUUCCCCCCUUCCUCAAAAAGAUUCGUCCUCGAAUCUGAAAAAUCAAAUGAACUCGACUUUCCUCUAUCGAACGGGACUAAUGGCAAUUGAGUCCACUGAAAAGAAUAGCCAUGAGAUAGUAAAUAGCAACGGAAACAAGCUUGUAGUCCAAUCAUAAGCAUAACAGGACAGGUAUAACGCAUGUGAAUGGACAGAUUCAGAUUACCAUGCAAACAAUCUAAUUUACUCACCACUGCCUCGUCAAAUAUUUGAAACAAAGAUGGACAUGUUUUAAGGCAUUCAGUCGUCUCACAUUGUUCCCACAAACCAUGAAUAAAUUGCGAGUAAUAAAUCAAAUGGUAAACAUAAUCGUCACAAGUAGGUAUUUGAAAAGAUUCACAUGGUUCACAGAGUUGCAUAAUCAUACCAUGCAUUAAUCGACGGUCUAUAGAUUCACUCACACAUGCAUUAUCAAAAACAAGAAUCUUUUUAUCAACCAUCAAAACAGAUAGAUCAUCAAUAAAUAAAAUAGGACAGUCAAGCACGUUUCGAUCUAAGUGUUCAUCAACACGAUCUUUAUCACUAUCCGAGGAGUACAAAAGUGUUUCAAAGGUUUCAAGCAUCUUACCUCGAUAAGCAGAAGAAUAAUGGUCGAUUUUACCUUUUUCAUUUAAAACAAACCUUCGCUCAUCGGGGGCAUAGUGUAGUCAAAUCUCCGUUGUUGAGUUAACCUUUGUCAAAUGGAACUCAAACUUCAUGUACAACCACAUAAACUGUUUAAGGCACGAAUAUAAAUUGAAAACAAAUUUGGAAAAUUUCGUUACCUUAUUCUCCAAAACAGAUUUGGACAAAUUCGAGGAUUUUACACAAGGUAAAUCAAGAGAAUAACAAAUCACGCUUCUUUUCGUAAUGACUUUAUCAACCACAAUCGAAGAGUAACAAUUAAUCGGAUCAAAAUGAGGGGAUCUUUUAAGAACUAAGUCACCAAAAGUUUUAUCAAUAAUUUUCAAAUCUGCACUGGACUCGGUUUCUAAAAUUUCCUUACCUCGCUUACCUUCGGGAUCAUGUAGUGUGAUUUCAUCUUUGCCUAAGUUGAUCGUAUGAAAACGUCUUUCAUUUGAGAGGUAUUGAAGUUGAAAGUUAUCUUUCGAUCUUUCGGGAACCUGAAAAGUAGCAACACAAGAAAAAUUCAUAUUUUGGUUAGUGGAAACAUUCCUCACUACCCUUUCCACGUCUUUUUCUUUUGUUUCUUUUUCUAAUUCAUUUUCUCUUCUUUCUUCAAUUUCUUUUUCACUCUCAAUCUCUUUUUGCUCUUUUUCAUUCUCUUUUUCUUUUUCCUCACUUGUUUUAACAGAAUUUUUCAGUUUGAUUUGGUCCUCAUGGACUUGUUCCGAAGUGAGCGGCACUAAGGUGAGUUUCUUUCCUUGAUGCUUGAAAGAAUACCUAUUGGUACGACCAUCGUGAGUGACUUUUCGAUCCAGUUGCCAUGGUUCUCCUAGCAACAAAUGGCAGGCUUGAAUAGGCAUUACGUCGCACACAACUUCGUCUUGAUACUUACCGAUAGAAAAGGCGAUGCGCACUUGUUGAGUGACCCUAAAUUGGCCUUCGUUGCUAAGCCCUUGUAGUUGAUAAGGUUGUGGAUGCUUGGUAGUGGUUAAGCAAAGCUUUUCCACCAUCGUCGUGCUGGCUAUGUUUGAGCAACUUUCACAAUCAAUAAUAACUCUACAAAGCUUACCUUGUACAUGGCAGCGAGUAUGAAAGAGAUGUUCUCGUUGCUGCUCGCUCUUUGGUUUUGCCAAAGAUGUUUGUCCACGAUCAUGAAAAUCAUCAUCCAUUCUAGGGACACGUUGAGGGCUGCACCUAUGGGGCUGGUUAUCCCUAUCUUUCUUAAUUAGAUCUCGAUAUUGAUGUUUUUGAUUCACUCGUACCUCAUUCAAAGUAGUAUUCAAUGCUUGAAGUGUAGCAUUUAUUUGUGUGAUUGCAGCAGUAUGUCCGUCUAACUGUUGUUGGACUUUCAUAAGUGCAUCAUUAUUAUCACCUUUAGACAUCUUCAAAACUGUAAAAAAUAAACACUCAACACUCAAAAAUAAAAGUUAGCAAACCUCACCAUUAAUCACUCAAAAAGAAAAAUCAAAUUCUCAAUGAGGUCGAAUUCAAUCUUGUGAGUUCUUUAUCAGAGUUUAUAUCAACCAAUUAGAGAGUGUGAACCAAACUACCAAAGAAUCCUAAUUUGCACUAGGAUGCCAAAAACUGACGAGACACCAAUUGAUUCGUGUUGCACCGAGGAAGAAGUUGUGCACACGUUUAAAUCCUACUAACACAAGAAACAAGAAGGUGUUAGAUAACGUAAAGGAAGAAUAAAGGUAAACAAAUGAAAACCUACAGCUAAGAAUCAAUAAAAAUUGCUGAAAACAGAAAACCCGAAAAACUGCGGAGUAACUUGACAACUUCGUUCGAGGUGUUCCCGAUCUCCAAAAAUCACAAAAUUAAAUCUGGAGUGUCCUUAUAUAUUUAAUUUUUGAUCUGGAAAAUUUGGGCACCAAAUUCAACCCGCUGAAUAUUUUUUUAAUUUUUUAUUGGAUUUCGUCUUUUUUCAAUUUUUUGACUUUUUCGACUUAUUUUUUUGCGGGAAAUAUUUUUGUAUAUUCAAUAAUAGUGCCAAAAAUAUGUAUGUAAAAUUUCAGAUCAAUCAGAAAACGUUUACCCACUCAAAUGAAUUUUUUCGAAAAUUUUUCUGGGUAAAAUUGCUGUUUGUAAUUUAAAAAAUAGAGAUCAGUUUAGAAAUCAACCAAGAACACCCAAAACGCCCAAAAUCUGAUACCAAAUGAUACGAGGUUGCGCGCGGACCAAGAUCGAGUUGCCAAGUCACGAGAAACUCCUACGAAAACCCUAAACAAUUAGAUCUGAAACGAAACAGAAAAUUAAAAGAUUAGAUUUUUGAAUUUUCAGAUCUGAAAUAAAAUCCCCAAAACAGUAAAGAAUCAAAUAGAGAAUAGAAAUAAGUGUUAAUAAGGAAUCUUGAAACCCUAGAAGAGAUUGCGAUUCUGCCCAAUUGAACACCAAGAUAGUUUUCCCCAAAUUUCGACAAUCUAAUUUCACCCAAAAAGAGUAUAGAAAAACCCUAGAAAUUGGGGAUUUUUGGGCUGAUUCCUUAAGAUAGAAAAAGGCUGAAAACACAAUAAGAACAGAAAAUAGAUUAGAUAAUAAUUCAGCACAAGUAGAAAUAAAGAAAGAAUUGACAGUAAGAAAUUAAAAGAUAAGUCCUAAGAAGCCUUGAAAUCUCGAAAGAUCUCACAACUCCCUUCAAACGGCUCUAAUCUCCCCUCCAAAGAAUAUCAAUGGCAAGAAGAAGGUUGAAGAUGGCUCCCACAAUCAAAAGAUUGUUAAAACAACUUCUAAAGAAAACUCAAGAGAGAAAUCUUGGAGAAAACUCAAAGAAAAUUCUGCUCUCAACAAAUCUGAAAUUUUAAUAAUAAUGAUAAGUGUUUAACAAGGUGGACAGCCAUGCCUUUAAAUAGGCAUUAUAACUAGUCCUAAUCUAAUUAGAAAACUAAAAUAAAAAAAACUCCUAAUUAUUUUAAUAUGGAAAUUCGGUCAAAGGUCAUUUUAUCUGGGACUCUUGGACUGAAUAUUGACAUAAAAAUUUAAACUAAGUAAAUAAAUAAAUAAAAAUAAAAAUAAAACUUUACAACUUGGGCCACUUUGACAAUUUGGCCUGAUUUUCAACUAAGUAUGGAUGAAUUUCUUGAUUGGGCUGGGAAUUUGCUUAUUGGGCCUCGCCUUCAAGAAUUUGGGCUUUUGUGACUCGUAUCACCCAUCUUCCAUGGUAGAACCAAGCACUUCAAUAUCAAGCUACAUGUUAUAAGGGAGAUGGAACAAGCUCAUGAAAUCGAGCUGGUUCAUUGCAAUUCGGAGGAGCAAAUUGCAGACAUCUUUACCAAGGCACUCAAUGUGUCAAGGUUUAUAAAAUUAAAAGGAAAGCUAGGUGUUACCAGCAUAGAAACUAAGGAGGAGUGUUAAAGUUAGUUCCCAUGCAAUCAGCUUCCCAUGCAAAGGUGGCCAUGCAAGAAGAAAACGUAGCAGGCAUUCGAGCCUUGCUGUGCAGCAACUGAUGCUAGAAGUUUCUAGUUUACUUACUACAUUUAGUUCUCAUGUAAUUCUUUUGUAAUCUAGUUCAUUUUGAACUUAGUAGGUAAAUGUUUUGAUGUUGAUUGACUGAAAAUCAACAAAGCUAUGUAAGCAAGUUAAUCUUGCAAGUUUCAAUGUAAAUUAGUGGAGUUAGGUGGCUGAUUAGGUGUUUACUUGUUUGCAAGUUUUACUUUCCAAGUUGACUAAUAUAUGUAAUGGUUUAAUACCUCAUUUUGUUGUUAAUGAAAGUUUCAGCUCAUUUUUCAUUCAAAUUUAUCUCUUUCUUUUCUGUUUUCCAUUGCAUAUUUUUCUUUCCUCUUCGAUUGUUUCUUCAGCAAGGCUCGACACUUGCUGCCCAAGCAAGCUCAAAUCAGCUUGCUGUUUCCUCUUAACACCAACACUCCUUCUAUGGCCAAAUCUUCCUUCAACUUCAAAGCACUUGCAAUAUCAUCUUGUACCUUCAUUACAUUGAACUCCUUUGAUAUGGUAACCCAGAUUACUCUUUCGAAUCUUUGUUCUUUCAAAAGAUCAUUGUGGAUGUGCUUCAUGAUAGUGGUUUUACCCACACCGCCCAUCCCCCAAACCCCAAUCUUUUUUACCUCCUCUUGCAUCAAGCAUGCCCAAAUCUCUUUUCUGGCAGCUCCCUCCCCAACUAGUUCUGAUGUUGGCAGUGGCAACCCACCACUUGGACCAUCCAUGGCAAGAGCUUCAGAGGCAUUAGGAGCUUUAUCAAGAAAUUCCUUCAUUUCUCGAGUCUUUUCAUCAACCAGCUUUCCUUUCCAAGCACGACAGAGAUAUCUCCCGUUUCUGACUUUAUUUUCCACAUCCUGUGCUUCCGCAAUCAUCUCUUUCGCAUCUUUCAACCAAUUUUCAACUCCCUGCUUUGGUAUCUUCCCCCCAGGAGAAAGAAGCUCUGCUUUCAAUUGCAUCUCUAUUGUUGAGUUUUAGAUCAAUAACUAAGUAUCAAAAACAAAGUUUUUGUGUUUGAAAUAUGAAAAACAGAAGCAAAAACGAAUACCGGAUGAUGAAGAUUAACUUCAUUACUUGAAUAAGUAACAAAACCACAUACAUAAGUAGUUCAAAUUACAUUGGUUAAAGACAAAGCUAGCUUGUGCAAGUAUCUAAGCUGUUAAAUCAACUUAAUGACAACCUAAAUGACUACUAAAUCAGCUAAACACAUGAUUAAACCUUAGCUGAUCAAACAAAAAAUGAUUUCAACCAAACUAGCAAAAAGUCAACUAUGCAAAAGCUCUACAGUCGAAUAACACCAUGGACAUUAGCCUGCUGCUGCUGAGUUGCUCGGUUACUUGCAUGCUGAUGUUGUGCUGCUUGGUUGCUUGCAUGUUGCUGCUAUGUUGCCUCAUUUUAACAUCUAUGUCUUCCAUAUUACAAUUCAAUUCAUCUCUGAUCCUCUUGAAGUUUCUCACAUAAUCAUUCAGCUUACUGUGAUAUUUCAAGUAUUUACAAACAGGAGGUCCAAGACACUUUGCAAUGCCAAGAACAGGCUCUACGUACUCCAUUGCUAUGUUCCUGCAACGCAAUCAUAUAUAACAGUAGCAGAUAAUGGAAAUCUGUGAAUGUCAGUGUAAGCAUGAAAAGGAAACAUGAAUGCAAGUUUCAAGCAAUGGCAUUUAUUAGAUGGAGCUAUGGAUGGGUGGCAGACAGAAACAUGAUGAAAUUUGUAUAUCCAGAAUUAACUUCUCAAUGUAUAGAAAAUGCUAGAUUCAAGUGUGCAACAGAAUAUUAAGAGGUAAAAUGUUCAACAGUUUGAGAUUUCAAAAUUAUAUUGCUUCUGGGUAGCUCUUUUGGUAUUAGUUUGUAUCUAAAGUAGAUUAUGUCUGCUGAUCAUUCAGUCUUGAAAUCUAAAACUGUUGAUAAUCAGUAGAGGAAAUCAUAGCUUCAGCUCUUACUACAAUUAUUCAUCUUUCUUGUUAUGUAAAAGCAAAGGAAAUCAUGUCAUGAGUUGAUAAUAAGCAAACAAAUUUUCAAAUGAGCUGAAUUGCAUAUUUGAGGAUCAAAAAAUGGGAAGCAGAAAAUUACCUGACCAACUGGCUGAAAAGUGUUGAGAGAUUAGAACUGAAAAUAAAGCAGUGAAGUUCACUCCCUUGACUAUCUUACAAAGCAAGCUGCUAUACCUGAAGCAGUUAAUAAAAAACAAUCAUUGCAUAAUCAUGAAUUAAGCAAUGAAAAGCAUGUCAUGGAUUAAGCAAAUGAAAGAAAAUUAACUUGAUUGGAUGCUUGAAAAUUAGUGAUGGACAUCAAAAGAAAUUAAAAACAGUGAAGAAGAAAGAACGUUGUGGGUACAAUAGUCAAAAGAAGAAGUGAAGAUAAAAAAAGGCAAAAUUAUUAGUAAGAAAUCCCAUCUUUUUCCUUUUAGCUUUUCUCUUUGGUGUCUGCCAUUAUUAGUUGGCUUUUUGAUACUGAAUUUUCUCAACAGUUGUAUCUAUCAGUUGGUUAUAAAACCUUUGAUCUGCUCUCAAAUUUUCAAAGAUAGAUAUGAUUGUCUAAAAUCCAUGGAAAUGUCCUUCGCAUUAAUUCUGGACAACACCAACAAGUAUUGCAGUGAUCUUGGUGCUCAAUUGUAACAGAUAAUAAUAACUAAUGAGAGAGUAUGGGAAAAGCAGGGUAUAGUUAUUGGUGUUGUUCUUGUUGGUAUUCAAUUUUGGAUUCAACUCAGGACAAUUCUUUACAUAUGGAUUUGUAAGAUGUGAAUGAAUCUAUUCAAUUUUUUAUAUAUAUAAAUAAAUCUAUUCAAGUUAAAAUAAAUAUAUAUAAAUUCUUGGGUAAGCUACAUAUCUAGACAAGUUGUGGUUUAUUGGUCGAGUGUUUACCUUCUUUAGAAAUAGAUGGAGUUGGAAUGAUCAUUGUACCAAAAAAAAAUUUUACAUUAGUCACUAAAUUAUAGAAAUUUUUUGUUGUGUUCACAAUUACAAUUUUGGUCCUCAAUUUUUAUACUCUCAAUCAGUUUGAUCUUGAUAAUAUUAAAAAUUUUAAAACAAUAUAAAAUUAAAAGUAGAUAAAAAAUUCAAAAAUAAAUACAGUGAGAGAAAAUGAGGGGUAAUUAUUUUUAAACCCUCCAAAAUUUCUCCAUAUUAUAUGUAUCAAAAUAUUCAAUACCCAUUCUUUUAAAAAAACAUAGAAAAGAAAAAAAUUAAGUAAAAUUAUUUGAACUCCGUUUUUUUACCUCUUUUGUUUCUUGACAUAACUUUCACAUUAUAAGAAAAGAUAAAAUUCUGAAUAUAAUAUAUUUUUACAAUUUGGGUUUUGAAAAAUAAUUUAUCGGUUAAGAAAUUUUGAGCUGAGUUUGAAAAAAUUUUGUGGUAUAUUUUAUAUUCUUCUAACUAAAAAAAUGGGAUUAGGGUCAAUUUUAUAACACUCUAUAAUACCAGUUAUAGAUGUUGUUUAAGAGCAUGAAACUCAACUUGAUAAUAGUAAUGAUUUGAUUUCAAGAAAUAUUGAGGAAACGUGUAAUGAUCUCAUCUUUUUUUUUUUUUUAGUUUUGUUCUAUUUUUAAUUUGUUAUUGAAUUCUAUUCUCCAUCUUCUAAUAUUCCUAUAUUGUUUUAUAAAAAAUUAUUGCAGAAGUUCUUUAUAGAAUUGGGUAUUCUUGCUAUGGUCCAUUCAAUGCUCAGUGAAUUGUUUCUGUCAGUGCAAAAUGUCGACAAUCAUUAGGAUUCAUUAUAUCCUCGAGGUCAAUUUGCAGAUAACUCUUUUGCACAGAAACAAUAAAAAGGUGGGGACAAAUAAAACUUUAAAAUAGUGACAUUGAUACACACCUUGGAACCUUUUUUAAAUUCUCAUAAAUUUAUUUUUAUCUCCGCACAGUAACAGUUAUGGAAACAACAAUCAAAUAAAACAAACAAUAUUAUGAGUCAAUUUUUAUGGUCUUUGGGGCAACUUUCGUUUUUAAGUUCCACAAAGGUAACGUAAAUUCGAUAUUAAUGUCUUCAAAAUUGUAUUUUUUUUUAUCACUAGACUAUUAAGUGACACUUUUUUAAUUAGUAUAAUAACAAUUUUAGCCCUCAAAUUUUCUACUUUCAGUCAAUUUAAUAUUCAUAAUAUAUAAAAUGGUAAAAAUUUGAAAUUAUUUUUAAAAUUUUAGAAAAUUAUAAAAUAAAAAAUUAAAUAAAAGUAGAUAAAAAUUUUAAAAAUAAAUAAAGUGAGAGAAAAUGAGGGAUAAUUGUUUUUAAACCCUCCAAAAUUUCUCUACAUUGUAUGUAUUGAAAAUUAAAGAAUAUAAUGUCUUUUUACAAUACUUUCCUAAACCAAGAUCAUAGUUUUGCCUCACCUUAAAUCAUUUUGAUUAAUAUAUGUUUAUAUUUUAUUUAAAUAUUAAUAAAAAUAAAAUAUAUUUUAAUUAACGCACAUUAUCAUUCCGUGUAAAAUAUUUUUUAAUACUAUUUAAGUUUUAAUACUUUUUCAAGCCCAGGCCCGUUUUCGGGAUAACUUGGUUGAUCCCAAAAUUCUACUUUACUGUGCAAAAAUAUUUUAAAAAUACUUAUUAAAUUUAAUUUUAAAAAUAUUUUAUAUUAUUUAAAUUGAAUUCGAGUUGUACCCACUCAAGACUUCUUUCCCACCCACGCCUUUAUCUUUCUCUUCAACAUCACAAAAUAUACAUCAAAUUUUAUUAAUAUGGAGAAAUUAGAUUUAUAAAAAUAAAAAAUAAACUAAACUAUAAAUGGUUCAUACCUUUCAUCCUUCCAAAGGGGUUGAAGAACAUUUUUAAAGUUUGGAUCGUCAUCCCACUCCAACCAUUCCCACCAUUCUGUGCUUGACCUGAUGAUAAGAGAAGGUGGAGCAUAUGCAAAUGGCUGCCCAUUGCCAACAAGGGGAACAAAUGGAGGAAUCCUCUUCAGUUUAUCACAAUCUCCAAACACUUGGAUAAGUUGGAGAGAAUCACAAACCAUCACUCCACUUUUGCUGCAUAUGCUCUUCACAUUUGGUAAUCUCCACAAUUCCAACUCUCUCAAUUUGGGAAGAUGGAAUUUGAUUAAUGCAUCACUCCCUUUUUCUUUAACUUCUGAUGUUGCUGCUCCCAAUAUUUCUACUAGCUGACUACAAGCCUCCACGUGUAUUUUUUCCAGGUUUUGGAGGUUUGGAAGUAACCAAUGUGGAAGCAACAUCUUCAUACUUGAGCAGCUGUAUAUCGUAAUUUCCUUAAGAUGGGAAAAGGUGGUAGACGGAGCCAAUGUUGAUGUAGUUGCUGAACCAAUUCCUGCAUCAUUCAUAAUAAGGGCACUCAACUUUGGCAGAUGUUGAAGAUCCAACAUCUCGAGGCUCUUAAAUGGAUGAAUGGAAGAAGAGGCAAAAGAGGACAAGGAAACAACACACUCUAUCCCUUUACAAUCAUAAAUCCUCAAGUCAAUUGCAUUUUUGAAGGAAGAGUUAUCAUCGACUAAGCAUCUCAAAUAGUGGCACUUUACAAUAUUCAACUCUUGAAUUUCAAUUGGGUGCAUAAUUAAAUCACCUUCCCAAUUCUGGACUCCUCCAAUUGUUAUUGUUUUAUCCCUUGUAUCAUGCAUAUAAGAUGAGCCCACUUGUAAAUAGUACUUGAUGAGAUUUUUCUUACUUUGUUGCAUUGAGGAGAUGAACUUAUUGAAUUCAUUGAUGUCUUCGAAAUGUCCGGUUAAGCACUCCAACUUCUUCAAUGGUUCCAUCUCCUUUGCUUUUAGACUUGUUUUUUCAUUGUUCCCAGCAAAACUCAAGUGCUGAAGGUGAACGAGUUUUGGUAAAAGUCCAGCGGGUAUCUCUUUCAGAGUGAACACUUCAAGAUCAAGAUAUCUUAGCUUUAUCAGCAUAUCCAUGCCUUCAGGGACUUCCUCAAUUUUUGUCCAACAAAGAUCUAACUUCUUCAAUUCUUGAAGCAUCGAAAGACAUGGCAGAUCUCUUAAUUGAUAACAACCACGAAGCAACAAUGUUGUGAGGUUCUUUAAUUCAGAGAUGGAAUUUGGUAAACUCUUGAUCUUUGUAAAAGACAAAUUGAGAACACUCAGACAAGGCAUGUUUGUGAAGAAAGAAAUUGAGAUCUUCUUUAUAGGGUUGUUCUGCAAUAACAAGGUUGUGAGCAGUUGGCAUUUUGUAGGCAGCACAUCUAUGGAAACUUCUGAUAUGGAGUUAUACAUAAGUGACACUUUCUCAAUAUCCGGACUCCAUUGCUCCUUUUUUGGUAACUCCUCUAAUUGCAAACCUGCUUGUAUCAUAUAUCGAGGAUUCAUUCUUGUGAUCGACAAUGCCAUGUCUCUCACUGCAUCAUGCAUUUUCAUUUUUCCACUCGAGCCAUUUUCGAGCAAGCAAUUGUCUUCCAACUUCUUCAAAAUAACAUGGCCCUUGCCUUUCAUUUCUUGUCUUGUACCCAUAUCAUCUAUGAAUCCCUCUUCAAUCCAGCACUCAAUUAACACAUCCUUCCAAAUUUCAAAAUCUUCAGGAAAUAAUGCGCAAUGUAAGAAACAAUAUUUCACUUUCUCGUCCUGUAAGUGAUCGAAGCUAAAUUUCAAACGCUCUAUCACUUUAGCUUCCACUCCUUCCACUUUUUCUAUUCUCUCUUUCAAUUCCCUGAAUGCGUUUUUCCAAAUAAGAAGGUCCUCUUCUCCUUUCAAUGUACUAGCUACGACGACAAUUGUAAGAGGCAGACCCGCACAUUCUUCGACAAUGAGCCUCAAAAUUGGCAUUAAAGUUUGAUUUUGCACUAUGUUAGGCCCAACUUUACUCAAGAAUAGUGUCAGUGCCUGUUGUGCAAAAAGGGGCUUCACUUUUAUCACCGUGCAACCCAUAUACUUACCGACAUGCUCCGAACGGGUUGUCAACACCAACUUGCAGCCAUUGCUGUCACUCGGCUCGGGGAUCCCAACUUCCUCUAGAGAAACUUUAUCCCACACAUCAUCUAGGAUUAGAACAUGCUUUCCUGCGUUCUUCAGCAUUUCUGACAAGAUUGCUGCUCGUCUGAGCUCGUCUCCUUCUCUGGGCCAAUCUUCCUUCAACUUCAAAGCACCUGCAAUAUCAUCUUGUACCUUCAUCACAUUGAACUCCUUUGAUAUGGUAACCCAGAUUACCCUUUCGAAUCUCUGUUGCUUUAAAAGAUCAUUGUGGAUGUGCUUCAUGAUAGUGGUUUUACCCACACCGCCCAUCCCCCAAACCCCAAUCUUGCUCACCUCCUCCUGCAUCAAACAUGCCCAAAUCUCAUUUCUGACAGCUUCCUCUCCAACUAGUUCUGAUGUCGGCAGCGGUAACCCAGCACUUGGACCAUCCGUGGCAAGACCUUCAGAGGCAUUAGGAGCUUUAUCAAGAAAUCUCUUCAUUUCUCGAGUCUUUUCAUCAACCAGCUUGCCGUUGCAAGCACGACAGAGAUAUCUCCCGUUCCUGACUUUGUUUUCAACAACUUGUGCUUCCCUAAUCAUCUCUUUCACAUCUUUCAACCAAUUUUCAACUACCUUCUUUGGUAUCUUCCGCAGAGGACGAAGAAGCUCUGCUUUCACUUGCAGCUCUAUAUCUUCCAUUUUGCAAUUCAAUUCAUCUCUCAUCCUCUUGAAGUUUCUCACAUAAUCGUUCAUCUUUCUGUGAUAUUGCAAGUAUUUACAAACAGGAGUUCCGAGACAAUUUGCAAUGCCAACAACAGGCUCUACGUACUCCAUUGCUAUGUCCCUGCAAUGCAAUCAUAUAUAACAGUAGCAGAUAAUGAAAAUCUGUGAAUGUAUUGGAUGA